UUUUUUUUUUUUGGUAGAAGAGAAACAUUUUUGUUUACAUGAAAAAAUUGGCUACUCAAAGCUUCAUCCUUUGAUAUCUACAUGGAAUUGUUUUUAUGCUUAUCUAGGAUCAUGGGUUAGCCUAAAUAACCAUCACUAGGAGUGCAAAGUCUUUGUUCUACAAAUUUUGCAUAAGAAUGAUUUCUUAGAGAACAAAGUGGAUGGCAUCAAAUAAUUUCAUAGAGUUGAUUGCAUAUGGAGCAGAUGAAGUUAUAACCAUUUCUUUGAUUUCUUAUACACAAUCCAUUUUAAUCAAAGAGGUUCAAUGAGUGUUGAUAAGGUGUCAAGUUAUUUCAAGCCAAAAUUUAUUUUCUUUUCUUGGUGUUUUGGUAACCUAUAAUGAACAAUAUUUAUUAUUUUUCAUUUUCUUAAAAAAUCUUAGCCAACAACACUUUGGAUUUUUUUUAAAAAAAUUUACCUAUCCUUACAUGGUAUGAAACAUGUUUGCACUGAAAUAUGGAGAACCUAUUAUAAUAGCCAAGUUUUCUUUUAGGAUUGUUGGGCCAGCAUGAAGAAGCCUGGUCCCACUGGAGCACGGGUGCCAUGUAUAUAAGGGGUAGAGAAAGAAGACUUCGAUUGGGAGUCUUCUUUCUCUUUGACACCAGCAAACUCCGAGGGUCUUGAGACAAGCCAAACUUUUCUAAAACCCUAGGAUCUCAUUUAUUUAAGGGUCUCCUCCUCCUCUUACAAACUCCAUCAUCAAUUUCUUGAGAGAUCGCCGUCCAUUCCAAGCUUUCUUUUUUGGAAUACUUCUUUGGAUUUCCAUCGAAGAAGUCGUCGAACUAUUUCAUUGGACCAAAAUAGUCGCCUCAUGCGUCUUCCUCUUUCUUUUUUUGAUUUUCUAGACGUUGCCACCUUGAUUUGAGCCGAUGAAUCAUCGGGAUUCCAUUUGAAACAGAGGUGUCCUAUUUUGGCCCCUUUCUUCACCGUCUUCUAGGAUCUCUAAGGUUGUGUGACCAUCAAUUAGGGAGAUAGCCAUGAUCUAGGCCGAGUUUGAUGCAUUUGUUUUGUGAUGAUCUUUCUCUCCUUUUCGCUUGCCGACCACCAUUGUUGGUGAUGCUAUUGCUGAAGGCCGCCUUUGCCCGCCACUAUCUGAGCCAGGCCAUCUUUGGUUGCUGCUGGCUAGAUCGCCCUGAUUUUCUUCCAUCUUGAGGAAGAGAGAGAGAGAGAGAGCUCCCAUAGCGCCUCUUGUUUUCUCUCUAUUCUCUCUCUUUUCCUCUCUUCUCUCUUCCUUUCCCUCUCUUCCCUUUCUUCCUUCUUUCUCUUUCAUUCUUUCUUUCUCUCUCUUUUCUCUCCCUAGUUGACCAGAGUGACUGGUAGUAAGAAUUCAAGGGAUCUAGUGAUGGACCCCUAGUGGACACUAGUAGAAGGUCCAGGCUACGAGUCCACUAUGUAAUUUUUCUUUUGAUGAUGGAGUUUGGUUUUGUAAAGGAGAGUUGUCUAUGCAAGAAGGUUUUGAGCGGAGUACUUUGCACCCCAGUUUGUAGAUUGUAAAAUGGAUCAGUGGUUAUUGUAUUUGAGUUUGUCUUCAGUAUAUAUAAGAAUUCCUGCACUUGAUUACUAGUAUAUAUAUACAUAUUUAUUGAUUUGUACCACCAUAUUUACAUCAUGAGAUUUGUGUCUAUGGAUUUGAUUUUACAUGAGAUGAUAAGUUUUAUAUGAUUUCUGGUAUGGACAUACUUCUGUGUUUAUUAUAUAUGGAUAUCAAAUAUUGAAGAUAUGACUAUAUGAGCUAUGAUAAUAGUUACCUCGAAAUUAUGAAGAAUACACAAUUUAAUUAGAAUUGAUUUGACAAAGAUGACAUAUAAAAUCUGAUUGCUAAGAAGUGGUUUGGACUAAACUAGCCAUGGGAUAGCUUUCACGAGCUUAUAUAUGGGAGUAGCCUCCACGAGCUUACGCGUGGGAUAGCUUCUAGGGCUUACGCGUGGUUACUUUGUUUAUCAGUCUUGGACUAGGACAUGAACUUGGUUAGUCCAAAGUCAGAAAAAUAUUUGUUAUGGAACAUAGUAUUAAGAUAAUGAGAAAUGGAUGACAUGACAUACGAAACUGUUAUUGAAUAAUUAGAUAAACUUGAUGUGUAUAUAUAGAUAAUAUCUUUUUAUAAGUUGAAUACUGAUGACAUAUGUGCAUCUUAUUUUGAAUAAGCUUUCCGAAUAUGGUUAUGAUAAUUAUUUUAUCUAGUAUUAUUUAUCUGAUUAUUUUUAUUAUUAUAUUAUUUUUGGUAUGGCGAUUGGAGCUUUCUUACUAGGCUGGAUAAGCUCAUAUUCAUCUUCUAUAAUUUUUUUUAGAGUCACAUGAUACAGUUUCAGAUGGGUGGGGCAUGUAGUUCAAGCUUUACAGUUAUUAGUUAGUUAGUUAGUUUAUCCUACUUUCUAACAUCGUUGAAUAUUUAAAAAUUUUGUAAUUGAACAAAUUAGUUAUUUGAUCAUAGUAGUUUUAUUUAGUUGGAUUAAUUGACUAUUAUUUAUUGAUUUAAAUUUCUAGAAUUAUUUAAAAAUUAUUCAUCUUAGGUCGUGCAUGAUCUCUAGGGCAUUGUUUUAGGGAUUACGGGGCAUGACACCUAAGCACAACCACUAUUUUUUUUAACAAUAAGAUGGAUAAAAGCUUGGGUAAGGACUGAAGUGAGGGCAAUAAGCUCCGAUGGAAGAGGUGCCAAUGAACUUAGCUAAUAGGCUAUUUCAUUGCUUGCAAUUAAUAGGUUGUACUUGAGUUGGUUGUAAUUGAAUAGUAGGCACCCAAAAAACAGUAUCAUAUAAUAAUAAUAAUUAUAAUAAUAAUAAUAAUAAUAAUAAUAAUAGAAAUAUUAUAAUAAUGUUUAACAUUAUAUUAUAAUAUUAUUAUAUGUUAACAUCAUAAUAUGUUACUACAUUAUAUUAUUAUUAUGGUAUUAUAAUUACUAUAAUAUUAUAAUAAAAUUAUAACAUAUAAUAAUAAGUACAAAUACAUAUAAUAAAUAAUAUAUAAUAAUUAUUAAUUACUAUAAUGUAUAUGAUAAAUAAUAUGUUUGGUUACUAUAUUAUCGAAUUAUUUUGUAUUCAUACAAUUAAUAUAGUAAUCAUUCUUGCACCGAUCUAAUAUAAUUUAAUAGCAAUAUUAUUCUUCUAUUAUAAUUAUAAAAAUAAUAUGAUAAAUAUUAUAGUGUAAUAGAAAACCCGAAAAAUUUAUUGUUUCCAAGAGAGGUAACCUUGCCAACUCAAUUACAAUUAAUAGAACCCUCUAUCUUUCUACAUCAAGCUAGCAACCAAAAAGCUAUGAUUAUAUUUGCGGUUUUCAAUUAUGAACAACUAAAUAAGGCCUCUAUCUCUAACCUCAAGCAAUUGAAUUGCAGCUUGUAGCUGAAUUGCAUGCAAAUUGCAAACAACGAAGCAAUCCCUAGCAGUUGUUGGGUAACAUACCCAUCUUUUGCAUCCACAUAAAAAAUUUACCGAGUUAGCCAAUUGGCACCCUUGAUAUGCAUGACCACAGGUACAGAUGUCUCACUACCCACCUAUUGCUUUUUAAAAAAACCUUUGAAAUCAUCCAAUUCCAUCAAAUUAGCUCAACUAAUUUUGACCCUGUCUUCUUCUUUUUUUUUGUUAGAAAUUUGGACCCUGUAGGCUCGUCCUCGUAUUAACUAGUCAAAGAUGGAAUCACGCCACAUAGUGUUCCAUUAUUCUAACUGAAUGAACUUAGUCCUCCCUUCAUCGGAGACUGUUCGCUCGCAAGUCCAUCUACAAAAUAUUCGGUCUCUUGCAACGCGCAGACCAGUCUAAAUUUGGAAGUCAAAAAGAUUAGUGCAGGAACAAAUUUCAAAGGUGGAAAAAGAAACAAUGGUAUCCGCCAAAAAGAAAAAGAGCCAGUAACUGGCUAUGCUCAUGCCAGAGCUAUGAGAGUAGCCGAUUUAUUAAAAAAAAUAAUGGCAAACCAAACACAAAUCUGGGCCAUAGGAUAUGCCGAGCCCGACUGACGGAAUAGACCAUCAAUCGGAUGCCGACAGCCGGCGAUUCCCGCCAUCCUCUCGGCUGCCCCCGUCCGAUCUAUGGACCCCUCCAAAUACACCAAACUCAACUACGUUGCUAUCGGAAUAUCUUUGGAUUCUCGACGCCCCAGCAGUCCAUGUUGACGCCUCACCGGUCCAAUUAGAUUCCUCCUCGCCACCCACGUUGCUCUUCUGGACCACACAUUGUAUCGUAUAAUGUACACCGUUAAAAGCUCGUGGCCCACCAUACAUUGUGCCGUGGUCCGUUGAUCCGUGAAAUUAUACCCUACACCAUGUCCACCAACCCAAUCAUACACCUUGUUCAGUGUAAGGUUGUCCCGGAUUGGACAAUUUAUUAGAUGGACAAGGUUCAAUAGACUAGUCUAAUAGCCACUCGCCGGACUUUCGUAUUUAAACAAUUCAAGAUCAAAUAGAGAUGAAAAUUCAUCGUCAUGUUCUCCACCGUAUACGUCCGACCGGUCCACUAGAUAUGUCCAUCUGAUAACUUUUUCUCGAAUUGUCGCCGCCUCAUCUCAUCUCGAAUUAUUUCUGUGGUGCAACAUUCGCCCGAUGCACGUGGUACAGGAUAUAAUUCCUCCAUCGAUCCGGACCUUCUGAUCAGUGGGGCCCUCCCCAGAAGUGCACCAGCUGUCCAAGAUGGGCUUGAUUCGUGUGUACAUGGGAGAGGCCCGUGUAUGCCUACGGAAGUGGUCCAAACUACGACUUUCUUCCACCUCCGGGCUCACCAAAAGAAGGAUGAGACAUGGACAGGGGCAUUAGGACCACCGUUAAUUUCCGACGGUCGCCGUCGAGCUUAUUUGUAAAGGAUAUGAUCAUUGCCUGCAUUAUUGACAUUGCAUGAUCGAUCAGAAUGUAGCACCAGGGUUGUCGACCUUCUUGAGGCGAAGGAGAAGGUUGCAUCUUGUAGUGAAUUGUUCAUGGGGAUGGCAUAGUGACUGAGAAACAAAGGGCGACUGAGAUCUCUAAUUAAUUUUAGUAGAUGGUUAACCAGUGGGAGGUUAACUUGCAAAGCAUCGAUCCUCUCUUCUUUUAGACCUUCAGGGAUAGCUAGCUGAUGCACCAACAUGGAAACUCACCUUCUCAGUGGUGCCGGAAAUAGUUGAGGUAUUCCUAUAGCGUAUUUGGUCUACCAUUAAGACUGUUCUUAACUUGAGAGCAUUGCCACUCAAGCUACAUAUGCUUUGGGCUUCUUGGAGAAGGAAGAAAUGGCAGCCAUUCAGUAGAAGAGCAUGGGAUCAGUAAUUGAUUGCUGUUAGUUGAAAAAUUUAGUUCGGACAGAGUGCAAGAGUCCUCCUAACAAAGAAAAGUUAUAUCUUUAUAUAUAGUUCUUCAAAAGGCGUCCGAGACCUUUCAUAAUUGGGAGAAUCUUUAUAAUGACAAGGUGAUUGAUGGUUGUAGAAGGAUUUGGAGCUCUUAUCAUUUUUGAUGCCUUCUAGUGCUCGCUAGCUCAACUCAUACUUGUAACGUCUCCCUUUGGAACAACUCAUACCCGUAACAUCUUUCUUUACAUAUAAUUUGUGCAGUAUUUCUCUUUAUUAAUAAAGCAGGGAGAAGUGUCUCGCUUCCUCCAUUACACAUCAACCGAUGGGAAGUUGAAAUGCUUGAGGAAGCCACUGUUUCAUGAUCAUGGCAGGAGUAUGUCAUCUCGAUCACUGCAUGGGAUAGCCAUGCAUAAAAUUGAUUGAGACGGGGAGGCUUUGGUUAGCGUCGCGUCAUUUUGAUGAUCUAAAUUAGGUUCGAGUGCUCACGUCACCAUUUUGACGGAUCCAGAAAUAUCCACGUCUCAUUCACCAUGAUAUUUGAUGCGAGCAACCAUGUACAUACAUCACACGAAUGGGAACAUCGAUGCACCACGUAUUUCAUAUAUCUUGAUGCAUGAAGCGAUGCCACUUUCCACCAAGAUGGUAGCAUAGUUGAAACAUGGCUUUGCUUCUACCGGCACGGUCUAGGUUCGAAACGCGCGAGCGUCGAUUAAAUGUUGAGGACCGUAUGCUUCCCAUCUGGACAUGUUCAGUGGGAACACUAUCUGGUUCAGCUAGCACCGAGGUGGCGCUGGGGUAACAUACUCACACGUGGGUGACCCACAGGUCGGAAAAGGUAUAAGCAAAAUUUCUCUCCGCAUCGAACAUUCUCUGGUAGAAAAGAGGCCCAGUGGAGACUGGUACGCACUAAAGCAUCCACUCGCAUGAAAUUUUUGAGUUAAUCAUGGAUGGAUGACUACCACAGCGGUCAAGGACCAUCUUAUUCAUGCAUAUGGUAAUGGGGUAAUGGGGCCACAAGACGAACAGUGUUAAUUAAGCUAGAUUGAGAAACCAGGCUAUAUGACACGGUAGUUGCAUCAGUUGUAUCCCUCCUCAUGUGAGAAGGGGUUUUGGGUCUGAAUUUUGGAAGCCCUUUUGUCGGUGCCAUACAACUAGCAUAGUCGGUAAAGUCUUUGGACCACUGUAUCCAAUGUAGACCAGCUGAACAGGAGCCGUGUAAGGACUCAUGUGGGCGUGUAUUUAGUCUCACAUCGGUAAUUCACCAAAGAGAUUCUAGAUACUUAUAUAGGACUAAGGAACCCAAAUAAUACAUUUCAUCUAGCCAUUUUAGGUGAGGCUCUGAAUUGUUACAAAUGACAUCAGAGCAGAUCCAGCCUAUAAUCUAUGUAAUUAGGGGACACUGCAGCACGGUUCUAUUGAGGCUGACCAUAGGCCGAUCGUGGUAUGUUUAGUCUCGUAUCGGUUAUUCGCUCGGUAAAAUUUUUAGAUUUAUAGAGAAUCAAGGAACCCAAAUAAUACCUUCCAACUAGUCAUUUUAGGUGAAGUUCUGGAUUGUUACAAGUCGGAUCAGAUCUGUAUAAAAUUUUAUAUUUUGUACGCCUUUCUUUAACCAAUACCUGAUUUUGAAUAUUGCCUGCAACUGGAUGGUUAGGCAUGGAUAAUCCCUUCAAUUUUAACAAAAAGAAAUAAAUAAAAAUGAUAGUGCUCCUUCUUCCAUACCUAACUUAUGCGAUUAUUCUAGUAGGAAGUCCAUGGUUAGUCUAAAAGAACAAAUAAUUUACGCCGGAGAGUGACAGUUCACAUGAGAGAGGAGAGCAAGUUCUGGACGGCCCGUCAAACGUAUCAAGCGCUGGAAACAUGCGAGCAUUCCGUUGAGAGAAAAGCUUGGAAGGGAUUCCGCUGGAUCGACCGUCUGGGCGUUGAAUUGAUCAUAAUUAAAGCUAAAGGUGGAGGAAUAAAACCUAGCAUGAGAUUCUCUCAGAUUUUGUCACCAAAUGGUCCGAUGUGACCACUCUUCUUUUGGUGGACACGUCAGGCCGGCAAGACCUCAGCCAUGGAUCCACCCAAACCCUAUCAAGGUCUUCGGCUCUGCGGAUUGCUCCAAAGGAACCAAAGGAACCAAAGGAAAGGUUGGAAAGCCAGUCGAACAUGGAUUGGGCUUGACCAGCUUGAGCUUUUCCAGAUCCGAUCACUGUUACCGAUUUCAGCGUUGCGUAUUGUUCUGGACCACUUCAAGGUGCAAGUGAAACUUUUGUUGCUUAGGAGCUUCUGUUACGUAUGGUGCAUGUACAUGUUUCCUUUUUCUUACACGUUUCUUCGACACUGCUUGUCACUCCUUUAAACUUUUACAAUUUUGGAUGACUGAACUGUCUAUCUACAUAGCUAAUGCCAACAUGUAUGUCCAACACUAGGCUCCUUUUCUCUCUAUAGAAUUCUAUGAGUUCUUCCAUAUUUUGAUUCUCACCUCUUCCAACUCUUUAGAAAUUUUUUUGUUGAGAAAUUAUAUCUUGCACCGCGUGCACCAGAUAUCAAUCAUGUUGUUUUAUUUUUUGGGGCCGAGUUAGAUGGCAAAAAUGAGAUGAUAUAAUUGGUAUGACGUGCGAUCAUGUUGUAUAAUUUUAUUCUACUUUAUUUAGAGAGAAAGAGAGGUUAGGGGCAUAAUUAUUCCAUCUAGGGUGUGACCAUCAGAUAGGACGUCAUUCACUUGGAGGUGUUAAUAUUAAAUGCAAACUUGUGCAGGGAUGGCGACUUUGGAAAAGUAUCAAAACUAUGUGAUUUCGAAACUAUUUUCAUAAAAUUUUGCUAUUAAAAUUUUAAGUGAGUGUUAGAAUAAUUUCAAAAUAUGGCCUUCCACUGGUUGCGUAUUUUUAUUUUAUAAAACGGGUUAGACGUAUGGCUUAUAAUGGUACUAUGGUUAAACUCAAUAUGAUGUGUAAUAAUUUUGUUUUAUGAAUUUUAAUGCACCUUGGAUGUUUAGGAUUGAAUUCUAUUUAUUGUGGUAAUUUUAGUAUGUAGGCCUCCAAACCCAAUUAGGGUUUGGAGCCCUUAAUGGGAAGGCUUCCUUAUGUUUUCUAUAUAAAGGCUAGGUCCCCUUCUCCUCUCUAUAUGGUACAUAGCUUGCCCCAUGAACGAUUAUCUUUUGUGAGGAGAAAGGAAGGGAAGAUCCAGUCGCUAUUAUUUCAGGUGAUUGAAGGAUGUAUUCAAUAUAGCUUCUGCAGGCAUACCUCUCAAAUUUGAACACGAUGUUAUUAUGAUUCUAAAUCUUUUAACAGUGAGCACAUAGAGAAUUCUACCGGAAUGCCGUGUAUAAUAUCUCAAUAACGNNNNNNNNNNNNNNNNNNNNNNNNNNNNNNNNNNNNNNNNNNNNNNNNNNNNNNNNNNNNNNNNNNNNNNNNNNNNNNNNNNNNNNNNNNNNNNNNNNNNNNNNNNNNNNNNNNNNNNNNNNNNNNNNNNNNNNNNNNNNNNNNNNNNNNNNNNNNNNNNNNNNNNNNNNNNNNNNNNNNNNNNNNNNNNNNNNNNNNNNNNNNNNNNNNNNNNNNNNNNNNNNNNNNNNNNNNNNNNNNNNNNNNNNNNNNNNNNNNNNNNNNNNNNNNNNNNNNNNNNNNNNNNNNNNNNNNNNNNNNNNNNNNNNNNNNNNNNNNNNNNNNNNNNNNNNNNNNNNNNNNNNNNNNNNNNNNNNNNNNNNNNNNNNNNNNNNNNNNNNNNNNNNNNNNNNNNNNNNNNNNNNNNNNNNNNNNNNNNNNNNNNNNNNNNNNNNNNNNNNNNNNNNNNNNNNNNNNNNNNNNNNNNNNNNNNNNNNNNNNNNNNNNNNNNNNNNNNNNNNNNNNNNNNNNNNNNNNNNNNNNNNNNNNNNNNNNNNNNNNNNNNNNNNNNNNNNNNNNNNNNNNNNNNNNNNNNNNNNNNNNNNNNNNNNNNNNNNNNNNNNNNNNNNNNNNNNNNNNNNNNNNNNNNNNNNNNNNNNNNNNNNNNNNNNNNNNNNNNNNNNNNNNNNNNNNNNNNNNNNNNNNNNNNNNNNNNNNNNNNNNNNNNNNNNNNNNNNNNNNNNNNNNNNNNNNNNNNNNNNNNNNNNNNNNNNNNNNNNNNNNNNNNNCAACAUAUAUUUUAUAUUUUAUUUGUUGCAUUAACUAGCUAGUAAUAUGAAGUUGUGGAUUUUCUUUAUAUAGGAAGAUGAUGAUUUUUAUAUAUUCCAAAUUAAGGUCGACGGAAGAAUCUCUAGGCUCUAGCAUGAGUCAUUUAUUCUCAAUAUGUUUGUUUUGAAUGAUUAUUAUUUAUAUAUUUUAUUGUAAUGUUGUUUAUGCUUCACCUUUUACAUGCUGAAGAUAAUGAGGAUAAAAGUGCCACAGUCGAAAGGGCUAUGAAGAAAAAAAAGAAAUAUCAAGGGAAGCAAAUAAGGGGUCAUAUUUUGGCGGAUGAUAAAUAAUCUGAAAUAAUUGAUGACAAUGAUAUUAUUUCAAAUCAUAUAACUAAAGUGGAUAAUUCUAAAAAAAAGAAAGUGCAUAGCUAAUAUUUCCAUUAGAAAAAAAAUAAAAUUGAUUGUCAAUCUAUACUACCAUACUAUUCAGGAUAUUCGACUUUAUGAUGCAAUUCAAAAUACUUGGGUUCAAAUAUAAACUUGUUUCCUUAUUCCAAUAAAGUCUCCAAUAGUCUAGCCAACAAAAAUAAUUAUAAAGUCUCUAAUAGCCUUAUAUCCUUUUGUGUGAUGCUAUCUUUUGAUCUAUAAGUUUUCAGACACAUCAACUUAAAUGACUGACUUUCAAGAUAUUCGCUAUAUUUGAAAUGAAAAUGUACUUUAUUCAAAAUGAUGCGUAAAUAGAAAGUGAACUUUCAUGUUCAUGUUUGCGUGAGGCAAAGCAAUACUAAACAGAAAAGAAAAAAAUAUAGCCAGACAAAUAGCAUGGGGUAUGCGCUAGUUUACAAUUUAUAUUCAAAAUAAGAGACACUAGAUCGAGACAGACCAUCAUUUACAUCCCCAGACUCAUGUGACAGAACACACCAGCUGAGGAUGGAAAUGAGUUGAACAUCAGACAGGCCAAACCUGGCUCAUAUAAUUUCAGGUCAAGCACAACAAAUAAGCCCCCCAAUCAAAAGUCCGACUAAAAAUGACUAAAAUUUAGGCCCACAGAGAUCAGCUCUAAUUUCAAAUCAAAUUUGAGAUAUGGACAAACUUAAUAAUAUUGACAAACUUAAUAUUAUUUAAAACUUUCAUUUUUUAAAAUUAAAUUAAUAAAAUCAAUUAUAACUUGAUUUUAUAAUUAUAAAUAUAUUCUACUCUACCUAUUAUAUAUUAAUGUAUAAUAAAAUAAUUAAAAAACUGUAUUAUUUAUUUAUUGUAAAAAAUAUUAAGUAAAAAUAAUAUUUUCUAAACAUAAAUUAUUUUUUAUCAUAAAAUAUAUAAGUUACUUAUAUAUUAAUAAUUCAAGCAACUUCAAAUAUUCAGGCAAGGUAAAUCUGACUCUAGCUUGCCUUGCUUUUUAACCAAGCCAGCCAUUAGCAAACGAACAAUCAAUUUAUUUGGCAACAACUCAUGCCCCUAUCACGGCCACAUAAAGGCCAUCGGCCAAGCCACCCAACGCUUGCAGGAUUUCACCAAUAAGGGUUAAUUUAAAGCAUACGCCUCCAGUUCCAUGCCCGAUGAAAACAAAACAUCAAACCAAACAAUUCGAAAUUCACCAAUAUAAAUAUAACUAUUUUUUUCAUAGCCAUCACUACUAAUGUUGCAUGAACAAGAAUACAAGCACCGGAUUCAGAUUUGUACCUAGCUAGCUAAGACAAAACAGAAUAUAUGAAUAUAUAUAACUGAGACUCAACUAGAAAAAAACAGAGAGAGAAAUGUCAAAAUAUAAAAGAUAAUAUAUAAAUUUAACUAAAUUUAAAUAUUAAUUUUUUUGCAAAGACAUAUAUUUCUCCUUUAAAUUUUCUAAUUAACUUAACAAAUUUAUAAANNNNNNNNNNNNNNNNNNNNAAUAUAUAUAACUGAGACUCAACUAGAAAAAAACAGAGAGAGAAAUGUCAAAAUAUAAAAGAUAAUAUAUAAAUUUAACUAAAUUUAAAUAUUAAUUUUUUUGCAAAGACAUAUAUUUCUCCUUUAAAUUUUCUAAUUAACUUAACAAAUUUAUAAAACAAUAUUUUAACAAGUCAUUUUAAUAUUUGUAACCUUAAAAAAACGACGACUACCCACCCACUCUUAAUAUCACAAAUUAGAGAAUCAAAUUCAUUGAGGCGACCAUCAUUUAUAGAAUAGCAAUCAUAAAACAAGAUGAAACUUAAAUGCAAAUAACAUAAAAUAGCCCUUCAAGAGCAUAACAGGUUAAAAUCCCCAUCAAAAGAAUGACCCAUGACAUAUAGCAGCCAUGGAUAGCCAUAGAAAGUGCUCUGGAAGUUUAAGUUUAACCAACCAUAAUCCAAAACCAGGCAUGCUAGCCUGGAAAUUAAUCGACCUCCUCAAUCUUGGGGCCAGACCCACUGCCGCCAGCAGCGGGAGCAUCAUCAUUCAUUCCAUCAGCCAUGUCGGGACCCGCACCCUGAUACAUCUUGGCAAUGAUGGGGUUGCAGAUGCCUUCCAGCUCCUUCAUCUUGUCCUCGAAUUCAUCAGCCUCCGCCAACUGGUUUCCUUCCAGCCACUGGAUAGCCUGCUCAAUGGCAUCCUCGAUCUUCUUCUUGUCAUCAGCAGCCAGCUUGGAUGAAAUCUUAUCGUCCUUGAUGGUGUUCCUCAUGUUGUAGGCAUAAUUUUCCAAGGCAUUCUUAGCCUCCACCUUCUUCUUGUGCUCCUCGUCCUCGGACUUGUACUUCUCUGCAUCUUGGACCAUCUUCUCAAUCUCCUCCUUGCUCAACCUACCCUUGUCAUUGGUGAUGGUGAUCUUGUUCUUUUGUCCGGUGGUCUUGUCCUCAGCAGACACAUUAAGGAUACCAUUUGCAUCGAUGUCGAAGCAAACCGUAAUUUGAGGAACGCCCCUUGGUGCAGGAGGAAUGCCUGAGAGCUCAAAUUUACCAAGGAGGUUGUUGUCCCUGGUCCUGGCCCUUUCACCUUCAUAAACUUGAAUCAAGACACCAGGCUGGUUGUCGGAGUAGGUUGAGAAGACCUGCUCCUUCUUGGUGGGAAUGGUUGUGUUCCUUGGAAUUAGGACAGUCAUGACACCUCCUGCAGUCUCCAGUCCAAGGGACAGGGGGGUGACAUCCAACAGAAGAAGAUCCUGCACCUUCUCAUUUCCCUCGCCACUCAAAAUGGCAGCCUGGACAGCAGCCCCGUAAGCCACUGCCUCGUCAGGGUUGAUGUUCUUGCACAGCUCCUUCCCGUUGAAGAAAUCCUGCAACAACUGCUGCACCCUGGGAAUUCUGGUGGACCCACCAACGAGGACAACUUCAUGGACACUACUCUUAUCCAUCUUGGAAUCCCUCAGGCACUUCUCUACAGGCUCCAUACACUUCCUGAAGAGAUCCAUGUUAAGCUCUUCAAACCUGGCACGGGUGAUGGUGGAGUAGAAAUCAAUGCCCUCGUACAGGGAAUCAAUCUCGAUUGUGGUUUGGGCAGUAGAUGAAAGGGUCCUCUUUGCCCUCUCGCAAGAUGUCCUCAGCCUCCUAAGCGCCCUCGGAUUUCCAGUGAUGUCCUUCUUGUGUUUCCUCUUAAACUCUUGGACGAAGUGGUUCACCAAGCGGUUGUCAAAGUCUUCUCCGCCAAGAUGGGUGUCCCCAGCAGUGGCCUUCACCUCAAAGAUACCCUCUUCAAUGGUAAGGAGAGAGACAUCAAAGGUGCCUCCACCAAGGUCAAAGAUGAGAACAUUCUUCUCGCCAACACUGCUAGCCUUCUUAUCAAGACCAUAUGCAAUAGCGGCAGCCGUGGGUUCAUUGAUAAUUCGCAUGACAUUGAGGCCAGAAAUGACACCAGCAUCUUUGGUGGCCUGACGCUGGGAGUCGUUGAAGUAGGCAGGGACUGUGACAACUGCGUUCUUAAUAGUAGAACCAAGGUAGGCUUCAGCAAUCUCCUUCAUCUUCAUGAGGACCAUGGAUGAAACCUCCUCUGCAGAGAACUGCUUAUCCUCACCCUUGUACUGGACACCAAUCAUGGGCUUAUCCCCAGGGCCAGCAAUAACCUUGAAGGGCCAGAGCUUGAUAUCACUCUGGACAGAAGCAUCAGAGAACCGCCGGCCGAUAAGUCGCUUGGCAUCUGUAAAGCAAAGAACGGUAAGACCAGGAGCUUGUGCCCAAAAAGAUACCGCAUGAAGUAUGUAGAAAGAACCAAAAAAGAAUUAUUCAUACAUCAAGUGCAAAAGAAAAAAACAGCAUUAUGGGAGCAUAUCAUAACAAAGGUAGAAGACUAAGAAUCGGUUGACCAAUUUCUAGAGUUUAAGGAUCUGCUAAAGAAUAAAAGAUGAUGCAAAACUAACCCCAGUGAAAACAAUAUGCGCAAUGUAGAGCAAAGUUCCAUAAUCAAGAAAUAGCACAACUGAAAGCCCCCUAUCUAUCAAUGGCUCUGCUAAUAUCUUGUCAGAUGGAAUCCUAACAAAGGCACGCCAGUUUUUCAAACAUGUGUUAUGCUUCUUCAACAACAUCUAAAAUAUCCAGCAAUACUAAAUCUUAGUCUUCACGCACAUUCAAAUGAUCCCAAAUCAGCUUAUUGAUACUUAAUAAACUAUGACAUAUCUUGUGUGUCACAAGACUUUCUUCCAUUGGGUUUGUCAUUAUCAAGAUCAAAAAACUUCACGGAAAAUCCUUCCACUCAGACAAAAAAAGAUCAGAAAUCAAAGUGUAUGUUUUGCUACAUGUGAUUUGAACACUUGGGACCAUCCCCCCAUACCUCCCCCCCCCCCCAAAAAAAAAAAAAGUGCAACUCGACCAACAAGUCCAAUACAGAAGGUACUCCACUUAGAUUUGUCUUCCUCCAGUAUUGAAUGAAGAAGGAGAGUACAGAAACCAAAACAGGUAGUAUUUGGGUGAAUCCACCACACUAUGCAUCAAGUAAGUAGAUACACAAUGAUCAUAUAUUAUUGCAACCAUCCACCCUACGCCCUGUUACCCAAUGCUCUGGAUCUGCUCUGAGUAUCAUGAAAACAUUCACAAUAUGCAGGCAUGCGCACAUAUAAAUCACAUAGGCAGCUAUUGUUUAAGCAAAAAAAAAAUCAUAACUAUUUCUGGGAAAGACACAAUAUAGUUUAAGAAAUCACAAAAAAUGUAAUCAUAUCAAAGUUUCUAUAAAAGCUGGAUGUGCAAUGCUAGCACAGACAGUAGUACCAUAGAAAACCAACUAUGGUCCUCAUUCCCUUAAAUUUUUCUCCAACCAAUCCAAAGAACCGAGCACAAAGAAACCAGUAAAAACACCUAUGAAGCAUAAAACGUACUCAAGGUAGACUAUGAGCAUUUAAAAAAUGUAAAUAACAGGUUCAAAUUCAUCAACUUGAUGUCUAACAUUUCUUUUCAUCGCACACCCGCUUAAAAGUCAUAAGCCAAGCCUAGUAAAGCUGAAAGAAACACGUUCCAACUUCUAAAAUGAAGACCUUCCUGUAAGUUAAACAGCCUAGGGCAUCAUAAAUUUCAAAAAAGAUGAGGCUUAUACUCCACAUUAUUUACUCUCCAAUGAAAAUUUAAAAUAACAUAGGUGAGCGAUGUGGUACAAAUAAGUUUCUAUGUUUUUGCUUCCUACCCAAGAACAUAAACAGACACGAGCAAUUAUUUUUGCUUCAAAGGAAGUUCUCGGUUAUUAUAAAAUAACUAAAUUUCCAUUCUGCUUCCUUUUUUUGUCUUCACAAUUUAAACUCUCUCUAACAAUCAAAUGUGAUAUGUCCAAAAUAUGAUUCAUAAAUUCCGAGUCACAGCUAGAUGAUAAUAAGGAUCGCAGAAAAAAUAAUGAAGCAGACUUCAAUGACAAAUCUUGCCGCCAUGUUUGACGUAGAUCUAAAAAAUAGAAACCGCCAGAAUUAUUUAUUAAAAACAUCCAGAACAAGCAGUUGGGAACAAAUAAAAAAACGCCUAUUAAGCGAGCAGAUAGAAUUAAUAGAGAAAAAUAUCUAAAUUGUUUCCGUUAUUUAAGGGGAAAAGAUAUUCAGGGCCACCAAAAGAAUCAGAUCUAUCAACGCGAUUCAAAUCAACCCAAUAAGACGCACGAGAUCACAGAUCUAAUAGGUUUAAGAUCCAUACAAGAAAGACCCACAGGAAUAAAUAGAGAUCUACUUAAUGCAUCAACAACAGAUCUAGAAAAAGGGACAUCCGAGGGCAAGAGACUCACCGAAGACGGUGUUGGUGGGGUUCAUGGCGACCUGAUUCUUGGCGGCAUCGCCGAUGAGCCGCUCGGUGUCGGUGAAAGCGACGUAGGAGGGGGUGGUGCGGUUCCCCUGGUCGUUGGCGAUGAUCUCCACCCGGUCGUGCUGCCACACGCCGACGCACGAGUAGGUCGUCCCGAGAUCGAUCCCGAUCGCCGGACCUUCACCCUUGCCGGCCAUUGCGUCGACGGAGAUCGAAAAGAGUAAAAACGAGAAGAAGAAGAAGAAAAAGGAGAGCAACAGGGCCGAGCGAUACCGCACGGCUAGGGUUUCUAAGAUGGAGCAAAGAGGCCGACCACGCAAGGGGCUUAUAUAGGAAGCUCCAGGGUUCUAGAAAGUUCCAAAGACUUUUCUGGGCCGCCCGAUCUGAUUGAACGGUUCAGAUUUGCUUCUGUUUCGCGGGAGGAGGGAGGAGGGACGUGGACUCUGGCUCUCCUCGCCUGCUUCCGAGCGAAACGGGACUCGAUUAAAGCCACUAAACGAAGAGCGCUGAUUCGUCGAUAGAGCGGUGGCUACGUGGGACCCACGCAUGAUGUAGGGCUGUGAGUGGAGAUUGGCGGGCAAGCGGGUUAUGGAUGGUUUCCGUCCACGUCGAGGAUUAGAAAACGUGACUGAUCUAAAAUUUGGAAUCGUCCGGACGUCAAAACUAUUUCCAAUCUGCUUGGAAGUGUUUGGUUGCAGAAAAAAGUUCAUGCGGGUCCCCGCAGUCCUUAUCAUGGACGGAUGACCUUUCCCUUCUCCGUUCCGACAACAAGACUAGUUGAAACCAUCCCACGUGGAGUCGAUGCGUCGCUCGGAUUCCCGUUGUAGCACCAAUCAUCUUAUGCCACGUCAGCAGCAGAGGAUGCAACAGUGAGAACCCAGCUGGAGCAUUGUAAUUUCCUUGCCUCAGGGUGAAUAACUAUAUUCAUUUCUAAUUGGGCUUAAAACCAAAUUUAUUUAAAAUUUAAUAUUUUUUUACCAUGCCCGGUUUAUGAUUAGGUUUGCUUCGUAGAGCAUCUUGGGUACAUCUCGAUAUCCUAUAUUGUUGGACUAUAAAGAGCUCCACUUCAUGGGGGGAAAAAAUCCUAAUACGAGUAUAAGUCGAAAUUAGGGAUGGCAACUUAUAGUUCAACCCGCCAACCCAAUUCACAAACGACCCUAGAUAAGCUGAUCUGGGUUUGGCCUUAACAAGCUUGGAUCAUAAACUAGUUGACCCACCUUAUUUAUUAAAUCAUGACAUGUCUAUCAUGUUUUGUGUCUAUAAUAAUUUAGUCUGGUUUUCACAUUAAGGCAUGAUCAACACGUUUAAGACUCUUAAAUCAAUUCAAAACCCAUUUAACUUCUUUGACCCAAUUGAGCCGGAUUAGGUCACCUAACUAAUGAACAAGUCGAGUUCAGUUUCCAAUUUCUAGCUUAUGUAAUAAUGGGGUUGGUUACAGGUUAAUAGGUUUCCCCUGAUCCCUAUGUCUCCCCGACAGUAACUUGACCCAUCACCACCUCCAGUUGGGUCAACCCAUGGUUCACUUUAUCCCGUAACCUAACAUCUUCAUGGUCAAUGUAGACUGUAGAGUAUAAGCCAAUCUAGACUAACUGAAAAUUGUGCCAAACUUAAGGCCAUGAUUCGUGAGCCCAAUAGCUCUAGGAGGCCCAACCCAAUACAUAAUAUGUGCACGUACCCAAGCAUGCAUGCAUGAUAAGACCACUGGGUAGAAGAAGAUGAUAACUAUUACCAAUGAUAAUGGCAGGCUGAGCAAGGAAGAAAUCCAGAAGAUGGUUCAAGUUGCUGAGAAGUACAAAGCAAUGGAUGAGGAGCACAAGAAGAAGAUGGAGAUGAGGGAAAGGAUACAGCAUGAGGAGCACCAUUAGGAAGUUUCUUUUUUCCUGCAGGGGCUCUAUUAUCAGUUUUUCCUGGGGCUUGAUUUGGCCUUGUUAAGGUGGUUUAUGUAUUUUUAUCACAAAAAAAAAGAAGAGAAUUUAGUACAUGUAUACUUCUCUAAGAGUUUGUGCUGCCGUCUUUCCAUUUGCAAUGCCUUCUCCACUCAGUUGUUGUAUUGUUUAUUCUCUUUCGUGGAUCCAGUAUCGCGCUAGUAUUUAGCAUUUUCGAUCAGCUGUAUUUAAUUUUCUCAAAGAAGACAUUUAUCCAGUAUUUAGCAUUCUCAGUUUUCAAUCGGUGAUACCAAGAAGACAUUUAUGUGGAUGAAUAUGGUAUUGAGAUGCAGCUUAUUUACGCUGCACGUCAUUAGAAUUACUUAUAUCAAUAGGAAUGUGCAGUUACGUAGCAAGUACUUCUUCAUCUCCACUUGUGCAAAUGAUAGUUGCUACAAUUGGUCCAGCAUUAACUCAAACCAAGCUGAGAAACCUUAACAAGCCUAGUGGAAGGUAUACUUGCAUUUUAGAAUGUUAUUCCCUGUGAUGUUGUUCCAGCUCUUUUAUGAUAAAAAGUAGGAUUUUAAGAUUUUGCAAUUGCUGUUAUUCAUUUCAUAAGCUUAAUUCUUUCACAUUUUUGCAGUCUUCCUAUGCAUGCUGUGCUAUUAUACAAUGAAUCACUCCAGAUACAUUUGCAGUAAGUUCCUGGCUCCCAGCUUGCCUCGGAGCAAUAUACUGGAUCCAAGCCGCCUCCCUCCCUCUUCCUCUACAUUAGGUUAUCACAAGUUACUUAUCAGAGCAGUAGGUAUUUGAUUCAUAAUGCAUCACUUAGAAAGUAUUUGUUGUCUAAUGGAUGAAGAUGGUUUGCUACGAUCUCAGGCAUCAAGACUAAGUCAUGUUCUGUUUGUUUAUCAAUUGAAGAAUAUGUAUUUCUGCUUCUUAGACAUUGUUUAAGAGAAGUCAUCAAUGAGACUGCAUUCUGUGUAAACUUUUGCAUAUUCGAUGACACUGUAGCUCACUCAUUUGCAGUUUGCUCUUCAGAGAGUUGGAUGUGGAGCACACUUCCUCCAAACAAGACAUCAAAUAUUUCUAUAAUGUGCCCCAAGAAUUCUCAAAAAUGGUUUUUCUUUUCUUUUAUUGAAAUAUGUUUAUUUCUUUAUUUAUUUCUGCUCGGGUGGAUGCUUAAUCUAAGUAGAAAUAAAAGGUCAGAUAUGAUUGAAUGGAUUGUGUUAUAGAGAGUGUGGAUUUUGAUUAUACCAGAGAGAGCAUAGGAACCACAUCAAUAUGGGACAAAUCAGAGGAUUGGUGGAUAGCAUAGGCACAUGCACUGUAGUCAAGUGGGAGCAAUUUAGGUAGAGGACACUGAUUUGUGAAGAAUUGGUAUUGGUGGAGGGACAUCCAAAAAAAAAAAAGUUGUUUAUAAAUCUCUCCUUUUUUUUCAGAAAUAAGCUGUAUGCAUAAAACUGGUCCUGUAAAGUUGGGAUGACAUUACAUAUGGGAUAUUCUUGUUGGUUUAAUUAUUUACUCUUCAUUUUUUGUAUGUAUUGUUUGGAAAGAAAAAACUUAUAGUAGUAAGUUGUUUCAUUGUUGCAGCAUUUCUAUGUGGCAACACUUCACCUUUUACUUCUUGUGUUAUUUGCAGAAAUUUCAGAACAACAGGUGUUUAUUCUGCUAUUGCCUGAUAAUAUAUGAUUUAACAGGGGUCGAAGCGAAGCGAGUCAUCUUCCCUAAUUUCCACAUCGAUGGUCAUCCUAGUCAUGUUGAUCUGAAAUCAAGAAUCAAGAUCAUUGGUGCAGAUUGUAGCCCUUGACUCCGGCAUGGACUUACAAUUUUAUUGUCGUUGUUUUAUAUAUAGAGGUAUCACUUCAUAGGCAACUUAAGUUUUUGAUUCUAGCUUGCAUAAUUGCAUCAAGAAAACAAAAGAUUCUAGCUUAUGCUCAAGUUAAACUUUGCUGGGUUCUUGGACAGCUUUAUGCCCUUUCAAUCCACGAAAACACUUCUUGAUUUGCUUCUUUUCCUGGUAAAAUAAAAUCCUAUCGAAGAUGCUUGUAUCUCGUAAGAUGUCCUCUCCAUGUCUGUUGUUGCUCGAGUCAUGUUUAGUUUGAUUUCAGCUACCUCUGUUUUGUAUUUAGAUCUGGACAAUUAUCUGGGAGUCAAAAAUAUCUUACUAUUGCUCUUGUCCAAACAUGCUUAACUACAGAGUUUUGAUGGAACUGCAUGUCAUGUCUAUCAAUUCAAGUCAUUUCACUCUUUUAUCGUCAAUAUUUUUUAGCUACAUCUGUUCAGUCAUUGAACAAUGGCACCAGCAAUGACGAGCUAUUCUUUUCUUUCUAUCAUAGAGAAAAAGAGUUAUAAUGGGGUUCUCUGAGAAUCCAUUGUAAGAAAAUAUAAAAUAUAUAAAUAAAUCUAUCUUAUCCUAUUAGCUUAAGCUUUUGAAAUAAUUGGUGAUUUUAACAUGGUAUUAGAGCAGAGGUUCUAAGUUCCAUCCUAACAGGCAUUCUGAUGUAAACAUAUUAUAAAUGUUGAUUUGAGUUCUGCUUAUCUUAUUGUGACAUUCACAUGCCAUGUAAAGGUGUCAAAGGCCUUGUGGGNNNNNNNNNNNNNNNNNNNNNNNNNNNNNNNNNNNNNNNNNNNNNNNNNNNNNNNNNNNNNNNNNNNNNNNNNNNNNNNNNNNNNNNNNNNNNNNNNNNNNNNNNNNNNNNNNNNNNNNNNNNNNNNNNNNNNNNNNNNNNNNNNNNNNNNNNNNNNNNNNNNNNNNNNNNNNNNNNNNNNNNNNNNNNNNNNNNNNNNNNNNNNNNNNNNNNNNNNNNNNNNNNNNNNNNNNNNNNNNNNNNNNNNNNNNNNNNNNNNNNNNNNNNNNNNNNNNNNNNNNNNNNNNNNNNNNNNNNNNNNNNNNNNNNNNNNNNNNNNNNNNNNNNNNNNNNNNNNNNNNNNNNNNNNNNNNNNNNNNNNNNNNNNNNNNNNNNNNNNNNNNNNNNNNNNNNNNNNNNNNNNUUUAUUUAGUAUUUUUACGUUAUCUAUUCUUGGAUUUUUUCUCUGCCGACGUCCUCAAAGAACGGACUCCGAGCAGAGGAGCGUCUUCAGUCGCCUCGGCGUAAGAACGCUCACGGUACCAGGUACCCACUCAAUGUCUACGUUCUCAAUUUACUUUCAUCCCUGAUUAAUUAUCUGAAUAAACCCCCGACUGACGUCGAGGUACCUGGUCGGGCCAAUCGUCGCCCGGCCUCGACCUUCCUACGUACACCGAUUAACAGCAAGCUUAGUUUAUACUAGGCUCGGUGAAUCUCCGUCGCGAGCUAACGAGCAUUCAACCUAUUCGUCGGAAAAGAAUCCGGUCCGCCCCGGCAACUCGAGGCUCAGACUCAAAGUUCACUAACUUUGCUAAAAAAUUAAGUCCUAGUGACCGUCCUAGGGCUCGGCCGAAUUCUGGGCUAGGCUCAGAAAGACUUCUCGAGCCCAAACACCCUAAACGUAAGCAUUACUAUAUUGCUGGUCGAAGGACCGAGCAAUGGAGCUCAGCAAGCCGAGCCUAAACGCAAGUCCUGUGGCGGACGAAGUUGGGGCCAUGGAGCCCNNNNNNNNNNNNNNNCUUGUGGGGUUGGGGUGUCGAGUUGUCAAUAGCUCUAUCAUAUUAACUUUGCUCGAUUUAACUUGCAUGCUUUUUAUAAUAGCGUAUGGUUAUUAUUUCUGUCACUAGAACCAGCUUUUUGCCUUGAAGCAUAGUAACAAAAUUCUGCAUUUUUUUAAAAAAAAAUUAUGAAUAAUUUGUUUCUAAAUAUUUUAUCAAAUUAUUUGACAGAUGACUCGUUGAUAUGUUAAUGGAUCAUGAAAAAUCCAUUAAGUUAGUAAAAAUCAUGAAUAUCGGUGACUUUCUGAAUUAUUCGCCGAUAAUGAAAACCAAAGAGAUUUUUUCUUUUUUUUCUUCGCCUCUUCACUCCUAUUAUAUUUCUUCUCCAUUCCAUGUUUGCAUGUUUCUCAGCCUCCUGCACAGCGGCUCAUGGGUUGAAGCCUUUAAGGCUUCCUGAGAUAAGUGGGUAGCUGGCUUGUACACCUAUACAAUUAUUAUAAGCAUAAAAUAAGUAAAACUCCAAAUUAUUUUUUUUAUAUGAAUUUUUUUAGUUUAUAUAUUUUCUAUUUAUAGACUUUCUCCAAAAGUGCACGCUGCAAUUUUUUAGAUAACUUCAUGAACUUUUAGUUUGCACAAUUUUUUUUGGCCAUCCCGUUCCCGUGACUUUGGUUAUAAAUAUCUAUUGUAUCAUCAUGUUCUGUUUUAUAUAAACAAUAUAUAUUUAUGUUCACAAAAUUUCCAUUUUUAUUUUAAUUAUAUUAGUUUUUCUAUUCUUUUUUUGAAUUGUUUUACCAUAUUUUUGCCAAAUUCUGUGCUUCCAAGUCAUGAUGAGAUGCUCUAGAACCCAAAAUUUGCGAUUAUGUCUUUGCAACACUUUUGAACAUGAUCAUCCAGAAAAGUUUAGGCUCUUGAAAUGUGUUUGGUUCACAAUCGGAAUAGAUCGGAAUGAGAAUUGAAAUAUUCACAUUCUUUGGUGCAUCUCGUUCGCGAUCGGAAUCGGAAUUGGAAUGAAUAAAAUUUGAAUACUAAAGAAAAGUCGGAAUUGAAUUUUCGCGGGAUGAAAUAUUCUUAUUCCUAUCUGCAAUUAAAAUAACCUUUUUUUCUAACCAAACAGCUGAAAUAGAAGUCCAUGCAAAAGUCCUAACUAUCCCUCCUCCCCUCAAAUAUGCUCUUAGGGUUUUUUUCAGCUAAUUUGUUAGUUCAUGAACAUAUUGGCAAUUUGGCACGGACAAUAUUAAUGUUUAUACCAGCCAAGGUGGUGGAUUGUGGGAAAGGCAGCUGAGAAAGUCGCAAGGCUUCCUACUUAAACUCAAGGUGCAAAGAACAUUGAUAAUUUUGAAUCACCUUGAUCAAGAAAAAACAUUAUAGCUCUUCCACGAAAAGAGGCCCACACGUGUGAGUGCAAAACACACGUACACGCGCGAGUGCAGAGUAAAUUAACCAGAGCAUCCGGUGGAUCAGCUAUCGAGAUCAUGGUCCCCCUUCCCCAAGCAGGGUAAUCAGCAACCCACCUUGAAAUGCACUUUGAGAGCGCAGGCUCGCGCAUGAGGUGCAGCAUAGCUUGAUCUAGGCUUUGAUCUCAUGAAAAGAGAAAUUAUUGGUUGGACCAGAUCCACCGCUACGAAGCAGACCGGUUUAGCUACGAAGCAGCACGCACAAAGUCGAACAAAAGCAUCCAAUAGAUGCAUGUUUGUGCAUGUUGCUUCAUAGUUGGAAUAAUCCAUCAGCGCAGCAGUAGAUCUGGUUCGACUAAUAAUUAGUACUAGAAGUGAUUAUUGGUUGGACUAGGUCCACUACUCGGUUGAUGGACUAGUCGUCCAACAUGGAGCAGCAUGCACAAAGCUAGACAAAAUCGAAAAUCAUGCAAUACACUUGUUUAUGUGUGUUGCUUCACGAUUGGAUUGGUCCGCCAGCUUAACAAUAAAUCUGGUCCGACCAAUUACUAGUACCAAGAGUGAUUAUUGGUAGGACCAGAUUCCACUGCUUAGCUGAUGGACCAGUCCAACCAUAAAGCAACACGCACAAAACUGGAUAAAACCAAAAAACAUGCAACACACACACAUUUGUGCAUGUUGCUUGGUAGUUGAACUGAUCCACUAUUUGAGUGGCCGAUCUGGUCCAACCAAUAAUCACUUCUAGCAUAUGAGUGCAAGCCACACAAGGUACCAGCUUUACAUUUUGGUUUUGAUUUGCCGUGCAAAAGUGGUGAGGUCCUUGGAUUCGUUUACAGAUUGAUAGGUGGAGAUGUGGUCCUCUAACUUCUUUUCAUGAUUAGAUUCCCUCUCCAAAGAGGAACUAUGUUAGUGGAAGAUCGGAGAAUAACUAAAGAAUAAAUCGAGGAUUGGAUGAACAUUAUCAAGAGGAGUCCUAGUGAUCUGGAUUUUUUUAUUUUCAAAAUCAAAUUUUGUUUUUGAAGUUUUUAGGCAAACAAACCGUCUCCAAGCCAGUUCUGAAUUCAAGUUGAAACAAGAUGCUGCUCUCUAUCAUAUGAUAAGAUGUGAAGCAUACUGUGAAAGUUGUUUAUUUUUUCAAUUUAAGACAAACUUCAUGUGCUAAUUGUCUCAUAAUAACUUAAAUAUGACUCCGUUAGAUAGCCAAUUAGGGGAUGACAUGGUUUGUUCUAGAGGUGGCUAUCAAGUCAAAUUGAACAAGAUACGGAUCCGUUGGAUACAUGGUAGGCCAACAUAAACAAUGCAUUGGAAACCUUGUCAAUACCUUGGCUGCAAACAUGGCUGAAAUAAGGAGAAAAAAUAAUGCAACCAUUGAAAGGUUAGAGAGGAGAUUUGUAGAGAGGGAACAAAAGAGGUUGUAAGAGGAAGUGCCUAGGUCGAUCAGCAAGCAUGACGUGUUCAUGUUGGUGGACAACGGCUCUUCCCACAAUUUUAUAAACAUAGCAAUUGUGCGGAGCAGCAGAAGGUAGGACUUAAGGGUGCUGCAAUAGAAUCGUUCGAUGUAAAAAUUGCGAGCGAUGAGAAAUUACAAUGUGCUGAAAUUGUAAAAAAUAUAAAAAUGAAUGUUCAAAAGGUUUUCGGGGGGACUCCAUCUCUUCUCUACCCUCUGUUUUAGGACUUCUAAACCUGAGCCAACAGCCCCUAAAUCAUCCAAAAACCUAGAACUCGGCAAGCCCAAAAAAAGCAAUUCAAACCCGACCUAUAUAUGACAAAGAUCAAAAUUUUAGAUCCGAACUCAACUAUUUUAUUAAAUAGGUAAACUAAUCUAAUCUAUAAUCGAUUAAAACAAGUUAAACAGAUUAAAUAUUAAGCAUUGCCAUCCCUAGUUUAUUCAAUCGUUUCUAGGUCUAUUAGGUUGCCAAGGAAGAGACCAUAAAGCUAGAGCCUCCACCAAGAGGUUGACGAAAAGCAGGCAAAAAGAAAGCAAUGGAUAUGUUGAAACACUGAAACAAGGAAAUAAUGGAAACUGGACUAUGGCUCCUUGACUAAAAGAGAAUUGGGUACCAAUGCACGGUAGUCUUAGUUGGCUGCAUGAUUAUACUAGCUGGAGGGAUCAAAUUCUCCCAAAACAACAGUUUAGUCUCAUUUCCUGAAAGGACAGAUGCUUGCCGUGUGACACAGGGGUCACAGGGGAUGAUUCCAAGAAGAUUGGAAUUUUUUUUUUGAUUUUGGAGGAAAGUCACUUUCGGCGAGUCCGAUUUCACGGUUCCUUCACAAGCCACCACAGCUUUGAUGCUUAGCCAAAGGCCAAGUGAUUGUCACCACCUUUAUAGCUUUCAAAGUUGUCACUAUGUUGAGGCCUAGAAAGUUGGCCAUUUUUUUUAAGACACAGCUAGGUCUAUAUAAUAAUUCCCCUAGCUUGCACCCACCGCCUCCGACCAUCCAUCCCCACCCUACUAGAUUUUAUUGGCAUAUCCAUGCUAAAACCAUACAUUCAACUCAUACCCACCCACAAGACUCCAUAAUUAAGAGCAUAAUAUUGAUCUGUUAUGCAAAUGUAGUAAAGUCCUUAUCCUAAAGAAUUCAUUUCAGAGACAAGGUUAAAAUUACAUAAGAAAAUUUUUUUAAGAUACUGAAAGAAUGAGACCAAUGUUGUGCAACACUCGAUGCCUACUAUCAGAGCAUGAAUGAAAGAAUAAGUUUUUUUCUAGCAUGAAUGAAAAGGAAAAGAGAAAAAGCUAAUAAGUAACACGCUGCAAAGUCCGUGACGCCAUCUCCACUUGAAUUACCAAGAAUCUGGUGCAGGAUUAUCAGAUUAAAGAAUUAAAGCCGAGGCUGUCAGAAAAAGGAAUUGGUCUUCCUGACCUUCAUACAGAAUGGAAGCAGGAAAUGAGGCUUUACACUGUAAAUGUCACAGAUUAGCACCAACCAAGUUGCAAGAUUUACACUGUAAAUGUCGCUAUGGGGUCACAGCCUAAGUUGAAUUGGAGUUAGAAAAGGGCAUUGGAGAUUUCCCACAAAAAACUCUAGCUUUUUGGGUGAGAAAUUAGGUUUACAACAAGCAAAGAUCUCAAGCUUUCAAUCCUUCCCCUCUUAACAAGUGGAACUUUCUUAAGUUGACAGCUUCAGCUUUCCAACCACCUCAAAAAUCAUCUGGUAUGUUUGCCACGCUUUGCAAGGGAAUUUCCAAGUCCCAUCUCAUAGUAGAGUGAUUAUACUUCAACCUCAUCCCUUAAGUGGCCUCAUCUAGAAUACGGAAAACCUGCUCCUUUAUCUCAAAAGCCUCGUCGCUUUGUUUGACUAGGUUUCUCUACAUCCCUUCUAAUGGUGGGUGAAUGAACCAGGGUAGUAUUUAACUAGGUUAAAAAAGAAGAAAAAGAAAGGUUUGAUGGAGUUGUCUAGAAGUAAUGGAAAAGAGCAGGAAAAGCGCUUUCUCCUGUGAAAAAACAACACAACUGCCUCUUCCUCUUCUUUUGACAAAGAGCAGCAACAGGCUGCAGGACCAGCACUACCACUCACAUGAAUAAUUACAGGUUCAGACACUGGAAGACAAGAGGGGGAUGGAAAGUAGACUUCUUUCCUGGUGUCUUUGCAGUAGACAAUCUUUAAAUAUCCAUUUUAGGAGCAUUAAAAAAAUAAAAUUGGAAUGAUGGCAAACAGAAGUUCAUGAUGCACACAGCAGAGCUGCCUCCUGCGGAUUAAAAGGGGACAAAAAAAGACAUGUUGCACAGUAUAUGAGUGGAGAAAUUAAACUACUAAUAACCUGAAUGGGCUACUGAACUCGCUGCCAGUCUGCCAGAUUGAGAGGCAAAUGAAAGUUUGUUUUUAUAUUCCUCUUUACAACCUUCGCAGACAAAUCUAAUGGUGGAUUAAAGAUCAAACAACAAUUACAACCAUGGUCACUUCUCAUUCCUUGGAACUCAUGUGGGGAAUAGGCUUCCCAUGAGUUGCUCUAAUGGUUGAAGGAGAAGAAGGUAAUGGAAUUACCUGUGAGGAGCUUGAAUGGUGUUGGUGCCCCUUGUCUCUGUUCUUUCCCAUGACUAUAGUGAUGAAAGACCCAUCCUCCUCUUCCGGCGGGCCUGCGGGAGGAGAGGCAGCAGCCAUAGGAUGAUGAGGAGGAGCAGAAGCUCGUUGCUUUGCCACAUCCUCGACAACUCCCCCAUUUCUCCGAGCCUUCAUGGCUUCUUCCACUAGUGUUUUCCUUAGGAGCUUCUCCUCAGCGUCCUUCAAAAACUUGAACUUUGGAGGGGGUGAGCACCUCACGCCAUGCAAAUCAUCUUCCUUUGAGGAUUCAAAGAGGGGGUUGAACCCAUGUUGACUGUAACAAUCCAAAGGUGUUAGAGGUGGGGUGAAGAAAGGAGGGGAAGAGAGAGGAGUUAAAAAUGGGGUCUCGGCAGAGACAAGCAAAUCACUCAAGCUCUUCCCUCUUGAACCUUUCCUGCUCCUCCCUCCUCUGGAUCUCCCAUCCUCUGACUCCAAGUCCUCUUUGGUCUCCUCUUUGAUGGUGAAGAGAAACCUUGGAGGCCCAGAGAGGCUGUGAAGCCUCAUGAGCUCUGCCUCCAUGCUCUCUUCUCCUCCUCCAAAUGGCCUCAAAAGAAGAUCCUUACCUGAGUUUGGAUCGAGGUAAAGCUGACCAUCAUCGGAGUGAACUGCGGCAUUAGCUGAAGUAGAGAUUUCUUGGGGAUUGAGAGCUGUGGGGCUCAGAGAAGAUGGCUUCUUCCAGCAGAAGAGAUAGAGGAGCUCUCUCCCAGGACUAGUGUAGUUAUCCUCUAUAUCUCUGUUAGCUCCUCUCUUCUUCCACCAAAACAAGUAGUAAAGCUCUGCUGCCAGCGCCAGGAACAGGAACCCCGAGACCAGGAUCAGCCCAAUGCCCAAACUGCUCAAACGUCCCAUCUUUUUGCCUCCAAUCGCAUCCCCAAACCACCAAACCACUGAUGUUAUCUUCAACAACACCCAAAAAUCACUAUGAUGUCCCUAAUCAAAAUCCCGUCUUUGGCACAUCCCUAAAGCCAAGAGUAGUUCUUGCAAACAGAGGAACUAAAAAAAAAAAUACCAAGAAACGAAACAAAAACUCUACUCUUGGGAGGAAUAAUCUUCACGAUCCCAAAAUCCCAAACAAAUGCAACAUUUCCCAGAAGCCAAAACACAGAAAACAAGGCAGAAAUUACACCGAAAUUUUUUUCCCAAAAAAACCCCUACUUCUUCUAAAACCCAGAAAAUCUAAAACCACGUAAAAAGAACACACCUUUAGCAUCAAGACCACAUUCUGAGACCCACCAGCCAUUAAUGGCACCUCCAAAGGUCCAAAACACCUCAACUUUUGCUGGAACCCGCCAUUCCGGGCCAAAUUUCUCAGCUUUUGCUCCCAAAAAGACCAGCUUGGACCCAGGAAUCGUUCAUGGAGUACAAGAAAACCACCACUAGCUUGCGAGCACGGAAGGCCGAGAAGCGUCGCGUCGUUCGAGAGCUGAUCACAUGGCCUGGAGAGGAAAAAGGACGGUGUCGUUUCUCCAAAGCCAAUGAACUCCAACCUAUAUAUAAAAAAAAACAGAGAAUUACUCCCUCUCCAUUUGUCUUCACCGCAAUAAAGCUGCCUGUUACGUUAUCUCGCGGAAAUGUUCGUGUCGUGUGUCACUCGAUCCUGACCGUUGAAUUGAUGUAGGACCCGACACGAUAAACGGCGUGGCAGGGCUUAGGGUACGGAUGAUUACGGGAGGAGGGGAUGCUAUGUUUUGCAGGUGCAUCCAAUGGGAGAUGGACGCGUGGUGGGAUGAUCUUUGAAUUUGUUCCUAUAACUGUCAAUUGCUGGGUUGAUAGGGGGUGGCAAAAUAUAGCCCGACCCGCCAACCUGAUUCGUAUUUGAUCCACCAUAAAUAGAUUUGGAUUUGGCCUAAACAGGUUCGUAUCGUAAACAGGUCGACCCGUUUAACCUGUUUAUUAAUUGGAUCGGAUAUGGAUUCUAGAUGUUUGACCCGUUUAACUGUUGGGCAGGUUAAUAAGAUCUAAACAUGUUAAAUGGGUUAAACGGAUUAAACAGGUUAAACAGGUUAAACGAGUCUAAACAGGUCGGGUUGGGCAGGUUAAACAGGUCUAAACAGGUUAAACGGGUCAGAUUGGGCAAACAGGUUAAACAAGUCGGGUUGGGUUGGGUAAACAGGUUAUCUAUUUAUUAAAUAUGUUAAACGGGUCGGAUCGGGUUACCUGUUUUAUAAAUAGGUCAAGUUCAGGUUGUAAUUUUUGACCUGUUUAAUAAACAGGUCGGGUUCAGGUUUAUGAUUUUCUGAUCUGACUUGUAUGUGAUCCGAUCAAUUUAUGAUCCGAUCCGACUGCCACCUCCAUGAGUUGGUGGACUUACGACCGUUGAGUAUUGGAAGGACCGUGGAGAUUGGAUUGAUGACUGAGAUCGUCGAGGACGGUCGACUAUAAGUUUUGAAGGAAGAAUUUGGAGCCUUUUCUAAAGUUACCUCUCCAUGGUCCAUACCUGCUCCCGUUGGAUGCUGACAUGACAUGAUGUUUCUGAUGAGUCGAGAUCCUCUCCUAUCUUUGAUGAAAUUGGAUAAAUCUAAUCUUCUAAUCAUGAUCAUAGAUACAUUACAUAAAAUUAUGCAUUAAAUAUAGGAUAUAAUAUCUAUUUUGAUACAUCUCCAACCACAUCGUUGGUGGAUAAUAAAACUAACCAAUGAAAGCCCGCCAAAUGACCUUCAUUAAAGGCACUAAAAAAUCAUGUAAAACUCUUUCAACAGAAAACCAUUUCAUCACGAUCGACUAACAUACAUCCUCAACACUUAAAUCCAACAACGUGCAUAACAUGUUGGCAGUUGUUGAACAAUUAAGACGUGCAUCCGUCUUACUUGAUGACGUAUACUAAUUCUCACUAAAUAUUAUCUACACUUAGAAGACCUUCAGAUACACUCUCUCUGGUACCCUACUUUUGCUUUCACUAUUCUUAAAUCUCCGCCAUUCUCAAAAACUUUUUUCUAAUUUAGGCAUCAGAAGAUCCUCCUCCAAGCAAAAUUCAAUAGCCUUUGGGGCUCGUUUGGUUCACGAGAAGCAUUUUCCCUCUUAAGAAUAUGACUCCUGGAAAACAAAUUCCUAGGAAGAGAAUGCUUAGAAAAGUACUUUUGGCAUGUUUGGUUGACCAUGAGAAAGUGACAAAUUUCCAAAGUGCUUAUGUUUGGUUGGCCAUCCACUUUCUUAAGAAAGUUAUGUAUAAUUUCUAUUAUGCCCUUAAUAAAAAUUAGGUCUUUAAUGCCUCUUUAAUGCUUCUUUAAUGUUGAAGGGCAUUUUUGGAAAAAAAAUAAAAAUAAAGUGAUUCCCACCUCAUGGGAAAGUAACUUUCCCAUGUUUUUCAUGGGAAAGACUUUCCCAUAAAAUGUGGGNNNNNNNNNNNNNNNNNNNNAAUGCCUCUUUAAUGCUUCUUUAAUAUUGAAGGGCAUUUUUGGAAAAAAAUAAAAUAAGUGAUUCCCACCUCAUGGGAAAGUAACUUUUCCAUGUUUCUCAUGGGAAAGACUUUCCCAUAAAAUGUGGGAAUCAUAUUCCUAUGGAAAUACAAUUUUUCCAUCUUUCUCCUUUGAAAAUUCCAACCAAACAAGAGGCAUUUCAUUACUUUCUCGUUGACCACACUUUUUCCUCUUCUUUUUCCGCGAACCAAACGAGCCCUUGGUGUUAUUUUUCUCUUACUUUCAUAUUGGACCCUUAGCAGAUUUUUUUAUCUGAACAUGGCCGCAGCGGAUUACUCACUCACUGUUCACCAGCUUGUCCAAUCUUUCUAGCGCAGAGUUUGUUUGAUUCCUUUCUGACAUUAUUUUCUCAAUCAUAAUUUUGGCAGCAAAAUAUUUACUCACAACUCUCAUACAAUAUAUGAAUAGUGAUGAUUGGGAGAAUAUACGUUGCCAAUUCAAUCAUGAAUUGGAAUGUGUUUACUGGAAGAAAACAAUGAACUGAAAGAAUCUGAAUUCGCCUAUUGUGUUGCAUCAUCGUACUUGAAUCCUUUCUGACACUAUUUUAUUGUUAUUUUUUAUUUACUAUGUAAUUUUUGUUAUAAUAAUGUAUGUUUGCUGCAUCUGCGAUUACUUUCCUUUUAGAUAAACUCAAUAAAAGACAAAUGAGAAAUAACUGUGCCGUAAUUACUGACAUUGGAAUAAGACUUGUUUUUUUUUUUUUCAUUUUUGAGCAAAGGGAGCCACAUUCACAUGGAUCUAAUUGGAAGGUUCAAAAGCCAAGAUAUUCCUCGCAAGUUCUAAAAGUCACAAGUGGAACAGCUUCCAAACUAGGUAUAUCAUAUGUCACAAAAAAAUGUUAUCCGUGCCAACUUAGAAGGGGCCUAUAUUCAUAGCAACGGCUAUGAGAUUAGUCAGAUGCCUGGUUGUAAUGAUAUGAUCUAAUAUUCUGUGGUCCGGAUGGUCCUUGCUCCUAGGGUUAGGUGUGAGAUUAGGACGGAGGGAGACAAGAAGAGAUAUUGUUGUCCCAAGUGAAUGCUCACUUGCUACCAGGCCAUCAUAACCAACGGCAUGCUUGGAGAAGGGAUCUUAAACGAAGUGACGUUGUUGGCCUCUUAGGCAGGACUCCAUUGGAUCUUUUUCAGCAGAAUGGACCACAUCUUUCUUUUUUGAUGCAAAGGGAAGGCAAAGGGAUCCACUCGGCUUUUAUUGAAGAUUAAUCGUAUUUACAACAGAGAUGAGCGGAGAGUGGAGUUACAUUAUCAAGAGAGGAUGCGAAAAAAAGAAGCUAAAUGUUUCCAAACCUGUGUCUGAUAAUCAGGACAGAAAAUGUUUAUGCUUGUAAGAAGAAACAGUGGAGGAAAGAACCUCAUCCAGACCAAUAAGCAGGAGCAUUCAUUGCCACGUCCAGGACAGAAACAUCAUCCGGGAUAGAAUUUAUGAAAGCCACUAUUCAACAACAAUUUCAUGCAUAUUGUAUUAUGCUUCAGGGGAAUGGACCACAUCUUUCGAAUGGACCACACCUUUCAAAUUGCAUUCCCAAAUAUUACAAAGCCAAAUCUACCUUGUCUCUCACCAGCAGUGAUAGCAUGUUUAAGAGACGUUGCUGAAGGAUGUCUUUUUAUGACCCAAAGAAGAGCAUGAGAAGGAUAUUUAAGCGGAAAUAUUUCUUAGAAACAGAAUUUAUUAAGUUGAGUUCAUGUUAGGUUGGAUGUCAAAUUUGUGACAUCUAGGAGCAUCAAUGAAGGAGCGUUGGCAAAGGAGGGGAUUUAUGGAAGCCACUAUUCAACAACAAUUUCAAGUGUACGUAGCAACCUCUCACCUACCAUCAGAAAGGGCUAAAAAAGAUGUUCUCCACAAGAUCCAUUUAGUUUAGGUUUUGUAGACAUUCAGUUUUGGUAAUAGUUGGCACUGAUUUCUCCAAUUAACCUUUCAGGCAUCCUACAAAUAACAAAUGUCAUCACUAGAAAUUCAAUGUGCAUGCUAUUUCCAUAGCAUCAUCUAUUAGCAUAAUUUUAGAGAUCACGUGACAACCUGUAUCAACUCAUAUUAUUUUUUUUUGUUAGCAUGAUCAUGUAUUAAUCAGUAUUAUUUUAUUUGUUAGCAUGAUCUUGUUAAAAUGAUUUUAGAAAUCACAUAACAAGUUUUAUUUUUCUUUAUUAGUAUGAUUUUAUAUCAACUUAUAUUAAUUUUCUUUUAUAGAGUCUGUACAUGAGUAUAUAUAACUCCUGAGAUGUACCAAAUAUGAUGGAACAAAAAAUAAAAUCAUUUUUUUCUCUCUUUUUCUUUUGUUUUUCUCUACUUCUGCAAAUAUUUUAAUGUCAUCCAAGUUGCUUCUCCCGUUUGCCUUUCUUCUCAGCUUCAUCAAGUUUUCUGGAGCUGUCAUGCUGGCGGUGAAGCUCGUUUCUAGCCUUCUAGGCCAUGUUAGCUCUCCACAUUACUUACAGGUUCUUCGAUGGCGGAAUCGUCGAUCCUCUCCAAGUUGCUACAUCUGCAACAUCCACAGCUAAUCUACACCUCUCCAUUCAUCCUUUCAUUACAUUAGGAGCAGAAAAGAGGUGUGGGCUUUGAGCCACAAGACCUGAAGGCAGCAGAGGCCAUUUGAACAGGCAUCAUGUGGACCUCAUGUAUAAGGUCACGAGCGCAGUAAAUGAUGUUAUCAUCUAGCCUCAUAUAAGACAUCUUACACAGCUCCAAAUAGGUACCCUUGACCUUGCUCCUUCAUAAAAGUUGCCUGUUCUGAUUCAAAGACUUGCAUGGUACUCACAAGUACUUCUUCUCAGGCUUGUGAGGCAGUCAUAAUUAUUUUCUGUUCGGAGACAGGAAUGAUCACAUGUAACUUGGAAUCUCAAAUCGAUAAAUGAGCAGAAGAAAUGAAGCUGCUUGCAAUCACUUUUCAGACCACAUAAAAAUAGGAAACUCGUCCAGCAAUUUUUCACCAGACAUGAAUGCUGUUUUAUUCUACCACUCCAGCUUAGCAUGUAAGCACAUGUUUCAUAAUAAUAUACUUUUACUGUUUCUGCCGUGCCUGCAUGGAAUUAGGGCUUUGGUUCUUGCCACAGCUGAAUGCUUAUGCAACGAGGAUGAAAUACUAACAAAACUUGGAGGACCAUAUGAACUUAGGCUAGAAUUCGCAAAUCACUGAUCAAAUAAAAAAUCAUACAGAUGGAAGGAAAUUGUCAGUCAAUGCAGAGUUGUUUUCUAUACUAUUUGGAGACUGAUAUGGGAAUUUAAGCAUCUUGUUCCUCAGAAGCAGCACUUGCAGCACUCAGAUCCAGAGUCAAAUUAAGCUCCCGCACCAUGGGGAAAAAAACGAAUAAAAAAUUACUUAACAGUACUCUGAACAUUUUAACGGACAAGCAAAUUUUCUCCUAUUUUCCUUUUAGUAUCAAUACUUAUUUAGCUACCAAUAUGGGAAAUUCAGAUCCCAGUUUGUCCAUAUGACAUCAAAAAUGAUGCAAUCUCUUCCUUGUUUCAAAACAUCAUAACGUUAUGGUCUAUCACAAGUGACCCAGCAGCAAGCAAUCUGGUAGUUCGAAGCUUUCUCUAUAAGUAUCAUCAUUAACAAUUUUGUCAACAAAUACUUUCCAAAAAACUCUUGAAAAACUUCAUAAGCUUCUUUUUAGUUCAUCCCUCAAUUAGCUCAUCCUUAAUGUAAUAUCAUUCUGUUGUCAGUAAUAUAAAAUAAUUAGUCAUUCAAGGUACCAAUGGAUAAUUUGAAUGAUUUUAUAUGCUUUCUCAAAUAAGUCAAAAUAUUACCUUCCUAGUUAUCUUUCUGUGCAUAGAGAGCAACUACGACUGUUGACUCAAAAUGAGUUGUGGCAUCAUAACUCUGCAAAGCAGUUAAUAUCAAUUUAGAAAAACCACUUCAAGUCUUUUUCACAAAACAAUAAAUCACAUGAUUAUAUUAUAGUGCAUGUUAGUGACUGAAUACCUCUAUUGCUUUAACAAAUUAUAAGUGAAUCGCCGAAUUAGUUCAUACUGACAGUAGAUAUAUGGCACUUGUCCUCAUCAUGGUUGUUGAUAGGUUCAUAUCUGUUAUAGAUGUAGAAAAAAUGUCUCAUCUACACGUCCAAGGAGAUUGGUUCCAGGCUUCAAUUCAACCUCAGCAUAUUUUGUCUCUGUUUCUGCUGAAACAAAAGCGAUGUAUUUCCCCUUUCGAGCUACAUUAGGAGCAAAAGAACAACAAAAUACCUACCCGUUCCGAAAACAAAAAUUAAAAUGUCCAUUACUAUGCUUUAUGUUAAGUCUUCAUUUAUUUUUUACUUAGGCUUCAUUUCCUUUUUCUUAAGCAAACAGGCUUUAUUUCACUUGAAGCACCUUCCAGAGCUUUGUUAUCCCAUGUUAAUGUUGAGGUAGUGUUGGUUGCUUAUUCAAGCUCACUGUUGGAGAUGGUCAUGCUGACAGGCAUAAUAAAUCCUACUAUUCAAUUGGAAGGUCCACCGAGGCAGCACCGGAUGUUGUAUCGGUUAGUGACCAAUAUGGUAUGAUACUGGCUUAGUACCAUAUCGAUACACAGUAUGCAAUGAUAUACCGGAUCCAUAUAUGCCAGUACAACAAUUCCUAUUUUCAUUUUUUUUUGUUCUUUUAAUUUUUUUUAUUAUUUUUGUUGAUUGUCUUAAUGAUUGUGAUUGUUUAACUUAAGAUUUCAAUAUUAUCUUGAUGUCUUUACAUCAGAUUAGUCUUAGGUCUCAACAAACAUGUUAUAAUCGAUAAACUAAUACAAUGCAACAUAACUGAAUGCAUGAGUACGUAUGAUUGAAGUUACAUACAAUAUAUCAAAUAGAUUUGAAGUGCAGAAUAUGUACCAAUGUCUAAAAUUUUGGGAAGUACCUAUGUCCCUCAUAGACAUCAGGAUCUUUAGUCUGGGCCUUGGGAGAUUAAAGACUUGGCAUGAUGAUUUUGGCAUGCAUGCAUGAUUCUUUCAUAUAUUGUUCAAGCAACUGCUUCUGUUAUGACCUCCUUUUCCCCAUAAAGCAACAGGCCGUCCAGUUAAGUUUCCAUCUCCGAGGCAUGCCCUUCUACAAAUUCUCACUCUGCUGACUGACAGCAGUGAUUAGAGUGAGCAUGUAAACAUGGUUAUCAAAAACAGUUAGCUUCUGGCCUAGUAAUGGUAGAAAAGUACUCGGACCUGCAAUGCUUCAGAAAUAAUAAGAGUUUCUUGUCUAAUUUGUUCAAAAAAAAAAUCAAGCAAGACUCUGAAAAUAUUUAAUAAUUAAACAAGUGGCAUGACUGAACAUAAUCAUAACCAAGGAAACUUCUUUCAUUCAUACGAAAACAAACCAUAGAGUUGCUGAUAAUAACAAUAUACAUUUAAGUCCACUUGGAAUUUUAAUAACAAAAUCCAUUUGGAAACAGAGCUGAUAAUAAGUGAUGCAUCCCAGUUGCAAGCAAUCAACAGAAACAGCCUGUCACCAUCUAGAGAACAUGGAAACUAAAAAAUAGUGGAACUUCUAGGAGGCUCAAAGUGUUAUGAUCAUUCCUUAUCAUUGUUGCAUGCUCCUCUAAAUGUUGUAACAUAACAGCAAGCUAUGACUACCCUUCGGCAAACCGAUGUUUGUCCAUUAUACCUUUCUCCUAGUGAUCCUCAUUCUGCUGUUCCAGAGGGUUGAGCUUGGAUCCUGCAAUCCUCCAAAUAUGUACCUGUCAGAGUCCAGCAAUGAGUCCUUCCCUCCACCUGCCAUCCAAGUUCCAUUAGGUUCCCAACAAACACAUCAACAAAUGUCAAAGCAUUGUUUUGGUCAGAAGAGAGGGGAGAGAAAAAGGCAAAGCAUUGUAAAACAAUAAGAAACACAUGAACAAGUAUAGCUCUUCCUGGCUUACAUAAGACUUUAGAGGAAAUAUGAGAAGCUGUAAGCAAUUUUAUGGAAGAUCUAUGGAGCUCUUCACAUGGUAUGCAUUACAGCAAUCAAAUUGAGACAAGUUAUUCUGAAGUCAAACCAAAUUAAAAAUGAAAAUAAAGCAUCUCUCAGAACUAUUUCCUAAUCAACAGCCCGGCUAACCAAUUUGUACGCAUAUGGUGAUCAUCACAAACUCGAGGAUUCUCAAAAUAUCCUCAUUGUAGAUCCUUCCAACAAGCUCAUUAUCCUAAAAGCCAGAGCCAGGUUCUCACUGUGGCUCCAAAGGUUAUGCUCUUUCUGUUUUUCAUCUGUGCUAUGCAAAUGCCAAUGAGGUAUGGGCAACAAAACCAACGUUGAACAGAUUCGCUGUGCCUGUGGGUGCCUUCUGUUCCCAAUGCCAAAGGAACUCGCUUCAUUCUUCCCCUUAAUCCAGUGACAAGCUGAUCUCUUUUUCAGAUUGAUUCAUUCGACAUGGAUUCUCAAUUUGUCGAUGUCUUCGGCAUUCCAUUGACAUCAUGUACAUCUAAUUGAAGAACAUAAGCUGAGUCUUCUAAAGGCUAUAACUCAAGAAGGAAUCGAGAAGAUUUCCUACCGCUGUUCAAAUUUUUGCGAAUUCUGUUGGAAGACAACAGACUCGGGUCGAUAAGAUAAUCUAGUGACAUGGGCAUGUCUUUGAUAAAUCUCUCUGAUUCAACAAGCCUCCCAUGAUACAAACACAUGCUCUAUUCUUGGGGAAAUAACCAAACUCCAAAUUCAUAGCAUUGUAGCAGUUCAUACCUUUGUCUACUAGGCCUGCAUGAUUGGAAGCAAAGAUGAGAAAUAAAUAUAACUAUGAGGACUCUUGCGGGCAUACGUUUAGUCCCAUAUCAGUUAUUCGCUGGAUAGAUCUUGGGUACUUAUACAGGAUCAAGAAACUCAAAUAAUAUAUUUCGAUUUGCUUUUUUGGGUGAGAUCCUAAGAGGUUCCGUGGAUUUGAAUGGAUUUGAACCCUAACGUCAGACGAGGACAUUAGAGAUUGAACCGUGGAGUGACCAUUUUGGGUGAGGUCCUGGGUUGUUACAAUAACAUAAUCUAGGUUAAGGAAGAAAUGUCAACAUACUAUCCAUCCUUCUACAUAUCCAUGAAGUUGCACCGUCGAGGCUGCUGGAGGCUGAACUGGCGAUCUAGAGAGAUUCGGGCAUGCUGCACUUCCAAAAAUGCUUUACAGAAUCCUUUCCACGGCUACAGAGAGCAGUUAUACCAAUCGUUGAUAUCAUUCAGUCAUUCAAUCAAACAGUGGAGGCAGGACAUCUCAUAAUUAUGUACAAUCCGAGCAGAUCGCGAAACGACAGAGGUAGGACCAUCAUGGAAGGAGGAAGGGGAUGAGAACGAGAGUUAAUAACCUGGCUGGCUGGAGAAGACAUAGGAGGAGGUAGAGAAGAGACUGCAAGUGAAGGAUUUGAGAAAUUGAUCGUUGGACAGGCAGGAAAUUACUUCUGGUGUUUGAUCGGUUUAACCUUCACUGACUUCAUUGUGCAAUCACUUUUGGAAAGAUAUUUGAUCAAAACAAAGUAUUUCUAAAAAAAAAUUAGAGAAACAUACAAAUAAGAAUAACGGUAAGGCUAAUGACAUGUUAUAAUGGCCAACAUCAUUUCCCUCUUGCAUUAUAUCCAAUGUAUAAUGUCAUUUUAAAAAUUGGUUCCCAGAAGCCACCAGUGCAGUCUUGACUGAAAAGAGAGCAGCUAUUAAAUUACACAGUGUCCUUAAUAUUUUGUUGGAGAUUCUUGUUUUAUACAAACUUUUUCUCAAGAAUCUCAUUUUUCCAACAUAUAAUCUGCCAUUUGCUGACAUGAUCCAUGAACCCGUUAAGAAAAUUUUCAACUUUCAGCAGGGUUUACCAUUGCCUCUCCAAGAGCAGAAAACAAAUGACAGUAGCUUAAACUCUGGCUUGUGCGUAUAUCAGAUCAAAAGAGUUUAGUUACUCUAGCAAACAACGGGUUUUGAAUUUAUGUACUAAAGUAGUGGUUAGCUACAGGAUGUAUUUUAAUUUAAGAGGGAGGCCUGAAACAUCCAUGUUCUGCAUUAAAAGAAAAGCUGGGUUUGCAUUAAUGCUUUAUAUAUACACCCACAUAAUAAAGACCUAGAAAGACAAUGCUAUGACUUUCUAAUCUUUGAAGAAGAAGAAAACUCCGGUAUUCAGCUACGCUCUUUUGCAUUCCUAGCUUCCCCUGCCAAAGAGAUAAAAAUGGCUAUCCAACUCAAGCAUUUACCACAAAACAAAGAUUAAUUUCAAACUUCACUGAUCAUAUCGCAAUGUGAUCGCCUCGAGUACGCCUACCAAAAACGAUCGUUAAGGGCCGUUCGACUCCAUAGUUGUUGCCGCUCGGUUCCGCUGACACACCCUCCCAAUCCGCUUGGAUCCGGCUGCGAAAGAGAGAGAGAGAGGGAGGAUGCAGUUGGAAUUCACGAGGCGUCGCUGCGGAAAGGUGGCGCUGCGUCGCCCAGUUGGAACCCCCCACCCACCACCUUUCCUCCCUCGCUCUCUCUCUCUCUCUGACUCCUUUCCCCAAAACGCACCAACCUCUCUCGCUGUCCAAAGGCUUAGCCUUCUCCCUCUCCCUUCAUAUGUGAGCAUUGAAGAGAUUUCCGGUAUCCCCUCGCCGUUUGGUCUCCCUCUCACGUAUCGCCCAGCCUGCUGCCAAAAGCUCUCCAUUUCCCAAAGCUCCCUCAUUUCUCUCUUCAAAAAAAAAAGAAGCUAUCCUACAGAUAGCUCCUCUCAGCUAGUAGAACCUAUCACUAGGCUAGCUACUAAUGAGAGAUCUGACCUCUUCCUCCCAAGUCCGAGGCCUAAGACUAACUCGACUGCUGAGUACCACGCACACAAACAUGCUCUUUUCCACGCUACCCUUCUUUCUUUCCCUCUAUCUCCCUCUCUUUCUUUCUUUGUUUGCUUUCCUACGAAUUCCCACCGAAUCUCCAUGCAGAGGGUUGGAGGAGGAAUAGAUUUCGUGCCAUUUAUGUCCCUGGGGGAAGCAUGCUGCAGUGCGCGCGCACUCCCUCCUCUAUCACACCCCGCCAUGCACGGUUGUCAUGCUUGAUCGAUUUUUUUAGUACUCCAAGUAGUUGAGAGAAACGUCUCGAGGGAAUAAACACAAGCAUGUUGCCGCCUUGUCACCUUAUCUAGAUUAGGUUCCAAGGCCGGAUCCAACUAAGAGCAAAACACCUGACGAUAGAAAACCUAAAGAAAGAAAAGAAACCAUUCGGAGAUAAUUAGGAAUAUUUUCGAAAAUUAAAAAGAUAAGAGUCGAACACAUUGGAGCCUCGCAACUACAGGCAUUUUGAAGAGUUUGUUUUUAUUAUCAGCAACUUAAGUCUAAUACAUACAAUUAAUGCACAUAUUUUCAAGGCAAACAAACUCUGGAAUUGAGUCUUAUGCAUCAUUAGGGAAUUUUCUUUUGACAAUAGAAUAAGUAGUAGAAUAUCAUUAGUUGAACGUUGUGAGAAACACGCAUUCUCCUCCCUAUACCUUAUAUGUAAGUUUCACGUGAAUCGUUUGUGAGGUUCGUCAUAUGAGGAUGGAGCAUGCAGCCGAUGUUGCAAAAUAGUAGUUCAAUUUAAUGUAAAUCAUAUACUUUCUUAUCUUUGUGAUUAAGGAUGCUCGGCACCAUAGUUACAUUUUUUUUUAGUUAAUUCUUUUUGAAUUUUCAUGGAACGUGAAGGAUAACUUUUAUGAUGCAGUUCUUUGAAGGCUAUUUAACGAGAUACAUGAAUCAGCAUUUUAUUGCCUAUAUAGCCGAUGCAUUGUUAUGUAUAUUGUAUUUGUUAUUGAUUGCCUUGAUACUUGCCAUUUGACAUGCAACACAAUUAUCUCCAACCCCUUGCAGUUGCAGGUUAAAAUGUUAAAUUACGCUCGCAUGAGAGAUGUGAAUUAAAAGAACACGCCAACUAAAAGUAUGUUAUUAUCAUCUUAUGGAUACAAAGAUCGAGAAAGAAGCUUAGGUUAAAAAAAGGAAACUUACAUUAUGCAUCCUAACCAUUCAUAAACAGGUGCCAAAAUUUGUUCAGAAUGUCAUCAUGCGCUAAGCAUAUUUGAAGAUUAAUUAUUUUUUCAAUGAAGAGAGUGUCAAAACCAUCCUGCCCUUAUUAGAAAAAAGAAGAGUUUAUAAAAUCUAUUUAUAAAAAAUUUGCAAGAAAAAAAAUACAAAAUAGUAAUAAAAUUUUUUUACAAAAGAUAAUGGUCUGUAAGUAGACUUGUUAAACUAUUCAACAAGCUGAACAAUCUCAUAAAUGAUUUGAAGGAUCUAUGUAUCUUCAAUAUGCAACACAUAAGCUCUGUAUCUAGAUGUGAAUCAGAUUUUUUCUAAAAAGAUAGAACAAUGUCUUUCAACGUGUGGCGCUAACGUUGCAAGAUUAUUUUCAAAUUUGAGAUGGGAACUGAGCAUAUCAAGAUUAAUUAUUAGAAAGAGUUUAGUUUUAGUGCUCAAGAUUGCUGUUGGAACUCUCUUUUGCUAGCUUUCUCUUGGAUGCAUGCAUGCAAAAUCUUGUAUGCACAUUGCCUCAUGGACAAUCAUGAUUACCAACUAGUACUGCAAUGAAAUCAAUUUGUUAAAUUGCAUAAUGAUCGGGAAUGUUAUAUAUCCAGCCAGAUGAGUCCCUGCAAGUCUGCAAAUAUUGUAUAAACAAUUAUUUUUCCUAAAGACAGUCAAAUAUAUGCUAUAAUUAGAAAGAUAUGCAAUCAAAGCUCUAAUAAAUCCAAUGACACAAGCAAAGAAUAUGUAUCAUUCCCGAGGGGGUGAUCUCUUAGCUCCAACCCAAAAGAAACUUGGACUCGCUGGCGACCACCAUUUCCGUGAUCACCCACCCCAACUGUUACCACCACCAUUGAAUGCUCGCAUCCAGGCCAAACAAAGCGACGCGGCACCUGGCGCCCCUCGGCCGCUCCUCGCCAUGUUUUCAGAGCUGUCCAGCUCCAAAAACCACACGAAUGUCAAACCCCAACGCCAGCCCCACCCCGCUCCCCUCUCACGUUUCUUGACUCCACUAGACGACAAGUAGAUACCACACUCUCAGCCCCACCCCCCUCUCUCCCACACACCACCCCCUCCAUGCAUGUAUAAAAAAGGAACCCAGCCCCUCAGAACAAGUGCCAAUAAAACAAAACUCCUACUUUCUUAGCCAUGGAGGAAUGCAAGGGGUCGGCAUCGGCCUCGUCGCCGUCGCCGUCGGGUUCUCGGUGGAACCCGACCAAGGAGCAGAUUGCGAUACUGGAAGGACUCUACCGGCAGGGGAUCCGGACGCCGAGCGCUGAGCAGAUCCAGCAGAUAACUGGCAAGCUUAGGGAGUAUGGGAGCAUCGAGGGGAAGAACGUCUUCUACUGGUUCCAAAACCACAAGGCUCGCCAGAGGCAGAAGCAGAAGCAGGAGAGCUUCGCCUACUAUAGCAGACUCUUCCACCAAGCUCCGCCGACACCUGUCCUCUCACCAGUACCUCCUCCACCAACUUGCACCAAUGGUGAGCCGCUUGGACUGUCUGUUUUAUGUCUUGUGUCUAUUCUUUUACUGUAAGUUGGCUCGUUAUUUCUCAAGUGUUUAAGAUGAUCCAUCCUUGCCUCCCAUUAUCAUCAUCAUCAACAACAAAAAAAGACGAUCGAUCCAUCCUUUCCUUUUAUCUGGUUAAGAAAGGGUUUACUUGAUUCUUGUUUAAUUUUUCCCCUUCACAGAAAACUAUAAUAUGUUUUAACAGUAUUUAUUCAUCAUGCAAGUUGCCCUCAUGGUUCUACUCAUCUAUUAGUUAUAUUUCCAACCUUAUCUACAAUACUGUGUAGCAUUUAAUGCAUUCUUUUUUUCGUUUAAGCUGUAAAUAGUUAACGAUCUUUUACUUGCUUGCAUGCGUAAGAGAUUGUGCCUAAUGGACAUUUUUUUCUCCUUGCAUAAUUUCACGGAAUUUACUUUUACCUUUAUGUUUGCUUCUUUGUGAAUGAUAUUUCUUUCUUGUUUUGGGGUUGUUGCUUCUCCUGCUUGACCACUUUUGAUCACCUUUUUUCUGUCUUGUACCAUUCUCAUGCUUUUGCUUAUGUUGUUUUAGCUAGCCAUCCGUCCUCUUUCCAUCAAAAAAAAAAACGCCCCGCCAUCUGUCUUCUUCCCUUUCCAGUUACUUUUUAUUUGCAUAUCACACUGGACAACAAUCCCAUUCUCAGCUGUCCAUCAGACUUCUCCCUCAGUCUCUUCACCUUCCUUUUUUGUGUAUAUUCUCAGCUAACAACAGAUCUCCUCCUUCCAUCUCUAGUAGCUCUUAUGUUAACUUUCAACACAAGUUAUUACUUCUUGUUUUUAUCUCUUUUAUACACUAGAAUAAAAACAUUUGGUGAUACUAAUCACCUUUUGUAUUGUUGUCUCAUUAUUCAGAACCGUCUUAAAGUUACAUGUAGAACUGCAUUAUCUCUCUCUUUCUCUCUCAUCCUUUUUUCUGAUAAAGCUUUCUCUCAUCAUUGGAUGGGUUCGUGGCCCAUCUUUCAUGCAGUUGUUCGCAGCCCAUAUUACUUUCAGGUACCACAGGUUGGUGGUGUUGGCUUCUACCAACCCCAGUUCCCUAACAUGUUCUUACCCGGAGCUGUGAACAUCAAUCCAAGACCAGAGUUUCAAGUGAGCCGGGAGAUAAUCCCAGAGGCAUUCAGCAACGCCCCUCAUCCAGCCUACCACUAUGAUCAUCAUGCCACUGGAACGAGCCACAGCACUGCAGGUCUUGCCAACAUGAACGGCCCCAUCUCCCAUGAGACACUGCAGCUGUUCCCGUUGCACCCCACUGGCAUCUUGGAGGAGAGAUCUGUCAGCACUCUAACCUCAGCCUCAGCAGAGUCCGAGAGCUUGGACGAUGGAGAAGACGAGGUGGGUGGUGAGAACCAACCACCCUUCAAUUUCUUUCGUGCUCCUAGGAAGCCAUACUAAGAAAACCAUUGUGUUUGGGUGUUAAGAAAAAAAACAAAACAAAAGAGGGGUUGGACAGUGGUUUUGCUUUGAUCUCAUCUCCUUUACUUCUUUUUUUUUUUCAUUUUUGCUACUCUUUUGUGUCAUCGUGAUGCUUUCAGGCCAUGGUGAAUAAAUGGAUGUGUAAAGAGAUUGGAGGGAUCAAGGAAUAGUUUGUUUUAUUGGUUUUGUUCUACACUUCUACUCUGAUGAAGGUGGUCAAAUGUACAGUACUGGCGAGUUUGACCGGCUCGUAUGUUUUUCUUCCUUUAUUAUUUCCUGUGUCUGUACGUAAACAUUGGACACAAGAAUGGGACAGCGUGGGCCGUGCACCUGAGGUCGCAUGUUUCGAUCGAAACGUGAAAUCGCUUGAAAACGAAGUGGGUUACUGUACGGCAUUUAUGAUUUGGAAGUCCUACGAGUCCUAUUCAUCAGCAUGGCCUCUGGAUUCUCUGCAACCUAUAACCUGUAGCCAUAUGGUUUCCUUACCGUCUGCAACGAGGAGCCCCAUGUCUUAGCGUCUGCUGUGUAGUUGUCCGAUGUAAUGCAAACAGCCAUGCAAAGGCUAGUUAAUAUAUACAACUUUAAAAUUAUGCGACAAGCAAGAACAUCCAAGUUGUGCAGUUAAAAAAAAAUAAAUACAUAUAUGCAUAAAUUCAUAUCUAAGAUCUAAUCCUCACCCUUAAAUUCUUCAUUAAGUUAUUCAUAUCUAUUAAUCAAUUAAUUAGUUAAAUUAUAUAUAUAUAAAAGUAUCUUAGUUUUUUAAUUUUAAUUUAGUUAAAAAAAACCAUAAUCAAAUUAUUUUAUUAAAAACUUCAAAGUUUUCUAAUAGCAUCCUUGAAUUAGAUUUCCCUUUAAAAGACUUAAAACAUGCAAAACUCCUAUAGAAGAAACGGUUCUAACAUUGCUGGAUUUUGAGAGGAAAAAAUGAGAAGUAAAGGUAUCACCGAUCAAUAGAUGAUAGAAAAUUGGAUUUAGCAAGAAAGAAAGAAUUCAAUUUUUUUGAAAAAAAAAUAGACUCUAAAAGCUUUUAAUGGAGGAAAUAAGAGAAAUAUUUCUAAAGGGAGAUUUAUUGCAUUAGAGAAAGGUAAUCAUGAUUUAAUUAUUAUAUAUAUAUAUAUAUUAAAAGUGUUUUUGAUUAAAUUAUUCCAGAUUUAAAACUGUUAGAAGUGUAUUUAUAUGUACAUUAUUAGUGUUUUAUAAAAGUAGCUAUCUUUCGGAACUUUUUUCCAAUUUCAAUAAUGGCCUUAAUUAAAUUUCUCUCUUAAUAGCUUAACCAUACUAGCAAACUUCUAGUAAAUGAAAAAGGAGCGGAACGUAAUGUGGGACUUCUUGGAAUUAAAGAGAGAAAUAGACACACGUACAGGAGGAAAUGAGAAUGCAUUGGGCAUGCAUUGUGAAUUAUUGGACUUCUUAAGUGGCAAAAAACUGCUUUUUUUCUCCAAUCUCUAAAAUUGUUUGGGUUUAGUGCCUUUCUAGAGUUAUUCUCAAGUCUGCUAGUGUUUGGAAAAUUUAAUAUUAUCUAUCUUUUAUGUUUUCACCCUAAUUAACAUAGUUACUCUUUUGGCAUUAAGCUCCUAGGUAUACAAGUGACAUAUAUUCGAUGCAGAUAUGUUACCAAUCAUGAACAAAUGAUGAUAUAUAUUAAAAUUUCUUCAACACAAUGAGUGCUUAUCUUAUAUGCGCAUAGGAUAUCUAAACCAUGGAGUUGAAUUUUAAGAACAUAUCAUAGUUGUAAAUUGCUCGGCUAUUAAAGCAUGUAGUACACUUAUCAAAUUAUUGAUGAAUAUAUAAAAAUUACUUUUAUAUAUGAAACAAGUGCAUAGAUAUUUUGCUUGUUGAUGCUAACAUUGUUAUUCUUUCAGAUUAACAUCAUAAUCAUGUGUGACAUUUAUAUAAAUUUUAUUCACUUGCUUCGGACCCGGGGGGGGGGGGGGGACAUUCACUUGAAAAGAAAUAACAAUGAUAGUUUUGUCAAUGAUAGUUGUUCAAAGUAUACCCAAUGCGAGCUCUUAUUAAUUCACUUGAAAAGAAAUUAUGACAUAUUUAGGGACCUCGAGAUGGUUUUCCAAAAGCAAGUUUCACCUAAAGGCUGCAAAGAGCUCGCACUUUAAAUGUGAGACGUCACGUGCGUUAGAACAAUUAUAUUGGGAUCCCUAAACGAUAUCCAACUUAAUUUCAGGUCUGAAGUAAAGUAUGAAGAGAGGGGAAAAGAUCAAAAUUCCUAAUUCGCAAUAUAUCGGCGGCUUUUUACCGCGUGCGGUUGGAUCGGUCGGUCGAAGCAAACCCUUUCGAAGAGAAAAAGGAACAACGAGGAAGGAGGAGGAGAGAUCGAAGAAGAGCUUCCCCAAUUUCCUCCAAUAAUUCUCUCCACCAUAUCGAUCUAGCGACGUAAGGAGAGCGGAAAGAGAACAGAUCGAAGUUCCUCAAGAUGAGCUUUCUCUUCGGCAAGAAGAAAACCCCCGCAGGUACCUUUCCCCUAUCCCCUCCAUGAUUUUCUUUCAUUGGGAUAUUUUGUUGAUAUGUUUGAUCUCAAUCACGUAAACAUCAUGUUAUUUCCCUGUUUCUGUUCGUGCAAACUCGAUAAUUUUGCAACUUCGAUAAUUUUACUCGGCUUGCGUUUCGAUUAGGGUUUGCGAUCAUAUUGUCAUAUUAAGUUGAUUUAUCCUGUUUUUUUUUCGAUGGGUUUUAGCUGCUGAGGGAGAAUAAGAGAAUGUUGGAUAGAUCAAUAAGGGAAAUCGAAAGGGAGAGGCAAGGACUGCAGACCCAAGAGAAAAAGCUUAUCGCAGAGAUCAAGAAAACAGCCAAGCAAGGGCAAAUGGGAGCUGUAAAAGUAAUGGCCAAAGAUCUUAUUCGAACAAGACAUCAGAUCACAAAGUUUUAUGCACUCAAAUCACAGCUUCAAGGUGUAUCUCUUAGAAUUCAACUUUUUAUGGAAAAAAGAUAUUUUAUGUAAAAUCUUGUUCUUUUUUUGGUGAACAAAAACAAAACUCGUUGUUUAGUUAUCGAAAAUCGUUAGAUUGCUGACAAUUUGGCUUGGGACGUUGGUUUUUACGAUGGAUGUUUUAGGUACCGCAGGUCCUUGAUCGAAGAUUUCUGGUUUUAUGAGGUUUUGUUCUUUGACUUAACUAACUUAUAGGUAGAUAAGUAUAUCCGAUGAUUUCGUCUGUAGUACACUCGAAAAAGCGGGGAUUGUUUGACGAUUUGAUGAUUGCUGUGGUUUUUUUUUUUUGUAGAGCUGCUGAGGGAGAAUAAGAGAAUGUUGGAUAGAUCAAUAAGGGAAAUCGAAAGGGAGAGGCAAGGACUGCAGACCCAAGAGAAAAAGCUUAUCGCAGAGAUCAAGAAAACAGCCAAGCAAGGGCAAAUGGUAUGCACUUUUUGUGACCUCUCCAUUGCUCUUAUCAUACAAUGCAGAUAUUUGAGUUUCACUUUGGUUUAGUUUUGGUCUUUGAAUUAGUUUGUGUUAACUAUUGUUCCAACACUUCCAUGUUCCACUAAAAUCUGUUCUGCAUCCUCUUUAACUUUAUAUUUCAUAUGUCUGUACUUCAUAGCCAUAGUUGGUUCCUUCGAAAUAGGUACUCCAAUGAGUGAUAGUGUCAUGGUUUCUCAAGAGAUGGAUUAGGGGAUUAAAAUGCAGUAUGAACAUUCAGUUUACGAGAUGAAGGAAGGAAAGGAGCGAACAAGUUGGAGGAUAGGACAGGCUGGUCGAUUCAUCAGAUAGGUGUGAGCUAUACCCCGCAAUCCCACACUUUAGAUCUUUUAGUGUGAAAUGAUAAAUAAGUGGGGAUGUGCAAGUAAUGGUCUACCUUGAGCAAUAUUUUUCAUGUUGCCUUUUGGUGACUUCUUGUGUUGUUUUAUGUUUUAAAUUUUAUUGCAUUUGCAUGUGGGUUUUGGUGAUCUUGAUUAAUGUCUUGAACAUGACCGAAGCCCAUGAAUUUUACAGCUUUUUGUGGGCUCUUCAUUAUAGCUGAUGAGCCUAUUGAUCUAUUAAGUCAGGUUUAUCCCAUUUGUACUAAGAGUUGAGUUUGGGGUUAAUCUGGGGGAAGUUAUUUAUUUGUGGUUGGAGGGGGAGAAGUGAUGGUGAUGGUUGUGGUUGUAGAUUAUGGAAAAUAUGUAAUGUCAUUACUGGUGAUAAAGAUUUGAGAAUAGCACACUAGAGAACCAAUUAUCAAGGUUACAUAUUAUAUCGAAGUGAGAUUAUUUUAUUUAUUUGAAGUUGGUGACAACAUGUUAAUUGUUACAUAUAUAUUCCAAAUAUUUAUCUUUUAUCAGAACUAAAUUUUAUAAAAUUUAAAUUCUAUAUCAUGUAUAUAAUCAUACACAAUAUAACAUUCUAAGUACAUUUUAGUGCUAAUAGACAUAACUAAGACAAACACUGCACUAAUGACAACCAUGCCCAUGACCCCAACUAUUUGGUUCAGCUUUGUGAAUUCUUGUCUGCCUUUGAUUUCUGUUAACAUCUUCAUUUGCCGCAACCACAAGCUUUUGCAGUCCUUUUCCUGUAAUUUUAUAUCAACUUAGGUCUUCCUCUCUUCCUUUUUGAAUCCAAUAAAUUCGAGCACCUGUCCAUAUUAAGCCUCCUACAUGUGAUACCAUCUCUAUCGAUUUCAUUAUCUUGUCCUUGAUAAACCAAACAUCUACAUCAUAUUGGGUACCCCAGUCCAUUGACUAACACCUAAGCAAUUAUAUCAAGGGAAACAUAUAUUUCAAAAAAUAGUAAUAUUUGAAUUGAACAAAUAUUUUUUUUCUUGGUGCCUAUCACUCCAUCAUGCAGUACAUCAUCCUAUACUUUAUAAUUUUCUGAACUGUAUUGAGUCAUAAUGCCUUUAAUAACACAGAAACAGUUAUCACUAGCUAUAAAUUUACUAUUUAUGCACACAAGGAAUUUGAACAUUCACUUUUUUUUUUUUGGGAAAUUAAAAAUUUAACAUGACUACAUGCAGCUGUUUUUUUAUCAAUGGAUCAAAAUUGAUGCUUGUCUCGUGAGUUCAUCAUCCUGCCGCAUGAAAGAUGGUUGUAAAAAAUUAUAUAUAUAUAUAUAUAUAUAUAUAUAUAUGUUCUCUGUCAUCGUUAUAAAUUUCUAAGUUGCAUGCUGAGUUACCAUGUUUUUAAUGUACAACUUAGAUUUCAGAAAGGCUAGCUAAUGAUUUAAAAUCCCUUUGUUGCCUUAUUUUGGCCUGUGUGCAAUGAUUUAAGUAGGAAUGUUUUUUUAAUUAUGUAAAAGAAGAAAGCAUGGGUUUUGCCAUUAGUGAUGCAGGGCAAGCUACUUCAGACUUUAUUUAGUCAUCAGUUAACUGGGUAAACAUAAUGCAUAUCUGAUACAAUGAAUUACAUCCCUUGUUUUGUCAUAAUAUCAGUAAAACUGGGAUUUUUGACUAUGCUAAACCAGUGCAUAUUUUGAGUUCUUAUUCCAAGGGAACUUUGCUUUACUUAUUUCAAGAACAUGAGUUCUUUAGUAUAUGUUAAAGUCAUCAAGUUAUUUGCAUUUGGAAAAUUUGAAAUCUUUUAGCUGUGAUCUCUUUUGGCUUUCCUCUUUACCUUUUUAUUCAGGCAGCUUUUGUUGGAGAUUAAUCAAUGAGCAUGAUUUGCAUGUUUUCUUACACUAAGUUUCUUCAUUUCCUGAGCUGUAUCUUUUCUUGUUGUGUAAAUAUUUUUUUACAGGGAGCUGUAAAAGUAAUGGCCAAAGAUCUUAUUCGAACAAGACAUCAGAUCACAAAGUUUUAUGCACUCAAAUCACAGCUUCAAGGUGUAUCUCUUAGAAUUCAGGUAAUUUGAUGCUCUUCACUUGCAUUUGACAUGAAAAUGGCAAUGAAAUUCGGUAAUUACAUUUUUCUUCAUUAAAUAUUGUCUGAUAAAAUUUCUUUGACUUUUUGAGAUAAGAUAGGUAGUUCAGUAUUCCUUUUGUGGAAAUGCCUAUUAUAACUGCUAUUGAUGCCAAGAAUGGGAAAAUGCUUCUUAUAUGAUCUGUUUUAAGACGUAUUUGAUUCCUGUGAAAGAUUCUUUCAGUUUUUGUCAUGCUUGGAGUUAAAAUGGUCUUGAGAAUUGCAGACAUCUUUAGUGACUUAAUUCAUUGGUCAUGUUAUGAUAUAUACUAAGGCACCGAAUGCAGGAAAACUGUAUUGAAUUAUAGGAUGCCUAUGCUUCCGGUUAUAAGAGUUUGUGGACUUUGAUAAAAUUAAAGUUGAAACGACAAUUCAUGUGCUGAACAGAUCAAAUGACCAUUUAGGCUUUAUGAUGGGUGAUGAUGACUUCAGGGCAUUUGCAACAUAUGCAUGAUAUGUGGCAGGUAUCAAAGUUUAAUAAUGGUAUAAAAACUUUUGAGCAAUCCACUUUCUAGCAAUACAAUGAUGUUCAAGAGAAUCAUUUGUGCAAUAGUUUGCAGUCCAAUUUAGUUGUCAUUUUCAUUACAACUAACUCAAUUGGAAGAAAAUAAGACAUCCAAUUAUAUUUAUUUUCAUUAGUAAUUUAAUUAUUUGAGUAUAUGAAAGCUAUAAGUUGGCUAAGCAGAAAGUUAAGAAGGCAGUGCAGAUAGAUUCAAAGCAUAUGAAGAAAUAUUUUGCAAGUUAGAAUCUAAAGACAAGGAGAAAGAUAUAUAUAAGUUUGUAAGAGUAGGGGAAAGAAGAACUAGAGACUCGACUUAGGUUAAAUACAUCAAAAAAGGAAAAUCAAAAGGUUUUGGUUGAGGAUGGGAUUAGAGAAAUAUAGAAGAGCUAUUUUAACAAGCUAUGAAAGUCAUGUAAAUGAUUUAUGAUGCCCUGCUAGUUCCAUUGACGAUAGAAAUGUUAAAUAUACAUGUAGAAUUAAAAUAUUUGAGGUAAAAGAGGCUAUGCAAAAGAUGACAAGAGGAGGUUGGAUCUGAUGAAAUCCCUAUGAAAGUUUGGAAGUGUUUAAAUAACAUGGGAGUAACUUAAUUGAUUAAUUUGUUCAAUAAGAUUUUAAAGACCAAAAAGAUACCUAAUAAAUGGAGGAAGAGCAUUAUAUCAAUUUAUAAGAAUAAUGAUGGUAUUCAAAAUUGUUCUAACUAUCAUGGUAUUAAACUCACGAACCAUAUUUUGAGACUUUGGAAGCGGGUUGUCGGGUACAGAUUGAGGUGUGAAACAAAAAUAUCAGAGAACCAAUCUGGUUUUAUGGUAAGAAGGUCGACUAUGGAUGCUAAAUUUCUCCUUCGGAGAUUAAUGAAGAAUAUAGAGAAAGCGACAAGAUCUUCAUAUAGUUUUAAUUGAUUUAGAGAAAAGCGUAUGAUAGAGUCCCUAGAGAAGUUUUAUGAUGUGUGUUAAAAAAGAAAGGAGUUUCUGUUGGUUAUGUCAAUGUGAGUAAGGAUAUAUAUAAUGGAGCAGUUACUGGUCUGAGAAUUAUUGAUAGUAAUACUAGUGAGUUUUCAAUCACCAUACAUUUACGCCAUGGAUCUACUCUAAGUUCUUAUCUUUUUGGGCUAGUUAUGGAUGAGCUUACUAGGUAUCUUUAGGACGAUAUUCCUUGGUACAUGCUACCUGUGGAUCAUAUAGUCUUAGUAGAUAAAAUUAAGGUUGGAGUUAAUCGUAAGUUGGAAUUAUGCAGGAGUGUAUUAUAAUCUAAGGCUUGAGGUUGAGUAGGACCAAGACAAAUGUCGCUUUAGUAAAAUUAGAAAUAGGGCUAAAGGUUAAUAGAAAAUUGAGGAUCAUGAAAUUUUUAAGAGUGAUUAUUUUCAGUAUUUAGCAUUGAUUAUUCAUAAGGAAAAACUAAAGAGGGCGUUAUCCAUAGACUUAAAGCGGGGUAAAUAAAGUGGAAAAGUGCACAAAAAUAAAAAAUACUAUUUUUGUAGGAUACCUACCAAGUUGAACAAAUUUUUUUUUAAAAUAAUAGUUAUUAUGACCAGCUAUGCUUUACUACCAAAAGCUGGAUACUUAGAAAAAAACAUUUGCAUAGGAUGAGCAUGGCUAAAAUGAGAAUGUUGAGAUGAAUAUAUAGUAAUACAAAAAAAAAUAGAAUAAGAAAUAAAAUCAUUCGUAAAGAUGCAGAGGUAGCAUUGAUUAAGGACAAAUUGAGAUAAGGAUGAUUUAGAUGGUUUGGAUACGUACAAUGUAGCAUGAGGAAUGCACUAUUAUGAAGUGAUUUGAUACAUAUGGAAGGAAAGAGGGAUAAAGGUAGACCGAAAAUCACAUGAGAUGACGUAGUAAGGAAGGAUGUGCUAUCGCUAUAUCUUGCAGAAAUUGUGCUUUUAACAGAGCGAAAUGAAAGAAAAAGAUUCAUGUAGCCUUCCCCAACUAAUUUGGGAUCAAUGCUUAUUUGAAUCGGGUUGUCGUCAUCGUCGUAGUAGUAGUAGUAGUAAUUCAACUAUUACAUGUUUUCUUAUGAUUGCAAAUUAGUUCAAAACCAGAUGAGUGGGCUUUGCUAGUUCAGCAGUAAAAAUGUGCAGAUGUUGGAAUACAAAAGAUGGCAGGAAAGAACAAAUUAAGAAUGGAAAAUGAAAAAACAGAAAACAGACAUGAAGGAAAGAGGAGAAUGAAAAUAUAACGGAAAUGAAAAAGAAGAAGAGUUAUUGAGCAAGUUGAGAGAAUGGUAUAAAUGGAAAAGAGUGAAAUGAGCAGGGAACUAGAAAUGUGUGUGUGUGUGUGUGUGUGAGAGAGAGAGAGAGAGAGAGAGAGAGAGAGAUGAGNNNNNNNNNNNNNNNNNNNNNNNNNNNGAGAGAGAGAGAGAUGAGUGCAUGGACGAAGUUGGCUGGGUUUACAGAUUUCCUGGCUUUCUAAUGGAAAUAAGUGCUCAUUAGAGAGAAUCCGGAAGGGUGGGGGAGCGGGGAGGGUUGGGGAGGAUGGUGACCUUUAAAUGUUUUAACCAUGUUUCCCUCUUGGAUAAAUGUAAGAUCCUUGAUCACAUAUGUUAGAAAAAUAAGGUCAUGUCCAAGUUGUAUUAACUAAUGUAGUUUCAUGGUUUCCACUCCUACUUCAGAGCUGCUGGAGAGGAUGAUAAAAUACGUGUGGAAGUUACAGGAAACUUAAUAAAGAAGUCUGACACUGAAUGUGCAAGCACCCUAUCGGUUGAAUAUUAGCAUUAUAUCUUUAAUGCAUCGUCAAGGACCAUCCUUUUGCCAAUUCCUUGAAGAAUUAAAUGUUCGGGGUGGUGUGUGAGGUUCUCUAAUCCGUUAUAAUUAGGUUAAAACUGCAGAUUCAUGUUAUAUGUGAAAGUUUUUUAUUAGAGCGGGAAUUGACUUUGAAUCAGUUCAUCUCACCAGUCUACAAUGUCAUCUUUCAACUAUUUUGUGAUUCUUGCAGACAUUGAAAUCAACCCAAGCUAUGGGUGAGGCUAUGAAGGGUGUUACUAAGGCAAUGGGACAGAUGAACAGGCAGAUGAACCUACCAGGCUUGCAGAAGAUAAUGCAAGAAUUUGAGCGGCAAAAUGAGAGGAUGGAAAUGGUAAGCGAGGCGAUGGGAGAUGCUAUUGAUGAUGCCUUAGAGGGUGACGAGGAAGAAGAAGAAACAGAAGAUCUUGUGAACCAGGUCCUUGAUGAAAUUGGUAUCGACAUUAAUGCAGAGGUAUAUGCUUACAUAUCUGUUACCUCUUUCUUCCUUCAACCAAAGGAUAUUGUUAUGCUUGAUUCAUAUAUAAUAUACCUCAAAUCCAUUGGUUUUUGUAAUUCGCACACAGCUUGUCAAAGCACCGACAUCUGCGGUGGCUCAACCAGCGGCAGCUGACAGGGUUGCUCAAGCUGAAACAGCUGGGACUGAAGACGGUGGGAUAGACAGCGAACUACAGGCGAGAUUAGAUAAUCUACGAAAAAUGUAAAUAAUCUUAAUAGCAUGUGACCAAUGUGAGGAUGCAAUGGAUGACUAGCAUCUAGCACCAUGUAUUAUAGUGUGAUUUUGAGAAAUUUCAUCCAUACAAUAAAUUAUGCUGGCAUACGGUGUUUUUAACACAUGUAAUAGAUUCUUGCUUGUAAGCCUUCCAGCUUCAUUCCUGUUCUAUCAGAGAAGCGCUUCUAAGAUUUUAAGCAGCAACUGCUAGAUGAAAAAUUAUCAUGUUAGCAUGUUGCCUUGUCCUUUAUAACCGUGAUUCAAACUACUGCAUUUCCUUAGCAUUUCUCGACAUGUCUCUGAAAAUACAUGGAAUUCAGAUCAUUAGUUCGAGCCCUUGAGGCUCUUGUAUCUGUGCAUAUAGACGCCACUUCGGCUCACACACAGCAGGCCAAAAAAAAAUGAAAAAAUAAGAAAUGAAUAAUGGAAAAGGGGGAAAUUUUCCGUUGUACAACCAAGCCGGCGCCCAGGUCACCAUGUCACACCGGAACACCGACGACGCCGGCCAUCAAGCCGAAAUCUGUUGGAUGUUGCGGCCCGGAAUCCACCGCAGCGGCGGCAGUCGGGCGGCGAGGAGGCCGUACUGGAACGCUGGCACGGCAAAGGGGGCAGUUGGAGUGAGAGUAGAGCCACAUAUCUAUACAAGCUGCGUGGAAGGUGUGGUUGCAUGGCGGCAGCUGCCGGAUAUAUUCUCCAUCCAUGAAAGGCGAUAGGCACACCGAGCACCCGCUAUCGGAUGCAUUCUCCAAGUCCUCCUCUUCAUUGUGAUACUUCAGUGCCGGAAUAACCCUGGCAGUUUUGGCAUUACUGUUGGUUUCGCUGGUGGAGACCUCAGGUCGCCGGAAGAACCUCCGAAGAGCUAGAGCAAAGCGACAUGGGGAACAGCAUGCAAAGGCUAUCACGUUUGACACUAUAAUCAUGAUGGCAACCACGGCGAUGGUGAGUGCAAAGUAGUGGGAAUCCGGGGUAUCGGAUUUGGGUUGAGGUGAGGGUGUUGGAGAUGCCAUAUGGAAGUGUGUUUUGAUGGCUGGAGUUCAUCAAAACUCCCAGGACAUAUAUAUAUUAUAUAUAUAGCUGGGGNNNNNNNNNNNNNNNNNNNNNNNNNNNNNNNNNNNNNNNNNNNNNNNNNAGACAAAGUAGCAGUCUGGUUUCGAAGGCUGCUUUACGGAGCCUCAGAGCAUUUGUCUGAUAAGGGAAAUAAAUAUUUAAUGCGAGUAAUCCACCUAAAAAUUCUUCGAGUCCAUGUCACGGGUUGUCGAUCGACAUCCUUCAACGGAUGUUCUUCAGGGCGUGGCCCAGCUUUGCGUGGUGGUAAAGUUGGGACAACAGUCACAGCGCUGGGUUUUUGCUCUACUUGAUUCUGGCACGAAAUCUCGCUGUUCUUAAGUAGGUCUCGUGUCAUGUGAAACUGGGUUUCUCCGUGGUGUGGCCUCACCAUGAUUGGUCUGCUGUGAGUUCGGGAGCAGCUCAGUUGUGGGGCGAAGCAGAAAAUUUAUUCUCCUGUCUUCCAUGCUUUGAGAUGUGAUUGUUAUCAUAUGCUAAAGUGGUCCGCUGAGUGCCAUCUUCAAUUCAAAAUCUACACCGACGGAGUUCUGGUUGCAUCUUUCGCGUGAAAGAAUGACUAAUUGCAUUGACUUUUGCAUCACACGGUCCAACGAUAGAUUCGAUCAAAAGAAGGUGAAUCCUCCAUUCACAUGAAAGACAACCCCUGUCCCGAUGGAUGGCGAUGUGUGGGGUUUGACUAUGCUUCAUCUCUAGCGAAAGGUAUUGAAGAGAGAGGCAAACGAUUUCAAGAGUACAAAUAAGGACUUGUUUAGCAUCUCUUUCUUUUUUAAGUUUCUAAAAUAAAAUCACAAAAAUCAAAAUAAAAAUUAUAUUAGAUACUAUAAUUUAUAUAUUUAUUUUUAAAAAUUAUUUUAAAAAUACAAUACCAAUUUUAAAUAUUUUUAAAAAAUAAUAAACUCAUAUUUUUAUAACUAAUACUAUCUCUGCCACCAUCGUUGUUGUUACCACCACCAUACUAUCACCUCCACUAUAAUUAUCACUGUCACCAAUCUACCACCACUAUCAGCCACUCCACCACACCACCACCUCCGUCAUCAUUGUCUCUACUAUGUAGACAGUAACCCCAUUGCUAUCAUCAUUAUGCCACCUCUACCGCAUUAGCUACACUUGGGCCACUAUCACUGUUGUCACUCCUAUCAUCGCCAUCUCCAAUGCCUCUAUUUUUGUUAUUAUCAUCUCCACCAUUAUUGUUAUAUUUAUAUUUUCAAAAAUAAUCAUGUAUCCCAAAUAUAUUCAUAUUUAAAAUCUUAGAAAAUAAAAAUAAAUUUUAUUUUAUUUUAUUUUUUGAAAUAGAAAAAAAAAUGUUAAACGAUGCCCAAGCUUCCAAUUUGCGGUAUACCUUAGCUGCGACCGUUCCAGUUAGCAUGGCACGGUGUGGUCCUUCAACGGGCACAAGGCGAGCACAAAAUGAUCCAUGCCUGUUACUAUUCAACCUUACAUGCCCAAUCAACUUCAGCAUAACAAUCUUCAAUUUAUAUAGAGCAUGGUUAGAUGGAUAUAUAGAGCACUCCCUCCCCUUAUUAGCCAUCACAGUGAGGUGUAGGUAGUAUCAGUGUAGCCAAUCACAUCCAAUAGAUUUCAUGGUUUACAUCGACCCUGAUUUAACUAAUUAAGAUUUUAAGUCAACAUUCAAAACCCGAACAAUUACAACUAGGUGGGAUGGAGGAGUGCUCCAUCAAGGAAUGAAAGUGGACAGCAUGGUAUCUAUCUGAAUUCAUUUUCGUAUCUAAAUCUAUCCGGAUAUGAAUACAUCCGACUAAUAUCCGUAUCUAUGUCCAUAUCCGUCAAAACAUAAAAAUCAAACAGAUAUAGAUAUGGGUAGAGAACUACUCAAUCUAUGUUUGAAUAUUCUAUUCUAUUUGUAACCGUAUUUAAUUUUAUAUAUCACUUAUAAACUUUUAAUAGUAAUAUAUAACCAUAUUAAUAUAUUGUUAUUUGAUUUAUCAUCCACUUAGUAAUAUCUUUAAUUCUAUUGUCAUCAAGUUUAAUUAUCCGACUUAUAUUCGUAUUUAUAUUCAUGCUUUCAGUAUACAAUUUGUAUCUGUAUGCGUUUAAAAUAAAUAUAAAUAUAAAUUUUUGCAUCCGACUAAUAUGUAUAUCCAUAUCUGUAUUUAUUAAAUAAAAUUAAAAUAGAUAUAAAUAUACUGAUAUCCGAUCUAUAUUUUAUCCGAUUUCAGGCCUAACUCCAUCCCUCUCUACGUUGAAAAACCCAAGGUAAUAGAUUUCAACUUUUAAGGGGCUAUCCAUCCAUCGUAGAAGCUUACUGUCAGAAAGAGUGAUGACAACAACAUUUAGGGGUGAAGGUCCAAUUAAACUUUGGCGAACAAGUUGACACCACUCUCCUAGGAACCGAGAGAAAAAUAGGUUUAUCUCUUGGCCCUGCUGAUAGGCUCCUAUGAACUGCUAAAAGCAAUGUAAUGCAAGUUAAAAGGCAUCCAAUGUGCCUAGUGAUCUGCCGGUCCUAUCAAAAAAAGGAUCUUUCAUGGUCUUGUUGCUAGGUUUAGUGGGGACGAAGCUCUUUGAUAAGUGUGAUAGGAAUCUAACCAUUCUUUAUUAUUAUUAUUAUCUUUAACUAAUCAAUUGAUUCACUCUCAUCUGGUAUGAAUACAUCCAAUAAAUUAAAAAAUAAAAAAAAUAAAUGCUAGAAAAAGUCAUUCUUAAAGUUUUACCAGAAUGCUCAACAACAAAAGCAACCACCUAGUUACCAGAGUGCUCUCUAACCAUCCAUUUUAGUGGUAUAUAAGAUCUUGGCAAGAAAAUUCUAUGUAGAACAAACUCGACGAGCAAUCCACUAGAUCCAUGGUAGCAUAAGCGCAUAGUAUAUUAGACACUGCAUUUCCUUCCACUCACCCAAAUCAAUUGAAAAAUAUCAGUGAUAAUCUAAUUCACAAGAAACCACCAUUAUCAGGGGAAUUACACUACACGGUGUCUAUUAUUACAUGUUGCAUGAUAUCUAAAAACUACUGUAAAAUUGCAUGUUGCCACUUGGAACAGCUACCUAAAUUAUACGCAGCCAAUUAAUAUACCAAGGAGAGGUUCUAGUGGGGGGUGCAUUUGGGAUCAUCUCAGGAAUCCAUCAUUUGGAUUUUGGCUCCUCAAAAGAACUCUUUCAUAUAUCAAUUGCCCCUUUUUAACUCCAUCAUAACAUGCUCCCUUCUGUUCCUCGAGAAUGCGUUGAGGUUUCCUGCGUUUUGGCACAUGGGAGCACUCCCAAGAGCAAUAUUUUAGGGUCAAUAAUUCAGUAGCCUUGUAGGAAUGCACUUUUACCAUAUGGCCCAUUAGUGCUCAAACUAAGCAGUUUAAAUUAACUACAAUCACUUGUAUUUUUUAUGGAUGCAAAACUUAGUCAAUGAGAUCAAGGGAAAGCAAGAGUGGCAUGAUGUGUUAUCGUGUCGUGGGUGAUUACUAGGAUGUUACAAUGUCAUUAGUCUCCUUCAUUUUUGCUUAUAACUAAUCUGCAAGUGGCUUCUACUAUUUCAAUAGCUAUCCACAAGCACGCCGGUGUAACACGUCAGGGCCAAGAAUAAUACAAAUCAACAGGAUAAUAUUCUUCAAGAACAUGGAAAGGUUGGUGUUCGGUUAAUACUAAACGGCACGGCUUUAUGCAGUAAAAGAUGGGUUCUUCUUGAUAGUGAUAUAGCUGGUUGUGCUCAUGGGAGAUCAGUUUGAGCAGCUGACCCAAUUAAAAAAAAAUUUAUGAUGGGUUCUAUAGUGCAUAUGCUGCUUGGAUGGUGAUAUUUUGUACCAAGUCUAAAUAUUUCAUAGCGUGCUAAGCUUGAUUAGCAAGUUGACAUGGAGGGAGCUAUCAUGGUUGGUGCUGCACGCAAGCUAUUACCUGCACCAAGGUUGCUUUCAGAUGUUUUUUUCCCCUACUCAUUCAGAAGGCUUUCUUUAUACAUGAUUCAUUGUAUUUGAUAAGCAGCUCGCAAGACAUUUGCUUCGCGGCCUGUUUAUUAAUUGAUUUAUGUAAGAAAUUAGCAAGUGCAUGGGAAUUAAUUAGCUACAUUUGAUCCAUCAUUUUGAUAACUAAUGCCGACUUUUUAUCCUAAGUACAAAAGUAUCCCAAUAUUGUACGUGGAAUAUUGUGUGCACGUUAAGAUGACUUUGGCUAGAAUAGUUCUACCACUUAUAGUGGUAUUUUUCUAAACAAGGACUAAGAGGGCCAAGUUAUAGCAUCCUAUGAUAAAUGUGACCUUGACUCCAUCAACAUAGCUCUUUCCAUAACUUAUCAAAUAAGAAAUCCGGCAGGGGCCACCUCGAAUUUAACAUACAUUCAUCAAUUAGUGACUACUCACUAAAUCAUUGUCUCCAUUACAAACCUGAUAUCACGGUUGAAUAGCUCUUGAGGCUAUCAUUGAUUCAAUUGUCCUAAUUUUCAACAAUAGAUCACAAAUAUAAAAGAAUUGUGAGAGGUCUACCAUUAACAACCAUUGUGAUAAGGGAGGAAGGAGAGCUGAGAGGGAACUCUCAUGAUAAGAAGGAGAGUCUCUUUUGACGAGCUUUUUUUUUUGACUUGACCCUUGAGCCACAUAAUUGAAGAAAGAUAUAGGCUGACACCUAUAUUGAUUUAAUUAAAUAAAAAAGAACUCACACGACGUCACCGUCAAGUAACGGCGAGGUCGGCCUGGCUCCUUAAACGGACCGGUUAACGUUCUUUUUUUCUCCCUUCCGUCUUUUGAAAUGGGGAAGGAAUUCGAGCCCCAGCGGUCUCCUCUGGAAUCCAAGAGGUCUUCUUGAUGCAAUCCGUUGUUUAGGGGCGGGUUUCGAUUCAUUUCCGCUUCUUCUUCUUCCUGCGUUUUUUGUUGUUUAUAUGGAUGGCUGGGUUCUAUCUCUCCGAUUCGGUGUUUUCCUCCCAGUUUUGGCGGAUUUUGGGAUUUUCAUGGUCUUAGGUCGAUAAAGAUCUGAUCUUUUUGGUUGUGUUGGAUUCCUGUUUUAAAUUGCGUAAAGGAUUUCCAAGAAAUUAAUGAUUUUAGGGUUCUUCUCUCCGGUUUUCGGAGGGUUUUGGGGAUUCCAUGGUCGUAGUUCGUCAAAGGUCUCAGCUUUUUCGUUAUCUAUUCGGCUUGUUUGAUUCCUGGUUCAAGAUUUGGUUCCUGGUUUGAUGAGGUUUCGGAUAAAUUAGCGUUUUUAAUUAGGGUUCUCCUCUCCCCUUUUUUUGGACGAUUUGGGAUUCCUUGGCCGCUGAUCGAGAAAGAUUCCUUCUCUCUUGUCAGCCGAUCAGUUAUUUUCCUUGUCGUACAUUUUAUUGGGCACGUUUCUAAGAAAUCUAGGGUUUUUGUUCAUAGAAAUCCGGGUUUGCGAAGAUUUGUUGAGUUUGGGUUUAGGGGGUAUCGGAUUUCUUGUCUCUGAUAGGAAUUCGUGGGGUGGGAUUUAUGGAAUGUGUCUGCGAGUGUUUUCUAUGGGAUGCGUUCCUUGAAUGCGGUGGAGUUCGAAACCCCCCGGACGGAUAGCAUUUGAGAAGGAGGUAGAGGAGGCCAUUAGAGUGCACAAGGAGAUAAGAGAGAAAGAGCCAUGGGAGAAGAUCUCCUCACCUCUCUGUCCAUGGAGAACCACCACCCAUCCACUCUUCUUUCUAUGGAUCCCUCCGGCGGCCCGGCCUUGCUCUCCUCCCAUGAGGACUUGUCCGACCGCGAGCUGAUGAUCCAGCGGCCGCCCGACAUCAACCUCCCACUCUCCGCCGAGCGCUCCCCUCCCCAGCAAUAUUGGAACGAUAUCUUGGACGUCAGUCUUGGCUCUCAGGUCUAUGAUCCUGCGACUCUCCUGCACCUCCCCAGGGUCGGCGCAGCCCGCAAAUGUGUCAAGAGAGGCGACAGCAUCUGGGGCGCAUGGUUCUUCUUCACCUUCUAUUUCAAGCCAGCACUCUCCGAGAAAUCCAAGGCCAAGACAACCCGAGAUGGGAAUGGCGUCUUAGGCUUCGACAAGUCCGAACUCCAGUUUGAUGUGUUCUUGGUCCAGCACGACAUGGAGAACAUGUACAUGUGGGUCUUCAAGGAGAGGCCGGAGAACGCGCUGGGCAAGAUGCAGCUGAGGAGCUACAUGAACGGGCACUCCCGCCAUGGCGAGCCCCAAUUCCCAUUCAGCGCCGACAAGGGCUUCGUCCGAUCCCACCGGAUGCAGCGCAAGCAGUACCGUGGGCUGUCGAACCCUCAGUGUGUGCAUGGUAUUGAAGUGGUGAGGUCACCCAACUUGGCGGCUGUCACCGAGGUGGACCGCAAGAAGUGGAUGGAGCUCACUGGCAGGGAGCUUAAUUUCUCGAUCCCGCUGGAAGCCAGUGAUUUCGGGUCAUGGAGGAAUCUUCCCAACUCUGAAUUUGAGCUCGAAAGGCCUCCUCCUCAUUCGAAGGGCAUUUUGCAUCCCCACCCAAAGAAAUUGCUUAAUGGAUCAGGUUUGAACUUGUUAUCGCAUUCUAAUCAUUCCAAUGGUGAUGGGAUGGACCUUUCUCCAGUUUGCAGCAAGCGCAGGAAGGAUCUCUUUCGACAUGGGAUGGAUGAGGAUUGCGGCUUGCCCCUGAAUUCUUAUUCGGAGAGAGCCCAAGACAUGGACAUACACCCGGUCGGGCCAUCAUGGUUGAAUGACUUUAGCGGUGUGAUGAGGCACAUCUAUGGGCCGGUAACUGCUGCAAAGACGAUUUAUGAGGAUGAACGAGGUUACUUGAUAAUGGUUAGCCUGCCUUUUGCUGAUCAACAGAGUGUGAAGGUUUCUUGGAGGAAUAGUCUUACUCAUGGGAUAGUGAAGAUACUCUGUGUCAGUACUGCUCGGAUGCCAUAUGUAAAGAGGCAUGAUAGAACAUUCAAGCUGACCGACCCUUCUCCUGAGCAUUGCCCACCAGGGGAAUUCAUAAGAGAGAUACCGCUUGCCACUCGAAUCCCAGAAGAUGCUAAGUUAGAAGCAUACUAUGAUGAGACUGGCGCCGUGCUAGAAAUAAUGGUUCCUAAACAUCGUGUUGGGCCCGAAGAACACGAAGUUCGUGUAUGCUUGCGCCCUCCUCAUCUUGGAGCUAAUAAUCUUAUGUUGACCUGAACAGGUGGGAAUAGCAUGUGAUGGGUGGUUUGGCCAAUUUCCAUUGUUUACUAACUAUGCAGCAUAAAAGGAAAUUUGUGAAAUGGAAGUGCAUUCUUGCCAUAUUCAACUCUCCUUUGCAAUUUGGUUUGGCUGAAUAUUCUUGGUGGUUUUUCAUGUUUGGUUGGAUAUUUUUAGUGAGUUGCAUGCUUGAAUGUACUGACAAAAUGUUGAGGUUUGAGAACAUCUUUGGGAGUCAUGUUGAAAUUUUAGCAUGAGGAAUCAUCAAGUUAAAUUCGACUUUGAUUGUUUUGUGGUAAAUGACAAAAUGCUUCAAUGUACUGACAGAAGCAUGACAAAAUGUUGGCUGCAAAACCAGUGUUUGUGGUUCAAAAAUAUGUGUGCGUUCAAAUUCAUAUACUUUCACUAAAAAUCUGUCAUGCUUCUGUUCUGUAUGUGGUCGGAGAUGCUUCAAUGUGCUUAUAUACAUUCUCAAAGUAAUUCUAUCCCUAUACUCUUAUGGAACCAGUAAAUGUCCUUUGUUUAUGUUCCUACUGAAUAUUUGUGUUUGUGUCAGCUUGAAGCGGACCGGUGAUAAAAACUGUAUAGCUAGUUAAAGAUACACUGUCACUCAGUAUAUGUAAAUACCUUUAGCAUAUCUGGGAUAUAUCUAAUAAUUGUUGUAACUUGACCAUCUGCGGGUUCUACUUCAUCUCUAGGAUGUACCAUUGUAUGAUGGGUCGCAGUCAGUGCCGCUGAAUGUCCAAAGCAUUUCCUGUACAUUUGUGUUUGCAACCCCUUUGCGAUCAUCUUAUGUCCAUGUAUUCUGCUACUUUCUCUCUCUCACACACACAGACACCCCUUUUUUCUCAAUUAGUCUUUUACUCGUUUUAAGGCUUUUAUUCCAUGAAUGUAUUGGUUUUCUUUUCUUGCCACGUUUGUGUUCUUUCUCUUGACCUGCAAUGAAGCAAUUCCUUGCAUUGUUUGCCCUUAUCUGAUUUCUUAGCCUGCCGAUACUGCUGUCAUUGCCUUGACAGCCACAGAUAAGGUUGAUUUAGCCGAAGCUCCUGCUUAUGUAGUUUUACAGUGUGCCCUCCGAAGAUGGAGUUCGUGUUAGUUGUUCAUUGGUUGAUAUAUUUGAAUUGUUCUCCAUAUUAGUGACUGUUGCUGGUGCAUACCUAUUUCUUGAUCAUUUUUUAACUUAUCAUCCUUGAUAGCUUACAGUGACUGUUGUAAGAUGACCAUCGGUUUGAAAUCUACAUGUUAUUAUGGUGAUCAUAACUGAAAUUGCUUAUGCUGCGGGCUUUUUCCUCUUGCACGCUGUCGUAGAUUGUCAAUUCUGGAAGUUUACAAUAAGUACUUGCCACUAGAGUAUCUUAUGAUGCCCUACUCUCUCCUAUAAAGAGUACGAGGAUUGAAGAAGCAGCUCUUCAGAACAGUAAGCAUGUAACAUUCGGUGAAAGGAUAGGGAAAACUAUGCCAGGGGCCCGUGCAGCCAGAGCCAUCGUGGAAAGACUAGAAGACAAGAUUUCUUCUGCCGAUGGAAAAGGCACAAGUAGCAGAUGAUCGCAUAAAAUGGCCAGAUAGCUUAAAAGGUCUGUGUUUGGUACGGAACAAAAGAGCUUCAUCUCAGUGCAGAAGAUGAAUGCAGAGAGUCCGCUUUUAUUGGGACAUCACCUGCCUUCUUUGUAGUGGAUAUGUAAUGGUCAUAAAAAGAUGAACCUAGGAGGCAAUACUCUCGAGGUGAGGAUAUUUAGGGUUCUAAACAAAGACUUCUGGUCCAAAAUUUGCAGUCAGGCAUGUUCGGAAGUCCAAACCAGUGAAUCCAACAAUGAAACGUUAUUUUUAAAUAUCCAAAAUAAAUCAUGGAAUGAAAAUUUUAAAAUAUCUGCCUAGAUGUUAUGUUAGUUUACAAUAGAUACAGACAUGAGUGCUGCAUUCUAUACCCAAUCUACAAAUAUGGUCUAAAUUAUCAGCACAACCAAUCCAAAAGCUACCCGGCAUCAAUGUUGCUUUUUCACAAAUUUUCACUUCGUCAACCCACUGCCUUGCAUAUCGAUAAGAGGCAUUCCUGACAUAUAACCUGACUCAAACAAGUAGUAAAGACAGGAGUUCCCAUGAACUAAGUUCCCCAAUUCAUGGGAAGACUAAACCAAUAUAGUCAUGGAAAGACUAAACUAAUCAUCACAACAGAUGCAACGCUCACUGUAGCCACCAGGAAAAUAGAAACAAAAACUAGAAGUUCGGGUGAACUGCAAAGACACCAAACACACCAUGCUGCUACUAAAGCACCUCAAACGAGAAACUGGAGAGAGAAGGUGAAUAAGCUCGGGUGUACUGCAAGACACCAAGCACGCAUGCUACCAUUCAAGCAAUUUAAUCAACUUCCUCAAUCUUGGGCCCUGCACCACUGCUACCACCAGCUGCCGGAAUGUCCUCGUCCAUGCCACCAGCCAUCCCUGCACCUGCGCCCUGGUACAUCUUGGCAAUGAUUGGGUUGCAGAUGCUCUCCAGCUCCUUCAUUUUGUCUUCAAACUCAUCUGCCUCAGCGAGCUGGUUGCCAUCCAGCCAAUUGAUGGCCUGCUCAAUGGCAUCCUCAAUUUUCUUCUUGUCAGCCUGUGGCAACUUGGCGGCAAUCUUCUCAUCUCUGAUAGUGUUUCUCAUGUUGUAGGCAUAGUUCUCCAAAGCAUUCUUCGCCUCCACCUUCUUUUUGUGCUCCUCAUCCUCUGCCUUGUACUUCUCGGCCUCUUGGACCAUCUUCUCGAUCUCCUCCUUGCUCAACCUGCCCUUGUCAUUGGUGAUCGUGAUCUUGUUCUUCUGCCCGGUGGUCUUGUCCUCAGCGGACACAUUCAGGAUGCCAUUGGCAUCUAUAUCAAAGCAAACAUUGAUCUGAGGCACACCUCGUGGAGCAGGAGGAAUGCCGGAUAGCUCGAAUUUACCAAGAAGGUUGUUGUCCCUUGUCCGGGUUCUCUCACCCUCAUAAACCUGAAUCAGGACACCAGGCUGGUUGUCGGAAUAGGUGGAGAAGACCUGUUCCUUCUUGGUUGGAAUGGUAGUGUUCCUUGGAAUCAAGACAGUCAUAACACCUCCUGCAGUCUCCAAACCAAGAGAGAGAGGGGUAACAUCCAGCAGCAGCAAGUCCUGGACCCUCUCAUUGCCCUCCCCGCUCAAGAUGGCAGCUUGGACAGCAGCACCAUAGGCAACAGCCUCGUCGGGGUUGAUGCUCUUGCAGAGCUCCUUCCCAUUGAAGAAGUCCUGAAGAAGCUGUUGCACCUUGGGAAUCCUGGUCGACCCACCAACAAGGACAACAUCAUGGACGCCGCUCUUGUCCAUCUUAGCAUCUCUCAGGCACUUCUCCACGGGCUCCAUGCACUUUCUAAAUAGGUCCAUGUUGAGCUCCUCAAAUCUGGCUCGGGUGAUGGUGGUGUAGAAAUCAAUACCCUCAUACAGGGAAUCGAUCUCAAUGGUGGUCUGGGCAGUGGAGGAGAGAGUCCUCUUUGCUCUCUCACAAGCUGUCCUCAAUCUCCUCAGGGCCCUGGGGUUGCCACUGAUGUCUUUCUUGUUCUUCCUCUUGAACUCCUGAACAAAGUGGUUCACCAUCCGGUUGUCAAAGUCCUCACCACCAAGGUGAGUGUCGCCAGCAGUCGCCUUCACCUCGAAGAUGCCCUCUUCAAUGGUGAGAAGAGAGACAUCAAAGGUGCCACCACCAAGGUCAAAGAUAAGAACAUUCUUCUCGCCAGAGCUGCCAGCCUUCUUGUCAAGACCGUAGGCAAUGGCAGCAGCGGUGGGUUCAUUGAUGAUUCGCAUGACAUUGAGGCCAGAAAUGACGCCAGCAUCUUUGGUGGCCUGACGCUGGGAGUCGUUGAAGUAGGCAGGGACUGUGACAACUGCGUUCUUAAUAGUAGAACCAAGGUAGGCUUCAGCAAUCUCCUUCAUCUUCAUGAGGACCAUGGAUGAAAUCUCCUCUGCAGAGAACUGCUUCUCCUCGCACUUGUACUGUACCACAAUCAUGGGCUUGUCACCAGGGCCUGGGAUGACCUUGAAGGGCCAUAGCUUCAUAUCAUUCUGGACAGAGGGGUCGCUGAAACGUCUGCCAAUCAAUCUCUUCGCAUCUGUGCACGACCAUAACCACAAACAGAACAAAGAUCGUCAGGGGUAAACGGGAAAAAAAAGCAAGAUGCAAAGUGUUCCAAAAAGAUAAAAUAAACACAAGUCAUGACAAGUAGCUCUGUCCUCAAUAAAUCCUAAGAAUUUCCAGUAGAAUUUAAAGUGAGGAUAAUAAUAGUUCAUAGAAUGAUUCAGAAAGGCUUUCAUAAUCACAAUCUUAUCAGUGAAUACAAUUUUGAACUUAAAAUCAAGAAGACUAAACUUGAUCCAGAUCAAGUCAAUUCGGCUUAGAAUUCAAGCCUUUUACACUUCUCCGAUUUACAACUAUAUAAAUUGCUUAAAUUGUAAAAUAAAUGCCUUCCCUAAUUCGUUAAUAAAGCCAGCAUAUCUAAAGAUAUAUACACAGUUGGUAGCUUUGAAUAUUUAUAAAGAUAUAUACAUUAACUAUGUACAUUAUAAAUCUAGCUCCACAUGCAUAGCUUAAGUUGUGCAAUAAAUAUCUUCCAUAAUAUUUUUAUAAAUCCCGUAUUUCCAAAGAAAACACAAAUUUUUGACACAGUUGAUAGUUUCUUAUAUUUAUAAACAUAUAUACAUUAAAUAUGUUACAGAUCUCCAAGAUAUAGAUGGAAAACAGGUUCCUGAUGCAAAGCACGUCAAUUAGAAAAAAUAAACAAGUUUCAAAAUUUGUAAAAAAGUAUUCGUAACAGCUUUUACAUAACCCUAAGAAUAACACGGAUCAUGUUGCAACUUUUCGUUGGAUCUUUCCGAACAAAACUAAACAUACACAUAAUUUGCUCCGAUCCCUAUAACAAAAUCUAGAAAAAAAAUGCAGAAUUUUCCAUUCAUGAGAAAAAUUAUAUCGAAUAUCUACAAGCUGGCAGGUUUUAAAUAACUCGGAGCAUAAAAGCUAAAAAUAGAAUAAAUCAAAAAUUAACUUCCCAAACCAACCCACAAAUCAAUCAAGUGACCAAAAAUUUGAUCUUUUUUUGGGGAAAAAAAAAAUCCUCCACAAUGACCAGCAAAAAUACGACAAAUUCAGAAAGCAUAUCAAAGACGCGUGAACAAUUUCAUCAAGAUCUCAAACUUAUAGAAUUUCCAUGAAUUCUAUCGCAACGUAGCACUACAAAUGCUAGUAACUACGUAAAAAGCAUAGCCUAGCAAACAGAGUAGGCGAUCUGAACUUACCGAAGACGGUGUUGGUGGGGUUCAUAGCGACCUGGUUCUUGGCGGCAUCACCGAUAAGCCUCUCGGUGUCAGUGAACGCGACGUAGGACGGGGUGGUGCGGUUCCCUUGGUCAUUGGCGAUGAUCUCCACCCUAUCGUGCUGCCACACGCCGACGCACGAAUAGGUCGUUCCGAGAUCGAUCCCGAUCGCCGGACCUUCGGCUUUCGCCAUGGCUUCUCUCGCAGAUCUAAUCGAAGAGAAGAAUUAUACAAAGAGAACGGAAAAAAUAGAGAUCAAAAGAGAGAAUGUAAGUGCGAGGAGGCGAGGCGUAGAAAGGGCGCGCUUUUAUCGGAUGGGCUCCGAUUCCAGAAGGUUCGAGCGGGGGAAGCCUGGCCAUUGGAUUGGUGGGAGAUGGACGGCGUGUAAAGGGGUUGGUCGUUCUCGGAGAAUUCGUGCACCCUCUGGAGAAUUCGAGAAGCGUCUUUGCUUCAGGUUUUUCCGAUCGAGUGGGGAAGCCGGCGCGCCUGCUCCUCCACUCCGCUUCUGCCACCUUACGACAUCCGAAAGGAUGAUGGAAUCCUGUCGGUACCUGGCCCCACUCAGUUGGACCGGACCGGCCGGGAGGAUAAAUAUGAAUCCUCUCUCUCUCUCUCUCUCUNNNNNNNNNNNNNNNNNNNNNNNNNNNNNNNNNNNNNNNNNNNNNNNNNNNNNNNNNNNNNNNNNNNNNNNNNNNNNNNNNNNNNNNNNNNNNNNNNNNNNNNNNNNNNNNNNNNNNNNNNNNNNNNNNNNNNNNNNNNNNNNNNNNNNNNNNNNNNNNNNNNNNNNNNNNNNNNNNNNNNNNNNNNNNNNNNNNNNNNNNNNNNNNNNNNNNNNNNNNNNNNNNNNNNNNNNNNNNNNNNNNNNNNNNNNNNNNNNNNNNNNNNNNNNNNNNNNNNNNNNNNNNNNNNNNNNNNNNNNNNNNNNNNNNNNNNNNNNNNNNNNNNNNNNNNNNNNNNNNNNNNNNNNNNNNNNNNNNNNNNNNNNNNNNNNNNAUAUUAAUUAUGUAUAUAUAUAUAUAUAUUAUGUAUAUAUAUAUUAUAUAUAUAUUUAUAUAUAUAUAUAUAUAUGUAUACAUAUAUAUAUAUAUAUAUAUAUAUAUACAUACAUAUACAUACGUAUAUAUUUAUUUGCGUACGUGGCCCAGCCGAACAUAUUUACACUCCGGUUCUACUGUCCCACCGCCCCGCCCCGCCCCGCCCCGCCCGUUUGGCGAGCAGUGGUUCCGCUCCUUCUUUUGAACCAGGUGUUUGAUGAAUUCUCGCACUACGCGCGCCGCGCCAAAUAAACGACGAGCUGGCUAGGUGGUGCAAGAAGAUCCCAGCGCUCCGACCCAAGCCCGCCACCCGUUCUCCUCUUAUUCUCUCCCUCCAAAAUCUCUCCACGCUCUCAUGCCCGCCCGCAGAAGCCACCCCGAAUGGGUUCCGCCUUCUCUCCGACCACCCGAACCCCGAGGUCUCCCUCUUCCUACAAAAAGGCUUCGCAGAGAUCUCCAACCUUCUCACUGGAAGAACAAUCCACUGCCUUUCUAUUCGGCGCUCCAUUCACCUCAGCCUAUUCCACUACAACACCCUCAUCAACUUGUACUUCAGAUUCGGCCGAUUGGAAACCGCGCUCAAAGUGUUCGAUCACAUGCCUCAAAGAAACGAUGCCUCUUGGAAUACAGCAAUUUCUGGCUGUGUUCGAGUGGGUUCCUUUGCUAAAGCUGUUGAAUUGUUCCGAGAGAUGAGGGAAGACGGCAUCGAGCCCAACAAGUUUGUGCUCGCAAGCCUCCUGACGGCCUGUAACCGGUGGGCAGAGAUGGUUGGAAAAGGUAUCGAAAUCCAUGCUUUUGUUUUGAAAAUUGGGAUGAUGAGUAAUGUAUAUGUUGGAACUGCACUGCUGCAUUUGUAUGGCAGUUAUGGAUUCUUGUCUGAUGCUCAGAGACUCUUUCAGGAGAUGCCCGAGCGGAAUGUUGUCUCCUGGACUGCCUUAAUGGUGAGCUUUUCCACAAAUGGGUAUCCACAGGAGGCCGUCAAGGCUUAUAGGUGGAUGAGGCGGGAAGGAGUGGUUUGCAAUCAAAACUCCUUUACGACAGCAAUUAGUUCUUGUUGGUUGCUCAAGGAUGAGAAGUUGAGCCUUCAAGUUAUUGCCCAUGUCGUGGUUGCUGGAUUUGACACUGAUGUUUCGGUGGCAAACUCUCUGAUAACAUUGUUUGGGAAUCUGGGGAGAUUAGAGGAAGCUGAACGCAUCUUUAACCAGAUGGAACAAAAGGACCCGAUAUCUUGGAAUUCGAUGAUAUCAAUAUAUUCACGAGAGGGAAUGCACAAGGAGUCUUUGCAGUUGUUUUCAGACAUGCGUCAUGGUAAUAUCAAGCCAGAUACCACCACUUUCUCCAGUUUAAUAACAGCAUGUAGCUGUUUGGAUCAUCUGAAGUGGGGAAAGGGACUUCAUGCCCUAAGUGUUAAAAAUGGUCUUGAUUUAUUUGUUUCUGUGGCCAAUGCCCUUGUUAAUAUGUACUCCACGACAGGGAAGUACAAAGAGGCAGAGUUGUUGUUUCGUGACAUGCCCAAAAGAGAUAUGAUUUCAUGGAACUCUAUGAUCUCUUCCUACAUCCAGAGCGGGCAAUGCACAGAUGCCUUGAAGCUUUUAGCUCAACUGAUUCGAACAGAGAAAGAAACAAAUCAUGUGACAUUUGCUAAUGCACUCUCCGCAUGUUCUAGUCCUGAGGCUCUAUUUGACGGCAAGACUGUUCAUGCCCUCACAAUUCAUAUUGGUCUCCAAGAGAACUUGUUGGUGGGUAAUGCUUUAAUCACCAUGUAUGGGAAAUGCAAUGCUAUGAGAGAAGCUGAGUUGGUGUUUCAAACAAUGCCUGAUCGUGAUGUUGUUACGUUCAACGCACUCAUAGGGGGACAUGCAGAGAAUGAAGUGCAAAGGGAGGCAGUGCUAGUAUUUAAUUGGAUGAGAGAAUCUGGAAUAACGGCAAAUUACAUCACCAUGGUGAACGUCCUUGGGGAUUGCUCCACUCCAAAUGACCUGCUGAAGUAUGGAAAGCCGCUUCAUGCACAUAUAGUAUCCACUGGAUUUGAAUCAGAUGAGUAUGUAAAGAAUUCUCUGAUCACAAUGUAUGCCAAGUGUGGUGAUUUGGAUUCCAGUGCAUUUAUCUUUGAUGGCUUGGCCAACAAAACUGCAGUUUCAUGGAAUGCUAUGAUUGCUUCAAAAGCACACCAUGGUCAUGGAGAGCAUGCUUUAAAGCUCUUUAUGGAAAUGCAGCAUGCUGGAAUUUCUUUAGAUCAGUUCAGUCUCACCGGUGGCCUUGCAGCUAGCACAAAUUUGGCAUCACUUGAGGAAGGACAGCAACUUCACGGUCUGAUUACUAAACUUGGAUUUGAUUUGGACAUUCAUGUGGUAAAUGCUGCAAUGGAUAUGUAUGGAAAAUGUGGAAAGAUGGAUGAUAUGUUGAAAUUACUCCCUGAGCCUGCUGAACGAUCCCAGCAAUCAUGGAAUAUUUUAAUAUCAGGGCAUGCAAGACAUGGUUGCUUUGAUCAGGCUGAAGAUACCUUUGAACAGAUGCUUUCAGUAGGACGGAAACCUGAUCAUGUUACCUUUGUUUCUCUUCUCUCUGCUUGCAAUCAUGCAGGCCUAGUAGACAAAGGUAUUGGUUACUACAAUGCAAUGACUUCAGAAUUUGGUAUCUCCCCAAGAAUAGAGCACUGUGUCUGUAUGGUUGAUCUACUUGGACGUUCAGGGAGGCUUGUUGAAGCAGAGAGGUUUAUUGAAGACAUGCCUGUGUCACAAAAUGAUCUAAUUUGGCGUAGUUUGCUGUCUUCCAGUAGAACUUACAGAAAUUUGGAUAUUGGUAGGAAAGCUGCCCGACGCCUUCUUGAGUUAGACCCUUUAGAUGACUCAGCUUAUGUUCUUCUAUCGAAUGUUUAUGCUACCAAUGGAAGGUGGGAAGACGUCGACAAAUUGAGAAUGCAUAUGAAGUCAAUCAAUUUGAAAAAGAGACCAGCUUGCAGUUGGAUUAAGGUGAAGAAUGAAGUGAGUUCCUUUGGCAUUGGGGACAGGAGUCACCCGCAGGCGCUGCGGAUCUAUUCAAAGUUGGAAGAGAUUUUGAAAAUGGUUAAACAAGUGGGUUAUGUUGCUGAUACCUCCUUCGCAUUGCAUGACACAGACGAAGAACAGAAAGAGCAUAACCUUUGGAGCCACAGUGAGAAGCUUGCUCUGGCAUUUGGGCUACUGAAUGUGCCAGAAGGAUCUACCAUAAGGGUAUUUAAGAAUCUUCGAGUUUGCGGGGAUUGCCAUAUGGUUUACAAAUUGGUUAGCAAGGCUGUUGAUCGGGAAAUAGUGCUGAGGGAUGCGUACAGGUUCCACCAUUUUAGAGGUGGAGAGUGUUCUUGCUCGGAUUAUUGGUAACGGUAUAUUGAGAAAAAUAAUUGUCAGAAAUCCUCAGUUGUGCAGUCUGUUUUCAACUCUAUUCUUGAAGCGACACUGCUUCUGCUGAGUUAUGUAUUGAUUAUUUGUUUUAAUUUAUUGAUAUGGGAAUAGGUUAAAUUUGAUAUUCUGCAUUUUUCUGAAUCUGCUCUGCGUUCCUGAAGCUUUAUUAUUGUUGAGAAAUUGCCUCAAGGUCUUUCUUAGUCCUUCGUUGUGUAUCACAUGGCUGAACUAGGUUCUCUUACUAGAUCCAAGGCCUUCUAUGAGAAGCCAAGCUCGCAACUGUGAAGUGACACCUUUUGAAUCCAAGUCCCUGGAGUUCGCUAAAUCUAGUGUCUUCCAAACCAAGAAAGCUGAAAGCAGAGGUAACUACCAUAGUUCCCUGCUACUGUGAUUCGAAAUCAAUCUAUUGUUAGUUGUUCUAUGUUGUAAAUAACUUGAGCUGGAUAAGUUUUGCUGAGAACAAUACUGAGAAACAAUUGCAAAAGGAUUUUAUUAUUGACUAUUGCAAUCUCAAAAUACUCAAUUUUGAGCAUUAUUUUCAAACUAGUUGAAGUCGAUUACAUGAAUCCUUUUCUUCCAUUCUACACGAUUUAAGACCAUGCUUUUUGAAGGAUAUUGAGAUAUCAAGUUCUAAAACUACUUCAUCCCGUGAGUUGUUGUAAUUCAAAAAUAAAACAAGAAAAAAGAAUAAGGGGAAAGCUUAUGUGGUGAGCCAUUCGGGUGGUACUCUAUGGAUCCGAGGAAAGAGCUGCCGAGACUCUGUGAUGUUUUAUUUUCAGAUUUUAUUGGUUGUAUCCGUACUCGUGUUGUAUGAUGCAUCCGCUCUAGCCAAAAAAAAGAAAAGAAAAAGAAAAAAAAACCAGUUCAAUGGGAUGUGACAAUCAAAACAUUAAAUUAAAGAGGUUCAGCUUUCUGUAGGUCUAACUUUUAUUGCACUAUGGACAACGAUGACCAAGUUUGGGCAGAUAAAUUAUCAACAUGACUUAUGUGGACUCCAAUCCCUAACUAUGAAAAAUGUCACAUGACAGUAUGACACUAGUAACAUUAACUAAACAUCUAAGAUAAAAUAGAUUUUUUUAAUUCUUUUCCUGGUAUAAAAAACAGAGCUUCGAAACAAGAUCCCUAGAAGACCAUGAAUUUAAAUAGUCCUUGGGAUAAACAGCUUUUCUCAUAAGGGUGAAAAGUAAACGUCGCUCUAUUUCCUUACCUCUGCAUCUUUAUAUUCAGUUUCUUGUUUAUUGUUUGUAUGAGAAUUUUGCCUUCUUAAGAUUUAAGUUUUUUGACAAUACAAUUGACAACUAUUGAAGGAGAUCAUUCUCAUAUGACAAAUUCCAAACAAAUUAAGUCCAAUCACCUGAAGGGUUACACUUCCAUAAAAUACUCUUCAUGCAACAAGAUAAUUACCUUUUUGCAACAAAUUAGAGUUUAUAAAUUUUAAGUAUGUUUCAGAUUACCCAAGCACAAAAGCUCCGUGCUAUAGAGAAAAAAGGGGAAAAAUGUAAAAUGAACCAAAAUAUAAGAAAAUAGACUUGUAUCAUUAAUUUAAAUUUGCUUAGAUUUUGUCAGUUCUAAUCAGAUCAUGUUUGAUUUUAUGUAUUUACAACUGAUCUAAUUAGAGUUCCUAUAGCCCAACUUUGAACUCACACCUAGCAAAACCAAGAUGGGACAGCUGCUUGGUCUCUUCCCGUGGCUUGCAAGUAGGAGAGUUAAUGGAAGGCUCCCAUGUCACUUUGGACCAUGCCUUUAGGGCUGUUAAUGGUCUGGGGUGACUAGUGGUUUGGGCCAAUCUUCCACUCUCGAUGAAUUCUAAUUUGUACUUUUAGGGUUCAGGUUAACCUUGAGCCAAGCCACUUUGGACCAUGUUCGUUGGGACUUGAUCGACCCGGGACAUCAACCACAUGCCGAAUUCAGGCUUCACCCAAUCUGGCCAUUGAGAACCCAAAAACCAUCAACUUCGAUCACCUCCAGCCACAACUGUGGUGCAUAUGUACAGUUCUGCUAAGCAGUGGAUGUAACAAAGAUCUAAGCCCUGUUAACCAUUAUUGAGUCUUUAAGCGAUUUCUUUGAGAAAGCUUAGCAUUGUCGUCCUCAAUUGUUAACCUCCAAAUCUCCAGUUGUGGUGAUUUAAAUGGUUAUCCAUUGCUGGUUUGAUCUAAUUAAAUGGAUCUAUUUAUACUAAACAUUGAAGAGAGUUUUUUGUUUUCAUUUAGUUGACCCUGUGGUUACGUAGCAUCAUGGAGUGAUCUGGCUGGAAUAAGUUUUUGAAAAUAGUCUGGUUGGAAUAGAUUAACAAUUUGCCAUGCUUGUCUGUGGGAAGCAAAACAUGAAGCAAAUAUUGAUGAUCAGUAUUAUGAAAGAUUUCCCAUAAAUGCAAGUUAUAUAGGAGUAAGGAGGCGGAUUAGAUUAUUGUAUUGUUAUAACUCUCACUUACUUUAUAAAUAUACGAUCUCACACCAUAACUCCAACUUUUUGAUGGCAUUAUUGUAACAAUUCAUCCAGAACCUCAUCUAAAAUGACUAAUCGAAAAAUAUUAUUUGGAUUCUUUGGUCCUAUAUAAUAUAAGUAUCUAAUUAUUUACGUCUGCAUAGAUUCUCACAAUUAUUCUACGAAAAAUGAUAUCUGAAUUUAUGUGGCAGGCUUUAUAAUAUUUGUAGCCAAGUCACGAGCCUUACUCGUGGAUUUGUUACAUCACAAAUCUCAAAGCAAAAUCAAGAGCAGAUGCUGCCUUUAGGGUAUUUGGUGAGCAUGGGAUCCAACCUGUCUCGAAAAAUACCAUACGGCUAUUUCUUUCUAUUGUCAUGCAAGAAUUGUUUAUCGCUUCUUAGCUCAUCUUAAAGAUUAGAAAGCCAUCUCAACGUGAUUAGGAUAAAAAAUUAUGGGAGUAAAAGCUUCAAAGAAACUUCAGGAACCCAUGGGCUGAGCCAAGUAGCCAACCAUGUGGAGAUAAAACGAGACCGUUCUUCGUUUCUAAUAUUCAAAAUAAUGGGACGUAAGAAAACCUAACCAUCUUAUCAGUGAUAUCGGCCAUUUCCACCAGCAUCCACGGUCCACGGAUGGAAACCCGUCGCGGCCCGAAACCAUGUCCAAACUCGGCCUCGAAAAAAAAAAAAUAGUAGUACAUUAGAUGCACCAAGAAAAUAAAAAGAAACCUAUCCUGCCUCAAAAUCCCAUCCCCAGUCGCUUCACGCAGCGGCCGCCUCGAGUGCGGCGGCCGCGGCGGCGCUGUCCCUGCCACCCUCGCCCAGAUCACCCUCCACCACGGCGGCCACCGCGACCUCACCUCCUACGGCGUCAGCCUCGUCGACGGCUUCAACGUGGGCAUGACCGUCACGCCGCACGAGGGCAAGGGCCAGUGCCCCGUCGUCGGCCGCCGAAACAAAUACAACAGCCCUCGCACGUGCCGGGCGUCCUCGUACUUGGAAUUCUUCAAGCACGCGUGUCCGGCCACCUUUACGGNNNNNNNNNNNNNNNNNNNNNNNNNNNNNNNNNNNNNNNNNNNNNNNNNNNNNNNNNNNNNNNNNNNNNNNNNNNNNNNNNNNNNNNNNNNNNNNNNNNUCUCUCUCUCUCUCUCUCUCUCUCUCUCUCUCUCUCUCUCUCUCUCUCUCUCUCUCUCCAUGUUGCUAUCUUAUACUCUCAAAGAAGGUGAAGUUGUGGACGGGUUGAUGCAAUGGCCAGUCAGGCCAGCUAUGGUUUUCUCUGGUUUUCCGGCAGCAGGAGGGGAGAUGGCGCUGUGGACCUGUGGGUUGUGGGGCAGGUCUUUGAGAGCCGUGCAGUGCAGCAAUGGUGGACAGGUGCUACGCCGCUUUUAGAGAAGGGAAAGGUUGCGGGGCGUGCCUGAACAAGGGUUUUUUUUCUUCUUUUUUAUUUCUAAAAGAGAAGAUGGGGAAGACAAGGUUAAAAGGAGGGGAUUAGAAAAAGUUACAGAAACUAAAGGAUUUAAACUAGUAAUUAACUAAAGUUUGUUUGAUUUGAUGGAUGUGACGCUGUGUUUGUUUAAAACAAAGAGGGGACAAAAAGCCUAGAUGAUGAUGUUAACCGUUUUUAUUAAACUAAAGUUACCGGAUGGAAACAUAAUUAUGUAUUAGAGUAUCAGACUAGGCCGAGUAUUUUUUAAUUACGCAUUUUUGGAGGAUGGAAAUGAAAAAGAAAAAUUCAUAGGCUUUUUGCUGUAAUUUUGGAGCUUGCCCUAGCCGGCAUGGUGAAAUUUCCAAGCCCAACCAGCAGAGAAUUCUCUUCAAGAUAUAUUGGAUCACUCCGUAAAGCCAGGCCCAUAAAGCCCAUGUGGUGACGAACAGUCAUGGCAUGUUUUCUUAGAAGUUCUUUGGAUAUUUGGCCUUAAGACUUGACAUGUUAGUAUAAUAUCUUAUAUAUUUUUGAGAAAUAUGGCAACUUAUCCUCUCACGCAUGCUUCACUUCAUCUAUUUGUUUAUCCAUUAUCAUACUCCAAGACUGACAAAAAAACACACUUCCAAUUUAUAUGAUGCAAUUCCUUAGUGAUAUCCAGAUUGAAAUAAGCAUGAUGACGAGAAGAGCAUUCACAAUCCAAGCAUAAUGAUGUCAUAUGAUUUCAACGCUUAAUCUCAAGUAUUCUUACUGAAAUCACGCAUCACUGUAAACAAUGCAUCAUUACAUUCACAUGAAUCAUAAUUAAUUGGAUUUGGACUAGGAUGGAUUUAUGCCCCAUUCUAUUGCACACAGAACACAGUUGGAAUACACUACUGUACGACAGCAAACCAAAAGAAACGCAAGCUUUAUAAACUUUAAGCCUUCAACUCCACAACUAACUUGAUCGCACUUUCAGUGGUAGCUGAGAAGAGGUCGGUGGCACAAGCAAUCCACAGAUACUGAAGGAUACAUGAAGUCAAAGUCUAAAUGGAUGUCUUCUAGGCUCAGUGAUCAUGAACUAGAUUCCAUUUCUCGGUUGUGGAUCAGUGCAGCUUGCUGGUUUGAAUUGGAAAAGCAGACGGAUUUUUUUCUACUCAAAAAACCAAGAGUUGGAAAAGCAGAAGGGAGAGGCCUAGUGGCAAAAAACCAUUUGCAAGUUAAUGGCCACCUCAUGCAGUAAAAGAAGACAAAGGCUCCCAGUCUUGCCCUGUCCCACCAUUCUCCAUUCCUUAAGAGGGGUCCAAACAUAAUUGAACCAAACCUAUGGGCAAAAUUCGAAAGAAAACCAAGGGAUAUUUAGGGAUAUCAAAGGUGGAUUAAAGAAGGUUGCCAAGUAUUUUUCUUAAAAGCUAAUCAAUCACAGAUGUAUGUCUGCAAGCAAAAUGAUUUGAUCUUUCUUGGAGCCACCUCAGUGGUUACUGAUAGCUCGAUUCAAGAUCAUGUUUUCUUUGAAAUGCAUCGGUGCUGAAGGUUUGAGUUUUAAUGUUGCAGGUCAGAUCAUAUUUUGUUGAAGAAGGAUAUCCAUUUAGAGUACUAUUGAUUCUUAUAUUCACUAAUGCUAUGAUUAAUGUAUUUGGACCAACAUAUGCCAUGCUAUCUAAUCCACAAAAUAUAGUUUAUUCAUGCUUCUCUUAUUGUGUAUGUUGAGAGUGAUACAACAGCCAUCCAAAAUUUUGGUUCCUCUUUAUACAAAUUUUAUAGUCUUCGAUGAAACCUUUUUAAUUUUGCUUAAUAUAAGCCCAAAACCUUUUAUGCAAAGCUACUUUUUCCUCCAAAACUAGUAUGGAUCUUUGAACUCCUGCUCCCACAAAAUUGUAAAACAUCAAACUAUACUACUCUGGUAUAGUUGAUGCAAGGUACAUACUCUUAGGAUUGCAUUGUAAAGAAGGAAAAUACUCAUGCUUGAGUUUUAUGUGGGGCUAAUUGUAUUUUUCAUAUGCAGAAGCUAAUUUGGCAUUGAUAGAACCUCUAUGAAAGAUGGAAAAAAUGACUUUUGAGCUUAUGGUUAGAAUUUUCUGUUUUGAUUUCUAACUUCUCAAAAAUUAUUCACCCCUAUACCAGUAUCCGUGUCCCCCAUAAAAGCAAAAAAGAAGAUCCCUUUCUUUUUUCCUUGAGCUUCAAAAAUGCAUACAACUUAUCCAUCCCUUUGCUUUCUAUAGCACAAGUCAUGUCAAACACCACUCUAAAUUUAAAGUAAUCAAAGUUGGUCUUGUAUUAUAACAGCCUUUGUUGGUUGAUAGCUUAGCAAUGCCAUUCAACUUAUAAAGGUGCAUGAUGCCUCAAUUUUUUUUUUUGGCAUAAGAAAGGACCUUACUUCCUUUCAUAAUUACUUGCAAUGACUUGCUCCAAACAUUUUGUUUCUUUUCUGCAGUGUAUGAAAAAUGUUUGACAAGGUGAGCUGAUCUGUGCGCUGGGUACAUAUAGAACUUAUGUAAGCUAAUACAUAAAAAAUAUGCAUAUGGUAGCGUUAAUAUCUAGUCAUUUAAAUUUUAUUGAGACUGCUUGUCGAACUUGUUGAAUUAAUAAAGCCAUGCACCAAAGUAUGGACAUUAAAAAAAAUCCAUUGAUCAUUUUCAAGUGAUUAAUCAAAUAACUUAAGAAUUAAUUCGAAUCUAUAGCUUUGAAAUUACUAAGCUAGGCAAUUUUGAAAGCACUUUUGAGAUCUAGAGUACUGAAAAAAUUGUAGAUCGAAAAGGCUGAGACUCUCGUUAACUUUUAGGUAGGGGAUGGAUAAUAGAGCUAAGGAUAGGGCUUUAAUGAACAGACCGACCUCCCCACUCUUUAAUUUCUAAAGAGACCUUAAAAAAAGUGAAAGUGCUUGCGCAUCUUUUCAUUUAGUUAGCCCUCUCCGGCAUCAAAUUAUACUUUUUUUGCUCUAGGUAGGUGGAGUCCAUCUCUUUUUUGAUAGAAAUAGGUAGGAACUUUUAUUUAAACAUGGCAAUCAUUCACAGCUUUGUUAAUGAGUUGAUUUUGUUUAAAUUUCUAGUAUAUGUCAACUACAAGAUUGGGUAUCAGGGAUCGUAUGCAACAAAAAAUAACAAAGCUAUCGAAAAUACUUUGAACAUGGAAACAUAGUUUUUCAAGUUUUUAUAUUGCCACUAGUGUUAAGCUUAAAGUAUAUUGUUGACAUAUUUUCUACUGUUCUUAGGUUUAGGUUACUAGAGAUAUUCAUCAAGACCCACUUGGUUAUCCUUUCAUGUGCAUGGGUCAGACCACAUGUAAGGGAACAUGAUAUUUUUUAGUACAUUACUGUUGUUUUUUGUUAACUUAAAUUAUUAGGUCAAUUGAUUAGUUAAAAAAAUGAUUAGCCACUUUUAGCCAUCUCUCUCUCUCUCUCUCUCUCUCAUGCACACAUAAAUGUCCCCUCCCAGUGCCAAACUAAAACAAAAAUAAUUUUUGACAGCAAAUUGCUUAUAACAUUUUUUAUUAUAUAUCAUUAAUAUUUUUUUGCUGCAUUAUAAUAUAAAUGCUGCUAUUUUCCCAUAAAUAUUUUUUUAUUAGCAGUACUUUGUAGUAAAUACCGCUAUAAAUUCAUAUUUUACAACAUAUAAUUUAAAGGGUUAAAAAUUGGAAUUACUAUUAUGGUUCCUAACUAAUAAGCCAGUAAAUAAGAUCAUAAUUGGUGAGAUUUUAGAAAAUUGCCGCUAAACUUUAAAUUAUUAAUUUUUAUAAAAGUUUGGAUUUGGUCAUACUGAGGCCAUCAAAUUUGUUACGUACAUAUUGUUGUAGUCAUUCACAUGAUUGAAACCCUUUGUAGCGAAAAUGUUUAUAAGAAGUUAGUAUACCUUCUUAGUAUUACUCUAUACAGGUCACUGAUUCAAUCGGACUUGUGUUAAAAUAUUAACAAUCAAAAAUUAUUUAAAAUAAAAAAUAUAAUAUAAAAAUAUUAAAAUAAAAAUAGAUAAAAAAAUCAUGAACUAACUAUUCUUAAAGAGUUUGUAAAAAAAUUAUAUAUGAAUAUAGUCACAUGCAAAAGUUAAUUUUUAAAUAAUUUUAACAAUAAUUUUUUAAAAUAUCUUAAAGAAUAAAAUAAAGUCAGUUCAUUUUUAUUUUUUAAAAAAUAAAAAAUAAUGAUUAAAUUAUACAUCAAAUAAUUAUUUAAUGAUAUGAAUAAAUAUUCAUAAANNNNNNNNNNNNNNNNNNNNNNNNNNNNNNNNNNNNNNNNNNNNNNNNNNNNNNNNNNNNNNNNNNNNNNNNNNNNNNNNNNNNNNNNNNNNNNNNNNNNNNNNNNNNNNNNNNNNNNNNNNNNNNNNNNNNNNNNNNNNNNNNNNNNNNNNNNNNNNNNNNNNNNNNNNNNNNNNNNNNNNNNNNNNNNNNNNNNNNNNNNNNNNNNNNNNNNNNNNNNNNNNNNNNNNNNNNNNNNNNNNNNNNNNNNNNNNNNNNNNNNNNNNNNNNNNNNNNNNNNNNNNNNNNNNNNNNNNNNNNNNNNNNNNNNNNNNNNNNNNNNNNNNNNNNNNNNNNNNNNNNNNNNNNNNNNNNNNNNNNNNNNNNNNNNNNNNNNNNNNNNNNNNNNNNNNNNNNNNNNNUGUAGCAAAUAAUCAAUAUUUUUUUAAAGUUUAUGCAAUGUCAUUAGGUUGUAUGGAUUAAAUGAGCAAAAAUUUUUUUUUAUUUUUUUAUAAUUUUUUUAUUUUUAUUUAUUUAUUUAUUUUUUUAUAUAGCAAUAACUUGAAUGUAAACUAAACACAAUUCUUAUGCGUCAGUCAAUCUCCGAAUGCCCGUUGAAUAAGCUCUGGAGAUUACUCCGUGAGGAGUCCCGAUAGAGGUAUGAUAACCUCGGGGGAUUGCACCUUAUCAAUUACUAGCAAAAAUAAUAUAGAAUUUUUUUUUAAUAUUUUUUUGAUUUAAUUAAAAGAUUUUUUUCUUUUUAAACUUCAAAUUUCGAAUCUCAGAAUUCAAAUUUUGAAUUUAAAAUUUUUUUGAAUUUUUGAAAUUUUUUUUUUAAUUUUAAUUUUUUUUUGAAUUUUAAAUUUCGAAUUUCAAAUUUCAGAAUUUAAUAACUACGAAAUUAUUAAAUAGAAAUUAUCAAAAUAAGAAAAAUUAAUAAAAAUAAAAAUAAAAACUUACUACCGGAGUACGUUCACUCCGGGCAUCCAAAAUUUGAUUUGAUCUUCGUGAUCGUUCUUGCUUCUCGAUUUGCCUCCCCGGUAAUGGCGCCAAAAUUCUGUUCGUCCGAUUCCUGUUUAACUAAAAAUANNNNNNNNNNNNNNNNNNNNAUUAUUAUUUUUUAUUUUUGAAAUAUAUUUUUAUGGUUUUAUAAAAAUGAAGGUUGCUCCUAAUGUUUCCAAAAAUAAGAAAUUUAUGAUUAGAGAUGGCAAUAAGUCGGAUAUGAGUCAGGAUAGGCUAUUACUCGUAUGUGCUCUAUAGCUCUCUGAAAAAGGGCAGGAUGAGGUAAGUAAGUUAGACGGAUAAGAUCAAAUAAAGCUACAAAAGUUACUUUUUUUUAUAUAAAUCAAACAAAUAAAAAAAGAAUGUAUAAAUAAAUCUUGACACUUCAUAAAAUAUUAAACAAAAUAAGAGUUGAAAAUGUACAACAUAACAAAUCACAUUUUCAACAAUAACUAAAAUAUAACAAAUAAAAAUAUCGAUUUUUAGAAGGUUAAAUAUUAUUUCAGCUAAAAAAUGCAAUCAACUAAAAAAAGGAAUGACUAAGCAUCAUGAUAUGCAACCUUUGGCAUAUUCAAUCUCUCGUGCGAGUUAAGCAAUUAGGGCAAAGAUUAGGGAAGAGGAUCUGUGAAAAGUUAUAUAUAUUCAAGUCGAGUUUGAGAUGUGUUUUAUAUUCAGUUCCGCUGCAAGUCGGAUAAAACCCAUCUUAUUAGAGUGAGGUCGAGCCAAAUACCCAAUGGAGUGAAUUAAAUUGCUACUCUUACUUAUGAUUUUUAUCAUCAUUACCAGCAUAGCCUCCACCACCACAACCACCAUCUUAGCUAGCGAUGCCAUCGCUGCUGUCAUCCUUAUCACCAUCAUCAUUACUAUUACUAUCACUAUAUCACCAUCACUAUCAUGAUUAUCCGUAUCUCUAUCACGCUAUUAAUAUCUUAAUUGUAAUCCCUACCCUCACCCUCGUAACUAUAACUAUUAUCAUCAGCACCACCACCACUGCCCUGCCUCCAACAUACUACCACAUCAUCAUUGUCGCCAUGAUACAACCAUGAUACUUGCUGCUAAUAUCAUCUCCAUUACAUUCGCUGCAAUACCAUGGUGCCGAUUACAAUCGAAAUAUUUAUUUUUGAAAAAUCGAGAUAUCUAAAUUACGAAUACCUAAACCAGACGGUCAUGAUCAUCCGACCCGAAGUAACUCCCUGCGCUUGCUGCCGGCAAAACAGCGCAGUCCUCAUCACGCGAGAAGUACCGGCCGCCGGUCAAAAUUCUCGGCAGCAACCGGACGGCGUCUCCCCCACCUUUCACUUAUAACACUACUUCGAGGACACCGACGAGUUUCAUGACUACGUGUCUUCAAUUGAUUCGCACGUCACGACAAUCAUCAUUUUCGCCGGUUCCGUCCUGUGACGUUGCAUGCCAGCUGCGAAGAUAUUUUUGUACAAGAAUUGGGCCCCGUAGAUGUGCUUGUCUGGUGCCGGAGAUCACGAUUGGAUCGCCAACAACGGAAUGUAUAGUAAAAGAAUUAAAAAGAAUUCAUAAGAAUAAUUAAAUUUUUAAUUUUAUUUAAAAUUCUCUUCUCUUUCUCCUCCGUGUUCGUCCCCCCAUCAUUCUUCCGCACUCGGGCCCUCGCCUAUAUAUACCUACUCAUGUCGGUCCUCCUUCUCUCCUUCCCCUCUUUCCUCUUUGGUUCUGAAGACUCCCCUCCACCAUCCCCGCCGCCCACCCCGUCUUUUUCUCUCUUUCACGUCUCGCCCUUCUCCUUGGCUGAAUCUCUAUCUCUAUCUGGUUGCCUCGUUGAUGGCCGUGACGAGCCAAGCGAGCCUGCUCCUCGCGAAGCAGCUGAAAGGUGCGGAUCUGAUCGUUUCUGCAUCGAUUCUGAUCGAGUCUAGGGAUUUUCUUGUUUGUAGGAAUCUUGGAAGGGAUCGAUGGGAUGAAAUUAUUUUCUUUUUGUUGUUGUUGAUGUUGAUGGAUCAGAUCUUACCAAAAAUCCCGUAGACGGAUUCUCGGCCGGCCUGGUCGAUGAUAGCAAUAUUUUCGAGUGGAACGUGACGAUCAUCGGUCCCCCUGAUACACUCUAGUGAGUAGUUGCCUCUCACCUCGCGUAUUCACGGCUUUCUUCUCUUCUUUCUGUUGCUGUUCUCUCUUCUUUUUUGUUAUUGUGAAUUCUCUUGGGGGAAAUGCGAACUUUUGUGUUGUUUUGGCUAGUUGAUGGUUUGGACUGCUUGAAAAUUGGAAUUUUCUGUCAGGCCAGGGGUGGUUUGGGUUGUAAAGUUAGGGUCUUUAUUUGAUUUCAUGGGUAUUUGCAUGCUCCGAGCAUGGAAAGAUUAGAUCUUUGCUGAUGAAACCUUUAUUUGUUGAUUUACUCUAAUAAGAUUUUGGUUCUUCAAUAUCAAAACCAAUCUGUCAGAGAAUUUUCUAUGUCUGAGUUUUGCAGUGUGGUUGAUAAAUUUACAUAUAUACCCAUGAUGUUUGAGAACGUGGCUCUUCAUAGGAACCAAUAGGAAAGCAAGAUCUUUAAGGCUAACCCUAAGCUGAUGAGUUUGGGCUUUUGAUUAUGCCGUAGGCUCUGAGUGGGAACUGUAUGACCAUCUGCUAAAUUUUGUUUGAUCGUUUGUAACUGCACAAAAAUGCUUUGUUGACAAUUGUUGCGGUUAUCUUGAUGGCAGCAUUGGAUAAGAAACGAAUGGUCAAGUGGGAUCAUCAUGCCUGCCUGCCUGUUGACAGAAUAAUGCCUGUGUAUGUCUAUGAUAAUGCUGUUAUAUGUUUGCACUGUGGCCAAUGUAUUGGAACUUGUAAAUUUUCUGAGUUCAAAACUGUUGCAGGGGCUUCUGCUCAUGCAGCUUAUUUCCAUGUUCUUUGAUGACGAUCUGUUAGUGAAUGUAGGAAUUGGGGAAAGAAAUUUACUGUAGAUGUAGGAGAGAAUGUCAAACUGUUACAUAGUGGAUUAAAUAUCAUCAUUUUCAGUGCGUCAAAGUCAUGAGUAGUUUUUAGAUUUUUGUAAAUUCCCUUUUUCUUUUUUUGUGGGGCUAAUCCUUGUUCAAUCUUGCAGCGAUGGUGGCUAUUUUAAUGCAAUUAUGAGCUUUCCUGCCAACUAUCCCAAUAGCCCUCCAACAGUUAGAUUUACAUCAGAGAUGUGGCAUCCAAAUGGUUAGUUUCUAAAGCAUGUUUCCCUAAAUCAUAUCUCAUUUAGCUUACCAUGUGAAACAAUAUAUAAGAAUGCCUUGUUUCUUAUUGCAACUUCAGUUUAUCCUGAUGGACGUGUUUGCAUAUCAAUUCUUCAUCCACCUGGGGAAGACCCAAACGGAUAUGAGCUUGCAAGUGAGCGUUGGACACCGGUGCAUACGGUAUGACUUCACACGUUGUAAUGCUGUAUGCUCCUCCUCUUUAUAUCGAUUUUUUCCUUUUCCAUUUGGUUCUUAUUAAGAAUGAGGAUGAUGCAAAUAGUAUUUUAUAUUUGUGUUCAUUUUUUAUAUUGAACAAAUAUCCAGUUUUACUGUCACAUAAAUUCUAAAUGCUGCUAGUUAUAGUUGAUGUUGAAAAUUUUAUGUGGUCAAAUAAUCUUCCUUGUUUCUUCUUAAGAGCUUAACCAGAAAUCUACUUACUGUUGUUCUUACAAUUUGGAAUGGAUGGGUAGCUCAAAGUCCUUCGUUUCCACCUAAUAUUUUUGUUAUCUUGGAUGCUAGCUUGUAAUUAUAUUCCUAAUGCUUAUAUUAUUUAUCUGUAUUCUUUUAUCUAAACAGAUUAGGGGCCAUUUAUGGCCAUUAUUCUCACACGAUCUGGUCAUUUUCAAUCUCAAAAUAUUUGGAACUAUAAUGUAAGUUGAAUUUAGAGAUAUAAGUAUCACUUCACAAGGAUCAGUAAUUUCAUCUAUACUACCUUUACAAACAUUUUCUCUUUAUUUGAUACAGCAAUGAAGGAUUAUGUUGUAACAUUCAUCUUUUGGAUAAUAAGGUGUCUAUUUAAUGGAUGAUGGGUCAAACCUCUUUUCUGGUCAUUUUAAACACCUUCUGUAAUUUGUUUUUUGGAGUUUUUAUAUCAUCUAGCAUACAUUUUGCCAUAGGAAUCUCAUAGAUUGUUAACUAGCAGAAGAAACUUGAGGCUUGUUCAAACUUAUGAAGGUAACCCAAAGUGAUUUUUCAAAUGUUGAAACAAUGAAAAAUAUUGAAGAAUUAUGGCAUAUUAAAUAAACUUAUUUUAAGGCUCCAUCACAUUUUUUUUUAAAACUCAAAGUUUUCUUAUAUAAGGAACAAGGUUCUUUAAAUUCUUGAUUUCAUUUCUAGUAGUUGUCUUAAUUUAUAUAAGCACAUUUUAACAUACACAAGUCGAUCAAUUUGUGUUGAUCAAUGAUAAGUUAUAUGUGGUUGUUGGUUAAUGUUAUGCAAAUUGGCUGGUGUUAAUGCUUCUAUUUUAUAAUUGUAAUUUUCUUUUAUGUAUUUGACCUGAUUUGAGCCACAAAUAACUAUAUAUAUCAAUAAAGUAAUUCUUGAACCCAAUUCAACUUGACCUGGAGGGAAGUUGAUUCAUCUUGGAUUUAUGUUAUUCAAAUAUGGAUUAGGCUUGGAUUGUGCUGAAAGGACAUCCAACUUGACCUGCUUGCAGCACUAAUUAAGUCACAGAGGCAUUGAACUUCCUUGGAGAAAGUUUUGUGUGACGGACCAUGACUUUAGUAGUUUUUAGGAAAAUAAUCCUAUGAUAAAAUAAGUUGAGGAGUUAUUUUUGAUGUUUGGGUUCAGUAUUCUCUGCAGGAUUGCCAGCUUCAUUUUCUUCAUUUUACUUAUUAUGGUUUGCCUAUACUGCUUCGUUGACUUUAAGGGAUUUACAUUCUGCUAUAUUCGCAUAUGUAUUUUGGAUUUACAUUGUGGAAUAUUUGCAUAACUAUUUAUGAUUGUAAUCAUCUGAAGGUGUAAAUUCUUCAUUUGUAUUCGAAGUUUUCUUUAUAUAUUUUUUAGUUGGAGCAUGUUACUUCCAUCAUAAUUGUGGGAUACAUGAAAUAUACAGGUUGAGAGCAUUGUACUGAGUAUCAUCUCCAUGCUUUCUAGUCCUAAUGAUGAAUCUCCUGCUAAUGUUGAAGCUGCUGUAAGUGAAAAAUUUGUCAUUUUUUUAAGACACUGUUUGUUUCACUUUAUUGAUCAUCAUGCAUUUAUCCAUCUACGGAAACCGAUCUGUGGGUUGCAAGCCAAUGACAACUGCAAGAAGCAGUUGUCAUAGAAAAUUGUUGUAUUAAGUUAUAUUGAAUUUUUUUAUCUUUUAUGUAUAUUCUAAAUUUUGUGAUCCAUUUAGAUCUCAUCUAUUUACAUAUGGUGUCUAAUAUGUUGUAUAGUUUGUCUUCUUGGAUAUACUCUGAAGUUGCUUUAAUAAGAAAAUUUGAACAAAUAUCAUUGUAACAUGUGAAAUAACAAUAACAUCGAUUGGUUUACUUAUUCAUAUGAAAUCGUCCAACAUAUUUUAUCAUUUGAAUUGGAAUUAUGAAUAUACUAGCUAAUUAAAUAUGAAGAUCCAAAAGCCAAAAGUCUAGUGCAUAAAAAUUUGUCACUAAAUAUUAUUCUUAAGUGUGGACAUUUGUAGAAAUUUGUGACUUGAAGUUCUUAACCAUGGACGGAGAAGCAACACUCUGUAUUUAUAAGUUGCAUCUCUGUUUAUGUCAGUGGCAAUGGAAUUGCAGAAGUUGUGUGAACCAUUUUUUUUUAGAUCUGACUACAUUGGUCUUGCCUAAGCUUGACCAAUGGUCAAUAAUUCAUUCACACAUCGAUUAUCAAUGACGAUGGUUUUAUUCUUGGAGGUUUGUUUGUCCUGAAAUGUGAAGACGUUGACUAAUAACUCCCUCGUCUUGUGGUUUUGUUCUAAUGUUGCAAGGAAGUUGGCACCAAAACUCAGCAGUUUGGUUGUAAUUCAAGAUGACAAUGCAUAUAGGACUGUUAUUUUCCUUCGUUUCUCCCCCUCUAUAUUUGGUUGUUUGGCUACAUGUCUGAAGACUGAAAUGUAUACGUUGGUCAUUUGCUUGGUGCUGCUGCUAUUCUAGAUUGGUGUUAGGGAGAAGAGGGGAGGGUGUGCUCGGGUUGUCCUUCUACUACUGUGCGUCAUGAUGCUUAUGAUACUACGAAUCACUAUUUAGAUAAUAAUACAUGAAGGUUGGUGAUGCAUCGUGGUAAGGACCUAAUGUAAAAACUGCGGAAUGCAUGUGUAUUAGAGCCGAUGAUUUAAAUACCAUCAGUUAGGUAUGGUAUCAGCGUGCUGUACUACUUCGACAAAAAAGGGUACUGGUAUGGGUGUGAGCCACUCUCUUAACUGGUCCAUACCGAUUGUGUACUGUUAGUACCAACCAUACUGAUUGUUUUUCAUUAUUGUUGAUACUGAAUGCGUUGGUUUAUCCCAAAUGUACUAGUACUGUAUUGUUUUGGGAAAAAAAAUAUUAAAGAGCUCGGUACCAGCAUCCAACCUCUUGAUUAGAGCACGUGUUAUGUGAUAAAAUGUACAGGAAAAGGGAACGAACAUAAAUUUGGACCAGGAGGUAAGAAAAACAUAUGAUGUUGAUGCAUCAGAGCAAGCUUUAUAAGGAGGGCAAAAUUUAUCAGCAUUUCCAUGCAUGUAGAAGCAUGUGAUAUUUGGUUGUUUGUGUGCAAUUUCAUGUUCGAGUACUCACAUGAGAUGAGUCCAGUAAGUUAAUAUCUUGCAGAUACAUUCUUAGUAAAAUUUUUAUACUGAAAGCGCCAUUAUUGUUUCAUGGAAAGUUCACUCAAAUAAAUAUUCUGAGAGUAUGUUAGUAUGGAUUUUUAAAAAUGUGUACAAAGCUCUUUGUUCACCUCUCCCAUACUUUCUCUAAUCUGUUUCUUUCCGAACUCUAUAGAUCGGUUUCACCCAGAUGGUCAACAAAUCUCAAAAUUUUGUUUCUAAAUGUGUAUUUGCACUUUCCCAUAUACUAGUGAUCUAUGAUAAAAGGAGUAUUAGUUUGAAUUUCAAAUCAACCAUAAAGGAUAAAAAAUAAUACAUUUUAAAGGCUGAAAAACAGAAACCUUAUUGACAAGUGACCCUUAAUCAUUGGGUUGCACAUUCAUUAGAAAUUCUGGAAAUUAUAAAGUGAGUUCUUUGUGCUGGUUAAUGGAACUACUAAGACUACUCUUGGGGGAAGCUUUUUUCUCUCUCUUUUUUUGUGCAGGGUUUUGUUGGGGGGGGGGGUGGUCAGUUGGACACAAAGAUCGCCUUUGGUAACGGAAUUGCAGUUAUAACAAAACUAGAAAUUAACUAUUAAAGUAUGCUGAAAAUCAAACUUGUGAUAAAAAUAAAAUAAUGGAUUUGCUCCUAAUAAGGAAGAUCAAAAGUUUAAUGCUAUAUACAAAUCGAUCUUGACCAAAUUUUGACUGAACAAUACAUUUUACUUAGGGAUGGAAGUGGGCAUCAGCCAAGAAGCUGAUUGAAUUUGGUUUUGGGUCAGAUUUGUAUCUGUUUGGUUGGGCAUAAAAUCUAAAGACCUUAACGGGAUAGGGUUUGGGCAGCCUUUAGCUUGGCUUGAAGCUUGAAUAAAUUAAAUAAUAUUGUAUUAUUAUUAUAUGUUAGUCAGUUUUCAAUUUUUGAUUCAUCACUAGGAUUAGUUUGUCAUUGCUAGAAGCAAAACUCUAGAACUAUCUAUUCCUUUUCCUACUUUCUUGGUCAUUCUCCAUUCAAUUGCUCCUCCUUUCUUCUUUACUUUGGCAUGGUGGUGUGAGGCCUUUGGUUCCUCUUUAAGUUUCAAAGUUGGCGCAGCGACUUCAUCCCUUUUAAUCUCCCCUUCAUGGCUGCCAGUCUUCUCCUCUUACGUCCAAUGCAGCAUUGAGGCUUCCAUUCCUCUCCUCGAGUCUCAAAGUUGGUGCUAGUGAGCUCCUACCUUGUGAUAACCCUGCAAUGGUGGCUGCUGCUCCAUUUGUCUCACUUUUGACUUUCGUUGCCUGAGGCUUUCCCUCUUCCUAUUUCUUAUUGUUGUCCUCAUUCUUCCAUCCAAAGUGUUUAAACCUUUCUCCAACUAGAAGUAAAAAAGUAUGGAGGACAAUUUAGCCUCCCAAUUCUAACAUCGGGUGAUAGGAAGAGAUGGCACCCUUCACCCUUUAUUUUUCUUACUCUAGGGCUUGCAGUAUUUCUUAUUUUGCUCAUAGAAUAAACUUAGGUGAAGACUGAUAGUUUAACACUGCUUGGUAACUGGUGAGACAUAGGAGGGUGGAUCCUGUGACAUUAUUUCUACCCAGAGCCCGAGGGAAAGCGGCCAUCAGGCUUUGUGAAGGGUGGACCAGAUAUAUGCAUAUUCUUGUUAGAUGCAAAUAUUCAUACAGAUUCAUAUGUAUCUUGAAAUUCUUGUUCAUACUUGGUGUUUGCGAAUUCGAUCAAUAACCACAACCAGUAGCUGCUUGGUUCUUAGAAUUGUAAAAGUAUAACCAUAUACAUAUAUGACUCUGGUAUAUAUUCAGUUGAAAUAUAAUACAAGCAUCGUACCUGUUCAAAUAAACCCUAUCUGAAUCAUUUGUCAUUGAGAUCCUCUUAUGGACUUGCCUUUGUUCUCCAACUGGAUUACAACUAGUUCCUGUGACAAUGGACCCGAGUCCUAACUGGUUGUGAUUAAAAGUGAUUUGAGAUGUCUAGAAGAUUUUUGAGCCACAAACUUGACCACUUCAAAUACAAAAUUGGAAUUAUUCUAUGCUCUAAUUUAAAUGUGUAACCAUUUCAGGAUUAGGUGGGGUUCUCCACUUUAUGCAAGUUGGGUUUAGUCUUUUCCCAGGUCCAAUUGUAGAUUCUAUGCAAAUUGAGAUCAGACUUGUCCAAAUUGUACCUCAAUAGUCCUUUCUCUUGAUUUUUCUCUUCUUGCUAACCAAAGUUUGCUUUUUGUAACAUGUGUUCAGCAAACACUAAAGCCGUGCCCUUCUCCCCCCCAAUGGAAGUGCUAACACAGUCCAAGAGAGACUAUUGAUUGCCUAUGUUGCUUGAAAGUUGAUUCUGAGUUGGUCGGAUGUGUUAUCUUAGGUAUCUGGUGGAUCCUGGGUUGCGAGCUGCACAAACUAUGCUCUGUGGUCAAGGAAUUUGGUUCAUGAGAGGGGAUCUAAUUGUGAAUUCUAUUUAUUUCAUAUUGCUGCAGCAGUUAUGAUGCCAGUAAGACAUGAUAUUUGAAUUGUUUGACCACUGCUGGCAUUCGCUGCUGCUACCAAAGACUGGGUUGUAAAAGUGACCCCAGCCAGCUGAUGUCCAAAAUGCUCUAUACACACUUUGCAGUCCAUGAAGCCCAUGGACAUUUUCAGAAUUUUUGAAGCUUUGAGAUAAUGUCUUAGCUAAGAAGUAACUGAAUUAAACUAUUCUAGUUUAUGUGCAAGGUGUUGCUUGUUCUGCAAAAGUUUUAAUUAGUCAAUAGUUCAAGUAAUAUCCAGAUUUUUAUUUGCUUAUAUGCAGUUUUGCCUAAUACAUGGUCCACUUAUCUGGCGGAAGGACAUGAGCACGCGGGCCCAUGAGCUUUUACCUAACUGGUUCCCUCUCUUAUCGCCCAAGCAACAUGUACAGGGCUGACAGGCCCUGGAACCUGACUCUAGUCCAUUUGCCCAUAAACUGAUUUCAAAUUAUAUAUAAAAUUGAUCCGCUUUUGGGGGAAUAUGAGUCAAAGAAAUAACAAGAAUAUUUCUAGUAGAACAUCUUUCACAAUUCUUGGAGUGAUGAUGGUUCUCCAAUAGACUGAGGGAUAAGUAAUUCGACUCAUUAUGUGCCACCAAAUUAUAAUUGCUAGGUUUUCUUAGUUUCUGUUUACAUGGAAAAGAAUAUUAAUUAUUAAACUGUUCUCUUUGUUUUUUAAUGAAGUUUUUAGUUAAAUUUUAUUGAUUGUUGGUGAGAAUAUGAUGCUCCAUGAUCUAUUAAUACUGGCAACAAAAAAAAAGGCCAAAUUACUUGUUAUUUUAUAACUUAAAUGCUAAAUGAUACUCUUAGAUUUUUCGUCAUAUUGUGGUGUAGGACACUAUAUUACCUUCCUCCUAAAAUUAAUUCUAGAAUGAUGCUGCUGUGUUGCCCUACUAAAAUUUUGGUCGGUGUUUCCCAUUACUCAAAUAUCCGUUUCUGUACAAGUGAACUACAUAGAGUACGUAGAAUAUCUAGCCUGCAGAUUUUCUUGUUCUGCAUGCACAAUAUAGCAUUGAUCUAUGACAGGUAUGCUUAUAAACAUGAUGAGGUUGAAGUGGAAUGACUAAAUCAUAGGUGAACUGAUUGUGAAAUUUUAACACCUUUGGGUUUUGCAUAUACGCUUUGAGCAAAGUGUGUAAAAAUAUUGUUCUGUAUGCCAAGGGUUUUUCCUUCUGAAAAUCUGGCAACAGUUAAGAGUAUGGAUAUUCCCCCACCACUACAGCAUUGAUUAAAUUUAAGUUACAUGAUAACUUCAAGUUUCGUGGUCAGGUAAGUCUUAGCAUAUGGUUUUAGUAUUGAAAUUUGAUUUGUUGAUGCUUGUUUGGAGGGCUGUCGUUAAGAUGCCAUGCUCCAGUAUGUUUUGAGCUCUCGAUUUGCUUGUCUUCCUUUCUUAUAUCAGUGUCAUAUUUUUCAUUAAGACUGGUCCAAUCUGGGGUAGCCUCUGAAUUUUGUCAGAGAAACUUGAUCUGAUGCAAAUUUACUUAAAUUGCGAUGCAGAAGGAAUGGAGGGAGAUGAGGGAUGCAUUUAAGAAGAAAGUCAGCCGCAUUGUCAGAAGAUCCCAAGAAAUGUUGUAAGAGCUCGAAAGAGUGGCACCUUGUAGGAGAUAAAAAGUGACUGCCUAGAUUCAUACCUGUCUUGGUGCAACUCUUAUGGUAUGGAAGAGAUCAAGGGUCUGCUGCAUAUCCAGUUGUAGUCUCUUACAGCCCUUUUAGAUUUUUUCCAUCGUCUUCCACUGGUGGUCUCGUUUUUGUCUAGCAAGAAACUGGGAUUGAACGUUACAUGGAUGUUUGCGUAUUUAUCGUGGGUUUGGUGAGUUUCGAGUAUCUUGGACUGUUUUCAUUAUUCUACGGGACACAUCUCACUAGUCUAACCCUUUUCUUUCUGUAAAUUACGAACCUUGCAGUUUAGCGAAGUUGAGCCGCGUUUAUGUUUUAUUAGUUUCUCCGUGGCAUUUGACUGCAUAUACCGAUUGCAAUUCUUUCUCUAAACAUGUCUUCAUGUGUCGUUGUGUAGGGGUUUGAACUGUUUAACUUCUAUAUUUAUAACAUAGAAGAUGCUUUCACGUAUUGUGGUUAUGGUUAAUUGUUUGCUGCAAUACCAUGCUUGUGAUAUAAAAAGCAUUCGGAUUAUUUAGCAUCAUCUUGCUCUUUUAAGGGUUGUCAGGUUAUCCAGUUUUACUUAAAGGUGUUCUCAUUAAGUUUCAAAACGAGUGAGUUUUACGAAACUAUCUGUCGGCUUUUCAUAAAAUCUGUUCUCGAAAUUCUGACAUCAUAAAAUCUGAAUAUAGAGUUCUAGGAUAAACAAACGAAUGAUUUCUCGUGGCCUCUAAAGACUCUCCCAUCCGCCUCUGAGCUCCGCCGUGGGGACACAUCGGUGAAUGAGAAAACCAGCUCCCGCUGGUUUAUCGUUGCACCCACGUUCAAUACCAUGAGAUGCUACGGGGGAAAAGCUUCAUUGCACUUUUCGCUACAAGGAGCACCUCCUGUAUGGUAAUCGGUGGUUGGUUGUACAGUCUACGGGGUUUUCACCCACCCACAAUUNNNNNNNNNNNNNNNNNNNNNNNNNNNNNNNNNNNNNNNNNNNNNNNNNNNNNNNNNNNNNNNNNNNNNNNNNNNNNNNNNNNNNNNNNNNNNNNNNNNNNNNNNNNNNNNNNNNNNNNNNNNNNNNNNNNNNNNNNNNNNNNNNNNNNNNNNNNNNNNNNNNNNNNNNNNNNNNNNNNNNNNNNNNNNNNNNNNNNNNNNNNNNNNNNNNNNNNNNNNNNNNNNNNNNNNNNNNNNNNNNNNNNNNNNNNNNNNNNNNNNNNNNNNNNNNNNNNNNNNNNNNNGUCCAUCCUCUUUGACACUAUCGUCGAAGUGCACCUUGAGAAAACUAGAGGAUGGGGGCUCGCAGGAUGUGAGCAAAAGCCUAGACGCUAUCAGAGCGUAGCGAGAGCUCCAGAUUUUUCUAGCCAACUCAAGAGACGACGACGCAGUAGUAUCAAGAAUCUUCGCUGCAUGAAGUAGAGCCUUAUCUGCCACCACUCUCGGAAGAGCACCUCUGUCCUCAAAUAUGUUAGCAAUCCUAUCUAGCCAACAAUGAUAGGCUAAAUAGGUUGCCUGAAUCCUCUGCUCCAUGAGUCCAGGUCUUUGAGAGAACUCUGCCAAGAAGACCAAGAAAUCCUCCGUCGAUGACCAUCCUCGAUGCAGGCCAAUGAAAGCCGACAUGCACUCCUAGAUCCGAAUAGUCUUCUGGUAGCCGAACAAAGUAUGGUAGAUAGACUCCUCCGCUACCUGAUAGGCUCAGCAUCCCAUAGGGAUGUUCACCCCCCACCGGGCUAACACUCUCCUGGUGGGCAGACACCCCCGGGCAAGCUUCCAGACGAAUAGAGCCACUCGAGGGUGGAUGUGUAGCCUCCAAAUUCAUCUCCCCUCAAUCUGUCGUGCUGCAGUCCUUUUGACCAGCCCGAGAAGAUCCUGAGUCCGCACCUCUGAACUUCCAGUACCGCCACUACUAACAUUGUGAGGUUAAGCAGCCACAGGAGUCUCAUAAGUUUGAUUAUAUGCAGCAAUUUAGUACUUUACUCAAAAAGGCUAGCCGAAAGAUAUUGUUGGAUUUUUCAGCUCUAUCUAAUGUAUAGAACGUCAAACUAAACACGUGUUGGUACAGGUUUUCUCAUACUUCCUCUCAUUUAAGCAAUGACAUCCUCAUCGAAUUAAACGUCUAGAUCCAUUCAAAUCCAAUGGCAUCCUUGUCGGAUUAAAGAUUUAAAUCCAUUCAGAUCCAAUUACAAGUACGACAAAUCCAAUCAUAAAUACCAUGAUCAGUUCGUAGUUAACUAAAUGGGCCUGCACCGUAUUAUCUCCUAGUUUAUACGGGCUACGAGCCAAGUUUGUUUUGAUACUAUUUGUCAAAAUUAGCCGGAAGAUGUUAUUGGAUUUCUUGACUUUGUAUGAGUAUCCAAGAUAUGCUUAGUUCUUAGUGUGGGUUCUUGCACCAUGGAUCCAGAGUUUAGAUAAAUCAAGACUUCUACGCUCAUACAAAGUAAUUCGGGGCUCUUGACUGGUUAUCAUACCGAAUUUGUUUCUAACGGAAGGACCCUAUUCAGUAUUUCCUCCCACGUCUUCUGCAGAUAGAAACCUACCUUAAGGGUAAUAAGAGCAUCAAUUUGUCCCAGAUGUCCUCAGUAUGGCCUCCAGUCCCACUGGGCACACUUGAAACUUCAGACUAGCGGCAGCUCCUUCAACCUCAUAGACAACUCUGGUUACCGAUGCCAAUCCUCAUUCUGGGCCCCUGACCUGAAAGGAGUGCCAAAGAAUGGACCUCGUAGAAUUACUCUCAACUGUUAUGAGUAGAUCUACCUACAUGGAAAGUGAGACAGGAGUGUACCCCAAACCUCACUCACGGAGUUCCUGUCCUGGCCUCUACUUGAAUCCAAGAACCAAGGAAUACCAAAAGGAAAGCAAAAGACAGCGCAAGACCAAACCAGACCGGCUGCUGAACCCAGAAAGGGAGAGGUUGCAACUUGCAACUAAUCACCGGUUAUCUUUUCACCUGGUCAGCAGAUAAAUUUCCAAUCUUUCAUUCGACAUCUAAUCAACAAUUCUGUAUCGAAGACUCCAUCGGACUCAAUUGACUCAUAAAAAGUUACCUUAAAUGUCCUUUCAGAGUUAUUGGUAUAUUAACUAAUGAAUAGAAAAAUUAUAAUCCAAUUUCCUAAUGCAUAGAUAUUUUUCUUUUUAUUUUUUUCCCUGCAAAUAAACUCAGAUCCAUAGUUCUAAUCCAAUUUGAUGUGAUGUGAUAUAAUCUAAAUCAAAGCGUCAACCUUCUAGCCAGAGUUUUGAAUCAAAAAUUUCGGCUAAACUCUGACCUGUUUAACGUCCAGCGAGAAGAUUUGCUUCUCACUGCUAAAUUUCUGCGUCGGCUCCGUUUUCACCACCCCUUGCAGAAGAAAAGUAGGCAAGUGGGUCCGACGCUCGCCUCCUGGUUUUCUUUGUCUCCUUCCGCUGCGUUUUUACCCGCCUAAGUUGCCACCUCCAUUUCUUGCUCUCCCUUCCCGCUAACGCAGAAAGAAAAAGGAGCCGUUCCUCUUGCCAUCUGUCAUCUCGUGAUUCCGAGGAUGAUAAAAAAGAAGCCUCGCUUUGUGUCGCCUCGCCUUUCCCCUCUCGCCGUCUCCUUUUCUCUCUCAUGACACUUCUGCUCCCGCGAUGUCAUCCCCUCUCCGCAACGGCGACACCCCCCCUCCCCGCCUCCCCUCUCCCGCCGUCGGCCGCCACCACUUCCACUCCACCGUCUCGGAGAAGAAGAUCCGCCGCCUCAACGCCCUCAUCCUCCUCCUCCGCCUCGCUGCCUUCUGCUUCUCCCUCGCCGCCGCCAUCUUCAUGGCCACCAACUCCUCCCGCUCCCCCGGCUCCCACUCCUGGCUCCACUUUCACCCCUUCAGGUGAUAACAUAUCUCGCCUCCGCCCUUUCCCUUCCUCCAUAUCUACCGUCUCUACCAGCGCUGAGCUCCCGGCCUCCGAGGGGGUCCAAUCUGGAAUUUUGCAGGCUUGUGCUCGCGUCGAACGCCAUCGUGGCGGUCUAUUCCUUCUUCGAAAUGGUGUCUUCCAUCUGGGAGAUUCUGAAGGGUGUCACCCUCUUCCCCGAGCCCCUCCAGCUCUGGUUCGACUUCUCCCACGACCAGGUCGAUCCCUAUCUUCCGGAGACACUCUGGUUGUUUUCUAAUCAUUCUUUUCGAUCGAUUAAGCCCUCAUUCCUCUUAAAGAUUGGAUUUUUAUUUGGUUAAUUAGGUGUUCGCGUACUUGCUGCUGGCAGCGGAGGCGGCGGCGACGGUGGAGGCCCAGGGACUGAAGGGGGCCCACACGUGCUCGCCGGAGAGCGCGUUCUGCGUGCAGGCAUACAUCUCCGUGGCUCUCGGCUUCGCCGGAUUUGCGUUUCUCGCUCUCGCCGCGCUCGGAUCAGGCUUCCGCGUAGCCUGCUACGUAAUCACCGGCUCUCGCUUCCACCUCUAGACCGAAUAGGCCGAGAGAAGUUUCCCUGUUGCUUUUGUUUUUCUACUUUAAUAAAUAAUAAUUUUUGUAGAGUUUUUGUCCGAGUCCUUCCCGUCCAUCGUGCGGUUUGUGAUCGAUCCUUCGUCUGAAAGAUCAAGCGUCCGCGAAUCAUGGAUGCGUUUUCUAAAGUCAUUCGUCGUCAUCAUUCUGAUUCCUUUUAAAAAGAAUUACGGUUUCGCUUCCGCAAGUUUUAGCGAUUCCCACGGAUUCCUCAUGUUUAAAAGUUUUCAAAAUGGUCCUUCAAAUUUUCUAAAAUGGCCCUCCGGUGAUGAAGGCUGCAAUUGAGCAGCCCAGAGAAGGUAGGAAAAGUGAGCUCUCGGGACUAGGACUCAAAGAAAAACGGAGAAAUCUAUUGAAUUUAUUAGGAAUCCAUUAAGAAAAAUAUAAGGAUGGAAGCAAUGUAGGUAAGAAGAAAACAGAGCAUGUGGACUUUGGGGCGCCAUAACAAUCAUGGUAGCUCGAGAGGAUAAGAAAACAAAGCUUGGGGAAGUUAUUACGCAGAAAACAAAGCUAGUUGGGCGGCAGAUUAGGUAUCCUUUGUCGCUAACCAUUUUAAGACCAUUUAUGGAUAGAUAAGAUGGUGUUGUCUAGUGCUUUUCGAAAUAUAUUAUUUUUGAUUUUUUGAUUGUAUCCAUAUACAAGUUUGAUAUGAUACUUUCGUUCUAGUGUGCCNNNNNNNNNNNNNNNNNNNNNNUUCUUUUCAUUUUUCUCCCACUCUUAUUUCUUUAUUGCAAUGCCAGAGGCAUGGUAGUGAAUACAUUCAGAUUCCUGAAAUAUAUGGGGAAUGGUAGUGAACAUUUUGAUUCCUGGAGGAUUUUCAUAUCCAAGAGAAAUGGAGUUGAUACAAACUUAAUUGUUUGGUUCUGUUUUAACUUAGUCCAGGGCUUGGGGUUUCAAUUCCACACACUGCAACUGGCCCAGGGGAUGACAUGAUGGCAUAAGUGUUGUUGGGAUGAAACUAUGAUUUUAAUCCUUCAGAUAUCUGAACUCGCAUUGAUUGCAAUAAACUAAUGCUGAAGGCUCAGAGAAAUCUUUGCAGGUAGAUACAUUGUAAGUGCCUCUACAUGCAUAACCAUGCUUUUAGAAGUUGUUGUGUGGGUUGAGGCUGAGCCUUUUGUACCAAAAAGUCUGGAAUAUCUACGCAUCGAAUAAUCUCUUAGCAAUGACUGUGUCAUCCAUAUUCGGAGAACUAGAACUGUCUUUCGAUGAGUAAUUCCACCUAGAUCAACAGCUAUCUUAAAUAAGAUAAAGCGAAGGAUUCCCUCUAACAAGGUGUGCUAGUGGAACAAGAAUAUUUCAAUUUCUUAAAGGAUGUCAAUACAGAGUCUCUCCAAAUCAAGUAUAGUUAUUCAUCAAAGAAUAUCUGUUCUCAUCCUUGGUUUGAUCAAUGAAGUCGAGAGAGCAUUUAUGCCUUUGAUCAUUCGAAAUAUGGAUAUCGACACAAAAUCCCUUGACAUCCAAAUAUCACCACAUGCCACUGCCACAAACAAAAGGUGCUUUUUGCUAGAGAAAGUAAUGUAAACCAUAAGGUUAUGUGGAACCCAUGAUUGGCUAGAAGAAAGUACUUCUUGGUUCUAGAUUACAAGCAGAACCAUGCACUUAAGAUCCCAUUUAGAUUUAUACAUACAACAUGGUGCCAUCAUAAUCACAUUUUUGACAGGGUGACUACAUUCAAGUAGCCUUAUUCAGAUGACGCGAUCUCUGGUUUGGCAUAGAGACAUUAUUCUCUGCAUAAACAUAUAGUCUAUGGCUUGGCAUCUGCAUCCAUAUCACAUGCUUGGUUUGACAUUGAGGCGGUUUGCUACCUUCUGACCGAGCGAAACAUCACACUGCAACCAUGAAGCAAUAAUAAGCAAUCAAGGCAGGGAAAAUCCAGCAUGCUUGUUUAGAUCUGAUGAUUUUUUUCAGAUUUCAUUCNNN
rnacentral:lncRNA from 1 species